rnacentral:lncRNA from 1 species
GACGAGGAUCACAGAGGCUAGGAUCCCCGUGCCCGGAAAAGUCAGGAUCCCUUUCUAUGAAGGAACCACUGACCCGAAAGCUCAUAUCACGGCGUUCCGCAUAGCAAUGGGACGAGCCUUCACGAGGAACUCUGCCAACCUGACCAAGCAAGAAAAAGACGCCGGUUAUUGUCUGUUGUUUGUAGAGCAUCUCAAAGGGGCCGCACUAGAAUGGUUCUCAAGGCAAGAACGUAAUUCGAUCAACAGCUUCCAGCAGCUCUCCGCCUUGUUCUUGAAGCAGUACUCGAUGUUCAUGGACCGAGGCACCUCCGACGCCGAUCUAUGGACGUUAUCUCAAGAACCUAACGAACCGCUUCGGGAUUACAUGGCAAGGUUCAAAGUUGUUGUGUCCAAAGUAGAAGGAAUAAGUGACAAGGCCGCCCUUGAAGCCCUAAACCGAUCCUUAUGGUACAAAUCAGAGUUUCGAAGGGAGAUGGCGCUGAACACGCCGCAAACAAUUCAGGACGCUCUGCAUCGAUCAUCAGACUUUAUCAUGAAUGAGGAAGAAAUGAAGAAUUUAGACGAGCAGUACGAAGCGACGAAAGCAGCAAUCCAGAGCUCGAUUUUAACUCCGGAUCUGAAGAAAUACUAUCACUAAGGAUGCACCACGACCAGCAUGAACUACGGAACAUCUUGAUCUCUGCAAAGGGUACGUAGACAGCCCGUCCUCGGACGGGUUCAGCUGUCCCCCUUCCUAAAAGGGGGGGGGAGUAGGUACGUAUACACCAUACUUACACCAUUUCUUAAAUUUUUUGCUCGUCAAGUCAGGUUUCUCUAGAUUUAUGUCACUUCAUUUUUCCUUUCGUUCACUUGCUUUCACUUCGGCUAGUUUUAAUUCACUUGCGUUCACUUCAGCUAGUUUUAAUUCACUUGCUUUCACUUUGGCUAGUCUUUUAUUCACUUGUUUUACGUCGGCUAAACAUUUUACUUUAUUUUCAUUGAUCUUGCAUUGCUUCGGCAAAGUUCUACUUUGGUAUCCAAACACCGUACGCCUCGUCUCGUUGCUGGCCACAACGAGACAACAAAUACAAAGUUCUCUAAACGGACUUUUACCACCUUUCCUAGGACGAGGGUGCAAGUUACAUCCUCUAUGGAUAAAAAUAAAGCGCGCUAUACAAAUUUCAGACCAAAAACGUAUCGGUCGCCACAGUCCACUAUCGCACACGAGAUUAUAAGACGAGACUACAUCGCUUUCUCUAAAACCAAAGUGAACUCUUAAAACCCGGCAAAACACACUCACCCUCUCGGGAACGCCGGUCUAUAGUCAUAUUCCAAAGAGAACACUAUAUCCUCUGGAACUUUUGCCUCAUCAAUGAGAAACCCUGGGCUAACGCCUCGGCAAGAAAAAAAACAGGCUCAAGCUAAACACUUUGGCUGCAACGCCCGACUCUUCCUCACGAACGAUCAGUCUCUCAAAGAAAACAAGGCCUAUAAAACACAUAACUUACUUGAAAAAUACUUCAGCGUUAGUCAGAGAUUCUUUAUCAAAACAAUCUAAAACAGCUCACCUCAAUGAAGACCUCUCUCAGUGAUAGAAUGGAUAAAUCUCAAUGAACGGCCCGAAAUCAUCUUUGGUUAAUAAAAAACAAAACACCUCAACGUUAUACACGGAUCGGCAUCAUAUAAUGAAAACGCUUUGUCGUUAUACAUGGCUCGGCAUCAUCUAAUGAAAACGCCUCGCCGUUAUCAUUAAACACGGCUCGGCAUUGCCAAUAAAAAUCGUCUCGUCGUUAUCAUUAAACAUGGCUCGGCAUUGCCAAUGAAAAUCGCCUCGUCGUUAUCGCUAAACACGGCUCGGCGUCAUCUAAACGAAAAGGCCUCGUCGCCUAUGCAUUAUCUUCGAUCGUCACCUAGGCAUUAUUUUACUGUACUCAUCGCCUAGGCAUCACCUCACCUUGUUGCCUAGGCAUUAUCUCGGCUCGUUGCCUAGGCAUUAUUUUGGCUCGUUGCCUAGGCAUUAUCUCGGCUUGUCGCCUAGGCAUCAUCUUGCCUUUUUCGCCUAGGAAUCAUCUUGCCUCGUCGGGAUCAUCUCGUCGCCUAGCCAUCAUCGGCUCGUUGCCUAGGCAUCACCUCGCCUUGUCUCUUAGACAUUAGGUCGGCUCGUUGCCUAGGCAUUAUCUCUGCUCGUCGUCCAUGAAUUAUCCCGGCUCGUCGCCUAGGCAUCAUCUUGCCUCGUCGGCUAGGUGUCAUCUUGUAUCAUCGCCCAGCGAUCAUCGGCUCGUCGCCUAGGCAUCCUCUCUACCUCGUCACCUAGGCAUCCCCUCGCCUUGUCGCCUAGCCAUUAACUCGGCUCGGCGGCUAGGCAUCCUCUUUCGUUAUCACCUAGCCGUCAUCGGCUUGUCGCCUAAGAUUCAUCUUGUAUCAUCGCCUAGCCAUCAUCAGCUCGUUGCCUAGGCAUCAUCUUACCUCGUUGCCUAAGCAUCCUCUUGCCUUGUCGCCUAGCCGUUAACUCGGCUCGGCAGCUAGGCAUCUACUUGCCUUGUCGCCUAGCCGUCAUCUUGCCUCAUUGCCUAGGCAUCCUCUUGCCUUGUCACCUAGCCGUUAACUCGGCUCGGCAGCUAGGCAUCCUCUUGCAUUAUCGCCUAGCCAUCAUCUCGGCUCGUUGGCUAGGCGUCAUCUUGCCUCGUCGCCUAGGCAUCUUCUUGCUUUGUCACCUAGCCGUUAACUCGGCUCGGCAGCUAGGCAUCCUCUUGCAUUAUCGCCUAGCCAUCAUCUCGGCUCGUUGGCUAGGCGUCACCUUGCCUUGUCGCCUAGGCAUCCUCUUGCAUUAUCGCCUAGGCAUCAUCUCGGCUCGUUGGCUAGGCGUCAUCUUGCCUCGUCGCGUAGGCAUCCUCCUGCCUUGUCUCCUAGCCAUCGUCUCGACUCAUCUUCUAGGCACUGUCUUGCCUUGUCGUCUAUGCAUCUUUUGACCUUGUCGGUUUGGCAUCUCCUGACUUAAUCUAGUAACAAGCCGUAUCUUGAUCACAUGUGUCGGCGUAACACUCUCCCCCGACAAUAUCUAACACGCCUCGGCAUUGUAUUUUCUGGAAAAGCUUUAGUAUUAGUCUUUCAGCUCACCGUAGCACUAUGGGCGUCUUGUCAUUAAGAAAGGCACAGUUUUCGCAAAACGCCUCGUCGUUUUAUUCGGCUCGUCACAUUUUUCACAAAACGCCUUGUCGCUUAUUCGGCUCGGCAUUAACUCUCUCUUGAAACGCCUCGCCGUUAACGAAAGGGCUCGGUAUUAACUCUCUCUUGAAACGCCUCGUCGUUAACAAAACGGCUCGGCACCAACUUUCUCUCAAAACGCCUCGCCGUUUAUUCGGCUCGACAGAACCUUCUCAAAACGCCUCAUCACGGCUCGCCACUACUAAACAGAAUCGCCUCGUCCUUAACUUGCCUCUGCAUCCUCGGCACCUUCUUGAAAUGCCUCGGCAUCCUGGGCACUCCUUGGGAACGCCUCGGCAUCUUUGGGCCUAAGUCGUAACAGCUCGACUCGAUGGUUUAUCCGACAGUCAGGAGUAAUGGACCUCAUCAUUCUCGCCUCCGAAACUGACGAGCUGGGGGGCUAACUGUUGGGGUCGGUUCUCACCCCAAGCGGAUAAAACCAUCUCGAAAUGACUAAGUAUGGAAAAAAGACAAAUUAGCCGAGCUGCGCUCACCAAGACAAGUGGGAGAGCCGUGGAGAAAGACAAGUGGGAGAGCCGUGGAGAUAGACAAGUGGGAGAGCCGUGGAGAAAGGCAGAUGGGCCGAGCCGUGAAUAAGGAAAGAUGGGCCACGCCGUGCAAAGAUGGGCCGAACCGCGAAGAGGAACAAGUAGGCCGAGCCGCGGGAAGGAUGUCCAGUGGGCCAAGCUGUGUAAGAAAGCAGGUGGACCGAGCUGUAUCGUGAGAAAUGGGCCGAGCCGCAUUUCAACAUGCUUGGGCCGAGCCGCGCCUCAGUGAGGUGGACCAAAUCACGUCGCGAUUCGAAUGGCAAGUGGGCCGAGCCGUGGAGAAGUUUUGAUGGGCCGAACCUAGGCCUUGAAAGACGAAGCCCAUAGGAACCCUAGGUGAAAUACAAAGGCGGUGAGCCGCACGAGGCGAUAAGGAAAUAUUCUGAAAAUCCCUUCCGAAAUUCUCGGCUAGGCGGUUCAGAGAAUUAGUAUAAAUAGACGAUGUAUACAAUUCAUUCUGUAACUUUUCACAACUCGAGAGCAAUAAGACCUAAACACUUUCACAGCAAACAAAACCUUCUUUUGAUCUUACUGUUCUUGCGAUUACCCUAGAAAUUUCGGAUCCCUUAGUUUUUCCUUACAAAUUUUUGAUUGUGCGAGUUUUGGCUCGCACAAUUUUCUAUAUUCCAGCCUAUUUCAUUCAAGCAAUUUAUAUCUAGUCAUUUUCAUCGUGUUUAGUUGAUUUUAUUAGGUUUAGUUAUUAUGUUAUUUUGAUUUUUGUACUUUUCCAUUAAGAUUAAUUUUUACGUUGUAAAGACACCACCAAAACCCCUUAAAAUAUCGCCUGAUUCUAUACUUCCUUACUUUAUAUUUCUCUCGAAGGCUUUUGAAGAAAAUAACCUCAUUCCUGUGAAUUCGAUCCUUAAGUACUAUAAUCGAUCAGAUGUGCAAUUGCGGCUUAUUGAUUUCAUUAGAGUAAAACUUGACACCCUCAUCACAGCAGACAUCAAGUUUUUGGCGCAGUUUCCGGGGAAGGCACGCGUUUCCUUUUCCGCGAAACUCUAAGAAAUGUUGGUAAAUCGACUCUAGAACCAUUUUUCUACUUAUUUUCGUUUUUGGUUCUCUUUGUUUCAAUUCCCGAGGCAAUGGACCCUAUAAAUCCAAAUCCCAACUACAAGAAAGGUUUUUUACAACACUCCUCAAGCCACCAGACGCAGAGAAGAACAUCACGCUCGACAUUUCGACCAUAUGGAUCGAGACAUCCAUCCGAGUCAUCCAUAACACCAGCGUCGUGAGCCUGCUCGCUGAUAACACCGUAUUUGGACCACUUUUAUGGAUCGUUUUGAAAUACUUUUACUAUGUUUUUAUUGCUUUCAAGUACUUUUAUUAUGUUUUUCUAGUAUUUGUAGUUCCAAGACAAUUUUUAGGAAACUUAGGGAAAGACUUAACAAAAUGAAUAGAAGACCAGAUUUUCAGCUCAGAGUCAAACCGUCAGAAGUUCACCCCCGAUUGAAGGCCUUCUCACCGUCUGAUCCAGCUCAAAUUUGGAGACCUCAAAGAUGAAACUAUCAGCUUUCCAGCACACUUUACAGCUUGGCAAUCCAACGGUUCAAUCAAAAGUUACGCGAAGAGCAAGAUGUCCCGUAAACCAGCCGGUAAUCAUUUCCACCCGCGGCCAACAGCCAUUUCACCACGGUCAAAGGCUACCCAAACCGCGGCCAAGCAUCCAUUCCCUGCGGCCACGCACUUCCCGACUGCGGCCAGCCAACUCCGAACUAGAAGGCCCAUUUCUGAAGCCCAAAAUUAUUCCCUCAUUUGGAGAAACCUUAAGUGACGUCCAGUGAUGUCUUGAGCACUAUAAAUACAUGUUUUAGGAACCUAAUUCGUAUCACAUCAUAUGGUCUUAUUGUUUUAGAAUACUUUUUAAGUUUAAGCUUUUAGGGAGAGAGAGAUUUAUCUCUUGAACCCUUGUUCUUUCUUUUUCAAUCUCGAUUAUUGCUCUACUUUUUAAUACUAUGUUUUUGAUUUCGUUCAUCAUGUCUGAGUAGUUUUAUUGUUGGGUCAAAGGGAUUUUCGAUAGGGAUAUAUAUGUUCGAUGAGAUUCCAUGAGAUAUUGAAGCAAAUCUUAGAACUUUUUCUUCUGAAUUUACUUUUAAUGCAUGAGAGUAGCGUCAUGAACUACAAUCUGAUCCAGAUGCUUGGUGACACAAAAGUGUUCAUCCGGUGUCAUAUCUAGUUUGGGAGAGCAAAAAAAACAUAGGAGUGGAAACCUACCUAUGGGCGAUUUGUGAAUGCUGACGAGUCUUAAACAUAAUGCAUAUUUUCUCUUCCAGGGCCAGAGUGGAAAUCUACUGGUCAGGGUUGAGAGAGAUAGUUGUCUAUGAUCACGACAGUAGCGUAUUCAUACGUCUGUGACUCUAGUUCGAAAAAUUUUAGCUAAGAUCUUAUCAAAUUUACUCUUUAGCAAUGUUUUGAAUCGUUCAUACUCCGGAGAAAACUUCUCUGAAACUCAGCGCCUUCUUUUCUAUAGAAUUACAUCGAUUUUAUUUCAAGCUUUAGUUCAUUAUUUUCAUUCUCUUAAUCGAUUUUCAUUUAAGCAAUUAGGUUUAGCCGUUUUUCUAGUUUUUAGUUGAUUUCAUUAAGUUUAGUUAUUAGGUCAUUUUAAUUCUUGUAUUUUCUCGUUAAGAUUAGUUUUUACGUUUUAAAGACACCACUAAAACCCUUACAAAAAUCGCAUGGUUCUAGACUUCCUUACUUUAUAUUUCUUUCGAAGGCUUUUGCUGGAAAAAUCUUCCUUCCCUGUGGAUUCGAUCCCUAAGUACUACAAUCGAUCAGCUGUGCACUUGCGGCUAUUGAUUUCAUUUAGGGUAAAACUUGACAACUCUCACGCAGACACACAUCACUCGCCGCCGAGAAGAUCCCUAUGGACCUCCUCUGAUCUAUUUCGGGUCGUACGUCCAGCACCUUCCACCAUAAAACCCUAGCCAGCAAGAGGACAAUUUGAGAUCAGCAAACGUUUGGGAUAUCUUGAAGGAAUGAUAAACCAGUUCCUUGAUGAGCGGAUUCUCACCGAGAACACCCUGCUCAAGAGGAUUGAUUCGAUUUCUGAAGAGUUCAACAAAAAGUUUGAUGGUUUGGCUGAUCAUGUCAGGAUCUUGGAAGAGCAAACCCAUAAAGACGCACGAACCCUUGCCGGAAUGAUUGAUCAAGUCGCUAGAGAACAGACAAGACAAGGCUAUGAUAUCAUCCAAAACUCAAGUGACAUAGCCGAAUCAAAACGAGAGAUCAAGGAAGUUGGAGAGUUCACCUCCUGGUAUAGAGAGAACACAGACGAGGAGCUGCAAGGAAUAAAGUACAGGCUAAGCAAACUCGAGCUCAAGGCACGUGAGGUUGAUGCAAGAAUGGAACAGAUCUCCAACACUGAGCCGGUUGGAGGUUUUUCUAAGAAAUCUCCUAAAGAUCUUGAUGAGAAGACGAAACUAUAUCCUGGUAUAAGUUUAAGACAAACCAAGAGCCGACCCGAUGAUGGUAGACUACCAAGGAAAGAAAUGGAAGAGGGUCUCACCAACUGGAAGGAAAAAGAAACAAACCCCGAGGAAGUCACAUUCAGUACGCCUAUAUCUUCACCAAAGGGUUUCCGUCGACACUAUUUCUUGAUUUUUAAUCCAGCUUGAGCGUUCGUCCUCCUCCUGCUCCAUCUGAGGGGAGUGUAAGAAAAUAGGAUAUAGAAUAUUUUCUUAUAUCCGAUAACUUCAAAUAUGUAAAGAUAUACUUGAGAGAUACUUCUAUUGUAACUAUAUAAGAAUUGUCUGAUGAAUAGAAAUUUCUACGGAGUUUCAUUAUCUUACAGUCUACACAAUUCCAUCAACCACAUCCACACUGAUUCCACCAGACGAAUCAACAUGGAUUCAAAUCGAGAGCAUAUGCCUCCUUACCGAGAACGUGUAUUACUACUGUGAGAAAUUGAUCGCUUCUAAACUCGAAAACCCCCACACCGAAAUCACGACCAUAGCAAAAAUCAAGGCAUUCAAAGCAUUGAACAACUCUGAAAUAACAACUUCUCUAAUCAGAGAUGAUUUUCUUCCCAAGGCAGAUAUAAUAGGCUCAGCUACGUACUUGCCUUGCGACUUAUCACGACGUAGUAAAAAAUUCUCGAAAGUGCUUAUGGGGCAUUGCUUCAACAUGAUGAUCAUUCGGAGAUCAGAAGAUAUCAAUCAAAUGUUCCUUGCUCGAUAAGUAAGACAGAUUUUGAUCCUUUGGUGGGUAAAAAUAUGUGAAUUAACACUUUUCAGGCAACAAUCUACCACAUUUGGAGAGAGAAAGAAAUGCUCGAUGUCCUGGCGAAUCACCACUCCAAACAGCUCAGCUCAUACAACUCAUUGAAAAAAAUGUUCGGAUCGUAUAAUGGCAAUUUAUAUGAUGAAGCUCUAAUCUUGUGGUUUGCCACAAGGCAAUCUUAAACUGCAAAGACAAUCUCGAAUACAAUUUUACAUUCAUUUAAUAAAAACAAAAAAUUGGUGGAUUAGGUUUAUGAUCAAUAUGUCUAUAUUAGCAGCUCGUAAGCUCCCUGCGCUCUAAUAUAUAUGUAAUAUCUGGAAUGUUUCAUUGAGUCAAUGACUCAACUCAUGCAUGGCUGAAUGAUUAUCAAUAUAAUACAUGAUUAUCAAUGUAAUAAAUGAUUAUGAGUUAAAUAAUUCUAAUAGAGCAUAAGUAAAAAAAUUUAAAUGUUUUAUUUUUAAAAUAACAACAUAUAUAUAUAUAUACAUUCUUUGGUUGAGAUUCUACAGAAAACUAAUGUAUCACUUUGUUAUAUUUUAAUGGGUACAGUAGUUUUAUUUUGAAAGAAACUGAAUCAUUAUGAAAUGAUAUAGGAUUUAAAAUUUUGGAAAGGAAAAAGAUUUAUGUUUUUUUCGGAAAAACAAAAUCUUACGGUUUUUUGAAAAAACAAAAUUUUUGCUUUUGUGUUCAGAAAACUAGAUAAAUUUUAUGUUUUUGGUAGAAAAUAGAAUCAUUUUUUUAUGGAAAACGAGAAAAAAUAUAAAUUUUUAUGUUUGACAGAAAAAUGUGAUAAAUUCUUACUGAAAAAUAAAUUUCACGUUUUUGACAGAAAAUAAAAAAUUUUAAAAUUUAUCCAGUAUAAUUUCGAAGUUAAAAAAAAAAUUACUUCAAUGAUUUAUCUAAUUAUAAAACAAAAUUUCAUAAGAAUUUCACUCUAAAAUAAAUUUGAGAAUGUUUUGAUUUAAUUAAAAAAAAAAAAAAACCUUACGGGUAGGAUAGCCUAUACGAACCCAUGUAAAGGGUACCUGUCCGUUUUGAACCAUCAUCUUUUUAUACAAAUAGGAUGGUUUAUGGGCUUAAACUUUUUUAGGUUUUAGGGUACCCAAUGGGUAAUUACCCUAAUUAUCAACUAGAUAUCGAAGUCUUUUUCAAUCACGGAGAGUCAUACUGUAUUGUCAAACGUACGUAAGUGAAUCCUUAAUACUGUUUUUAAUGAUCUCUUUUUCCUACACAAUAAUUUGUGUGUCCACAAAUUUCACCAAGCUUCAAAACGUCUGAUUUAAAAUUUAGUAUGGAUUGGCAUGCUUCUUUGGAAACUAGAUCAAAACUGUUAAAGUUCAAAUUUUAGUAGAACAGCAAAUGAUGAACAAACGAAAUUUCUCGUGGAUGUAAUGCAUUGUAAUUAUACUAUCAUUAAGAAAUGUACAAGUGAAGCAAAGUUCACAUACAAAAUAAAUAGGUUUAGACAUGAUAACUGAUACGAUCUUCCAAAGGACUUCACACACUUAGAUCGGCGGGGUUGAUAGAUCCUUGACCCUGAACAAUUUUUGAAGCAGAUGCUAAGGCGUGAGAAAAAGACUCCCGAAAAUCUUUAAGCUCAAAGUCUCGAGAACGAUUUGAAACAAGGGGGAGUGGAACAAAGAUAAAAAGAGAACGCCGGUAAAAGGAUGUGAGGGUGUGAGAAAUGAAUUCCCGAAGAUUCUAAGCCCCGAUUACUACUAACGAAAAUUUUAAAUUUUGCAGGCGAAGGCUGCGUCAAGUUCGAUGAAAAGAACUUAAUAAAACGAAAAAAACUUCUGAAGCUAACCACCUAAGAAUCGAAAAAGUUCUCAAAAGAACAAAGGAGAAAAGUCUCAGAUUUUAAUUGAUAAAUGAAUGAAUGAAAAUGAAAGGGGUACAACGCCUUAUAUAGGGGUGGAUCAGACCAAGAGUCAUGCAUAGAAAAUUACAAAAUAAAUAAAUAAGUUUGACUAAAACUUGGACUUUUUCUUUGCCUAGCUUUGACUGACCCUUGAGAUUCCUUGGCAAAAAUGACUCUUGAAAUUCUGACCCAUAUACCAAGUCCGUACUGAACCGCGGCCGUGUGUGGUAUAGCCCUUAACUUCGUUAAAACCCUAUUCGGUAAACUCAUUCGGACAAACCCGGGAGCAAGGAAAAAGAGUAUCAAGGACUACACCAGGCCGAAGUCAGUAAGCACCUUGGUAUGUGAGAAGGGUCACGGCACUGGAUGUAGCUGGUUCCAUAUUCUGGUUCCUGAGCUCGGUAAGUAUCUUCUGAACGGCUCCCGCCAACUUCCGGGUGCGUGAUCUCAUCAUCGGUCCGUCCGGAAUGACCAAGGUCGUAUCUGGUUUCUGCUCCUCGAUCUGAUCUUCGACCCGUGGUUCAGCUUCUGGUUCUGGUUCUAUGAUCGCAUCAAUAACACCAAUUAAAACAAUCAUUAAUGUUUAGUCUAGAAAUGAAUAUAUAUAAAAUCAGAAGAUAUAUAGAAAUACAAAAGUUAACAUUUGCUAUAAAGAAUAUAGCCAUCAAUGCUUGUCGGAAGACUUAUAGCAUGUUAAAAAAAAAAAAAAGGAUUCAAUCAAGUUCUUUCAAGUCAUCAGCAUAAAAUGGGGUUGUACCUAAGUUGCACAUAGACAAAUAUAGAGAAUGUAAAAAAACAUAGGUCCAUUUAAUAACCUGAAAACAUUUCACUUUAGUACUCGAGAAAUUUGAGUGAGAGAGACUAACCUUCAAACCAACAUCAAAGUCAGAUUUGUGAACCAUGUUUCUGUUGGAUAAGCUUCAAUAGCUUAAGGUCCAAGACAUCCUUAUCCAAUAAGGAUUAGGAUAAGAUGGGCUUAACAGAAUUAGGAGUUAUCUAAUCUAUUAAUAAUAACAAUAUGAAAAACUAUGAAUGAAUCAUUGAACUAUUGUGUCUUUCUAUUUAUUAUUAUUUUUUAAUUAAUUGUAUUUUUCAUGUAUAACUGCUAAUUUAUUCAAAGGUUACAAUUUUACGGAAUUGUGUCUUUUUAUUUUAUUUUAUUAAUUGUACAAUUUCAGAUAUAACCGCUGAUUAUCACAGUUACUUCUCUUAAUACUUAUGUCUUUUCAAGAUUUUAUAUAUUUUGCUUCAUUCUUCAUUAUUUAUUUUAUUGGACUUUUUUAUAAUGCUCUUUUACUUUGAAAAAUAACACCUUAUAUAUCAAUUUACUGUUGAUAAACUUCAAAUUAAUUUAAAAAUCUUUAGUAAAAAUAUUGUUCAUUUGCAAGCAAUUAAACUAUUAAUAAUAAUAAUAUAAAAUACUAUGAAUAAAUCAUUUAAACAUUUUGUUUUUCUAAUUAUUAUUUUUUUAAUUAAUUGUAUAUUUUCAUGUAUAACUGCUAAUUGGGUGAUAUGCAUGAAUAAUAUGUUUUGGUAAGCAAAUUAGCAAACUAUCAUAGGAAAUCAGUCAAUUGAUUGUAUAGCAGUAGUCAACUGUAAAAAGUAUGUGGAAAAGACUGAAUACCCCUUACUCUAUAAUUCUGGAUAAAACUUUUUUUGACACAAUUUGGGACCACAAAAACUUAGAAAGAUUGAGAUUUUACCUUCUUUUUUGAACAAUAGCAAUAAGAACUUUAACAAACAUUAAUAUUUGUUGUCGUCUUAUAAUGUGUGGAGGACUAAAUUAAUUAUUAUUUUCUCUCUCCACCAUUCUUCUCUUCCUCUAUGUUAUUCUUCUCAUUCUCUUUUUUUUGUUUCUUUUUCUAAACACAAUAUUCAAAAUGAGUGAAUUUUAGGUAGUGCAGCGCUGAUUUGAUUAAUCUAAUUUUGCAAUUUAGCAUUAUGGUUUGUAUUUUCUCAAAAAAAUUAUACACGUUACUUUUUUGCUCAAAUCAUUUGAAAUCUCACGUAACUCUAUAGCAUAAUUGACUAUUUUAUAAAAAAAUCAUUUACUCAGAGUAUACGGUUAUGUAAGAGACGACUAUUUUCAUAAAAAAGUUGCAUCCUCAGAUGAACAUCCUCUCACUCUAAAAUCAUGAGACAUUAUGGACGAUAUUUACUAUGGUUGCACCAAGUUGAAGGUAAAUAAACGUAUACCAAAUAGUCACAUAUCACUUCAGUAUAGACAUUCUUUAUUCUAAUUCUUUUGUUUGUUGUGCUCAUAUAUUUAUAGUAGAUGCCUACUAAUAUGUGACUAUGUUUAAUAUGUAGGUGGUUGUUAUCAACCACGAUGAGUAAAAAAACAUUGCAAAUGAGAAGCUUAUGGGAGAGGUGUACACAACUAGUUUUUGGAAAUCUUUUUAUGAAAGACCUUUCUACGCAGAACCAACUUAUGUAUGUUCUGGUGACUCGGAACUACUUCUCAAAAAAUUAUAUGCGCUACCUUUUUGCUAAAAUCAUUUGAAAUCUCAGGUAACUCUAUAGCAUAAUUGACUAUUUAAAAAAAAAAAAAAUUUCAUUUACUCAGAGUAUACGAUUAUGUAGUAGACGACUAUUUUCAUAAAAAAGUUGCAUCCUCAGAUGAACAUCAUCUCACUCUAAAAUCAUGAGACAUUAUGGACAAUAUUAACUAUGGUUGUACCAAGUUGAAGGUAAAUAGACGUAUACCAAAUAGUCACAUAUUAUUUCAGUAUAGACAUUCUUUAUUUUAAUUCUUUUGUUUGUUGUGCUCAUAUAUUUAUAGUAGAUGACUACUAAUAUGUGACUAUGUUUAAUAUGUGGAUGGUUGUUAUCGACCGCGAUGACUAAAAAAACAUUGCAAAUGAGAAGCUUAUGGGAGAGGUGUACACAACUAGUUUUUGGAGACCUUUUUAUGAAAGACCUUUCUACCCAGAACCAACUUAUGUAUGUUCGGGUGACUCGGAACUACUUCCCCCAUUAAUGCGCUGACCACAUGGUCGACAAAAGAAAAUAAAGAUCCCAUCCCGAGGAGAAAUGAGGAUAAAGUAGUCAAAUAUUUAGUGUUUGUAACAUAGUUAACUUUUUAUAUUGAGUUGUAGUUGACUACUUUAUGGUAAAAAUGUGGUUGAUCCAAUUCGUUUGAAUGACACAAAGAAAUUUGAGGAAUGCGGCAAGGCUUUUCAGCAGGUGUCUGGGGAGGGGUUACAAUGGUAACUCUAUGGCCAUAGUUCACUAUUUUCAUAGAAGAUCAUUUGCUCAGAGUAUGUGGGUUAUGUAGUAGACAACUAUUUUUAUAAAAAGGUUCGUUUGAAUGACACAUAGACAUUGACUACUUUGUAAUGUAUUUUGAUUAGAUAGCUAGUACUCAAAAUUGAUUAUUAGUAGUUGUUUAUUUGCUUCAUACAACUCAAAGUUGAUUCUAAUAUUUAAGUAAGUAUUAGUAAUUGUUUUUUUUCGAUUAUAUAGCUACUACUCAAAAGUUGAUUAUUGGUAAUUGUCUAUUUUCAUCUUUGAGUUGGGCUGUUUAAUGAAGGCAGAUAGGUUGAGCGCCGUGAUGACAGAUGUUCCUUGAAUGUUUGGUUUAAAAUCUUACAUAAACUAGCAAAUGAAAGCAUCUUCUGCAGAUUCUCUAGCAAUUUUUACAAAGACAUCAACGAGUGCAUCGCGAAUCUGGAGAAGCACAUUAUUUGUGAAUGGUGUGGGUUCACAUUGUUGAAGAGAACACAUAUUCCUACAAAGGAAAAAUGGCAAAAAGUUAGUUAUUGUAAAUUGAUUACUAUUGUAACGUAGUUAACUAUCGAUAGUUAUAUUAGUAGUUGGUUAUAUGUGCAUAGUAGUUAUGUAAACUGAAUAUGGAGUAGUUGUUUAUUGUAUUUGUUAUAGACGAUAAGAGUAGAUGAUUACUAAUAACGAUAUUCAAUGUAGUUAUUACUUACUCAGUAUGCAUAUAAAAAUAGUUAACUACUCUAGAUCUACAAAAUCAAAGAGAAUCAUAUAUCGAUAACAACGAAGAAGAUGAUAGAACUGAGUGAAUACAGUGAAACAAAAAUCAGAAGUACUAGAAAUAAAGUGAUUAUAGAGAACCAGAAAUAAAAGAAGUGGGCCAAAGAAAUAACCUCUCACAACUCAACAAAGAAGAAAAAUUUAAAAAUCCUAGGUCUACAAAAUCAAGAAACCCAGAUGUGGAUAACAGCAAAAAAAGCCACAGUACUGAAGAAAUACAGAGAACAAUAUACAAAAAUAAUAGAAUGUAAAAAUCAGCAGAAGAGAACCAGAUAUCAAAGAGGUACCUUUCAUAAUUCACCGCCGAAGAAAGAGUCCGCUGUGUUAUAGUUUUUUUCACUAUAGUUUGAAGCUGAUGUACCGGCGAUAACGAAGAAUGGUAGAACCUCGCCGUAGGAAAAAAGAAGAGUAAGAAGAGGAGAUGAUGAUGUGGAUGUGAGAGAAAUUAUUUAAAAUGAAAUAUGAAUUUUGGGAUUUGAGUUUGAGUUUUGAAAUGAGAAAAAAAAAAAUUUGAAUUAAAGUUAAAUGUGAAGAAAGAGAAAACGUUGUCAGAGGAAAAGUAACAUGUAUAAAUAAUGGAUGUUAUAACAAAUAAUAAUGGUUAGAGUAUGAAGAAGCUGAGGGGGUAUUGAGUACUUUCCACUCAAUAAAAUAUUAAGAUUUUAUUCAGCUAAUUAGCUUUUGUCUUCUUGCUACCACACCUAGUUUCCCUUCUUUAUAUCUGUAUUUUUCUUUCUUUCUAAAUUUUUUUCUUCCUCACAAACAAAAAUGGAUACCACCGGAAGAGCUAUUACAAACUUAAGAUUGGAACAAUCAACAAAACACAACAAAGAGUACCACAAGUUUCAUCUUUUCACGAAUCUCUUUAGCACAUUCAUCUCCAUGUGCUGCUAAUGCCUCUAACAAUGUUAUCAUGUUAACUUUGCAAUUAUUAUUUAUAAAUAUAUUGUAUAAAUUGAAAAUUAACAUAAAUAUUAUCUUAACAUAGUUAUCAUUACAAAGUUAACACAAAUAAUAUUCAGAUUUACUAUAUGUUGACAUGUUAUAAGUAUCAGAUAUUCUUGUUAUUACGUUAUAAUUAUCGGAUAUUAUUGUUAGCACGUUAUGAAAAUCAGACAUUAUUGUUAUCAAGUUAACAUAUAUAACAUGUAAAAAAAUUUUUAUCAUGUUAAGUAUGUUAACAAAUAGUAUAUAACAUGUAAUUAUUGUUAAUAUGUUAACAUAGUAAUUGUUAGCAUGUUAACAACAUGCUUUUGAUAAUGAAUAGUUGUUUUCUAAUCAGAUGAACAGUAACACCAAUCAUAUGAUGAACAGUGUCACCGAUUUAUACUGUCGAAAAAUCAGUUUCUAAAUCAAUGGCAUUUUUGUAAUUAUUUAAACUGGGAAAUGUGUUUUUUGGGAUAAAUUUGUAUUCUCUUUCGUAUUUUACUAAUUUUUAAAUCAAUUUUCCUACUUACCUAAUUUUUUAGUGAACCGUUGGUAUUGAGUCAAUUAACUCUAAUACUUAUGUCUUUUCAAGAUUGUAUAUAUAUAUAUUACGUUUCAUUGUUCAUUACUUCUUUCUUACUUUAAAAAACAACACGUUAUAUAUCCAUUUAUUGUUGACAAACUUCAAAUUAACUUAAAAUUCUGUAAUAAAAACAUUGUUCAUUUGCAAACAAUUAUUACAGAAAUUGUGUUACAAGAAAGAUUUUUAGUAGAUGUUUAGGCAUGAAUAAAGAAAAACUUGAAAUGAAAGGUGAAAAAUCUGCUUGUUCUCUAAAAAAAUAUUUUUGGAACAAACGUCAAAAAUUUUGGAUUAAACAGAAAAAUGGUAAUUCUCUUGGCAGUUAUAUCACUAAUUUUAAAAGGCAAUAUUAGAUUUUGUCUUAAUGAGUUUUAAGUUAUAUUUAAAAAUUUGGCCAUGAAUAAAGAAGAACUUGAAUUGGAGGAUCUACCAUCCGCUCAUUAUCCAGAAAAUAUGAGACAAUUAUAUAAUUUAUUUGACAACAAAACACGAUAUACCAAACUAUAAUGGGAAUUAAAUAUGCACUUUCUUAAGUAUAUAACACAACUAAUAAGAUUUGGAUGUCAAUUAAAAAAGAGGACAAAGAAAAAGCCAAUUUAUGUUAAAGUUAUGAAGAUUUUAGUUUUAAAAAUUACAAAAUAAAAAUAAAAAAAUCACAAAAAUGUUUCAAAACAAAAGAGAAGGCUAGGAAGAACAAAAAAAACUUUAAUCUGUGAAGAAAAUAACAAUAUGAAAAACUAUGAAUGAACCAUUGUGUAUUUCUAUUCAUAUUAUUUUUAAUCAUGCCUUCAUGUAUAAUAGUUAUUUUUAAGAAAAUUUAUUAUUAUAAGGUUGUGUAUUUUUUCUAAAAUUUUUUAGAUUAUAACUUUCCUUUAAAAACUACGAAUGAACUGUUGUGUAUUUCCAUUAAAUAUUUUUUUAGAUUGUAUCUUUUCAUAUAUAACUCCUAAUUUUAUGAACGGUUGCUAUUGUAUGGUUGUGUCUUUACGUUUGUUAUUAGUAUAUGUAUUGUUUGUUUAGUGAAUCUAUGAUUACAUUUUAAUGGAGAAUGAAUCUUGGAGAUUUAACUGUUACCGUUUUUUUAGUGAACCAUUGCAACUAUUGAGUUUAUGGUUAUUUCGCUAAAUAUUUUAAUUCUAGAUAUUAUAGUUAUUUUACCAACCAUUGCAACUCUUGAGUUUAUGGUUAUUUACUAAAAUUUCAACUAUUGAGUUUAAUGUUAUUUUACAAACCAUUGCACCUAUUGAGUUAAUGAUUAUUAAACCAUUACAAUUGUUGGAAUUAUGCUUCUAUUAAACUAUUACAUCUUUUCAUUUAUACCCUUUGGAAUUCUAUAAAUUAAAAACUAUGAGUGAGCCAUUGUGUCUUUCUGUUUAUUUUUAUUUUUAAUUAUUUAUAUUUUGUGUAUAACUACUAAUUUAUUCAAUGGUUACAAUUUUACAGUUGUGUCUUUUCAUUUAUUUUAUUAAUUGUACUAGUUCAUACAUAACCGCCGAUUAUCAAAUGUUGUUUCUCUUAAUGCUUAUGUCUUUUCAAGAUUGUCUAUAUUUUGUUCCAUUUUUCAUUAUUUUUUAUUAAUUGUUUUUAAUAAUUCUCUUUAAUUUUGAAAAACAAUACCUCAUACAUCAAUUUUUUGUUGAAAAACUUCAAAUUAACUUAGAAUUAUUUUAAAAAAAACAUUAUUCAUUUGCAAGCAAUUAUUACUGAAAUGGUGUUAGAAGAAUUUUUUUGAAGUAGAUAGUUAGCCAUAAAUAAAGAAAAACUUGAAGUGGAGCGUGAAAGAUCUGCUCAUUCCCAAGCAAACAUUUUUGGAACGAAAGCCAAAUAACUUGAUUAAAGUUGGUAAUUCCCUUAGAAAUUAUAUUACUAAUCUUAGUUUUUUUCUACUAAUCUUAGAACGAAAGGCAACAGAAUUUUUUUUUUAUCUAAGUUUUUAGUUCAAUUUUAAAAUUUGUUUUCUAAAUUCUAUUCAGCCAUGAUGAAUAAAGAAGAACUUGAAUUAGUGGAUCUUACAUCUGCUAAAUUUCAAAAAAAAAAAAUUUGGAAACAAUUCAAAAAAUUAGGAUUAAACGAAAAAAUGGUAAUUCUUUUGGUUAGUUUAUCACUUAUCUUACAAGGAAACAUAAUAUUUUAUCCUAUGAUUUUAUUAGUUAUGUUUUAGAAUAUGAUUUUUAAAUAUUAUUUAUCAUUAAAUAUGCAAGUGUAGCACUAUUUUUGGUUAUACUAUAAUAGUUAUAUAAUUUAUUUGACAUAGAAAACAUGAUAUACCAAACUAUAAUGGGGAUUAAAGAUGCACUUUCUAAAGUAGAUAAUGCAACGAAUACAUUUGGAUAAAGUAGAUAAUGCAACUAAUACAUUUAGAUGUGAAGUGAAAAAAAAAAGACAAAGAAGAAGCCAAUUUAUGUGAAAGUGAUGAAUAUUUUAAUUUUCAAAAUAAGAAAAUGAAAAAUCACAAAAAAAGUUUCAAGACAAAAGAAAAAGCUAGGAAGAACCAAAAAAGAAAAACUUAAAUCUGUGAAGAAAAUAACGAUAUGAAACUAUGAAUGAACUAUUUUCUCUUUGUAUUUAUUGUUAUUUUUAAAUUAAUUGUACUUUUAUCAUUAAUAUGAAAUAUUAUCAUUAUUGUAAAGUUGUAUCUUUUUUUAAUUAAUUAUACAUUUCUAUGAAAAAAAUUACGAAUGCAAUGUUGCAUCUUUCCAUUAAAUAUAUUUUUAAUUGUAUUUUUUGUAUAUAACUAUUAGAUAUUGUAUGGUUAUGUCUUUUGGUUUUUUAUUUGUAUGUGUUGUUUAUUUAGUGAAUCUAUGAAUACAUUUUAAUAGGAAAUGAAUGUUGAAAAUUUAAAUGUUAUACUUAUUUUGGUGAACCUUUGCAACUAUUGAAUUUAUGGUUAUUUUACUAAACAUUGCAAUUUUAGAGAUUAUGAUCAUUUUAUCAACCAUUGCAACUCUUGAGUUUAUAGUUAUUUACUAAACAUUGCAACUCUUGAAAUUAAAGUUAGUUUACCAACCAUUGCACCUCUUGAGCUAGUGGUUGUUAAAUCAUUGCAACUGUUCAAAAUUUAAACAAUUUAUUUCUCAAUAUUGAAGCAUUGCAUCUUGUCAAAAUAAAGAUACAAUUUCUUAUUAAAGAGGCACAACUUUUCAAUAAAAAGAUACAACAAAACAUAGUUUUUGUUUUUUUAUUUUCAUUUAGAGAUAGGUAAAUAUUCUAUUUACAUAGCAUAUAAUUCACCUGUUAAACGUUAUAAAGUUAAAGUAUCUGCUACAAUUACAAGUUUUUCAAAUACUAUUGGUAUAAAAUCUACGAGUUCACUAUUGUUAAACAAAGAAGGUAUUAUUUAUUCAAUAAUACGAUAAAAUUUAGUUAUUAUGUGUCCUCCAUUAUGGGUGUAAAAUUUUGAUAUGAAAUUGAUAUCAUAUAUUUUUAAAUAUACACAUGUUGCUUGCAGAAAAGUAUAAUAAAUCAAUAAAUACUAGAAAUUCAAUAGAAUUAGAAAGUUUCUCCGAAUAACAAUUUUCGAUUUACAGUAUAUUUUUAAAUUAUAUAUUUUUAAAAAAUACUUUUGGAAUGUUAAUUUAUAUAUAUAUAUAUAUAUUAAUUUAUAAUUUAUUUUUAAAUAGAUUAUGAUUUUUAACCAAUAUCAAACGAUAGCAUUAUCCCAAAAAAAUUAGAAAAGUGAGUAUUUCUAUUGCUAGUCAUAACAUCAUAUUUACUUUUUAAUAUAUUAGAUCUAAUAAUGUUAAAAAAUAAAGAAAAAUGAUGAAGACCACGAAAAAAGAACCAAAUAAUAACUUAAUGCAAUAUCCCCAUUAUAAUGCUUGAGUUUGGUCAGUAGAAAGUACUGAAACAGAUGCAGUUAGUAAACGGCAAUUGAUCUCAAUUUGUUGCAAACAAGGUCGUGUUUUACUCACUACUGCUCGUGAGACUCCACCGUUAUUAGUUUUUUAAUCAAGCAUAUAUAAGAACAUAUAAUUUUAUCCUUACUUUUACUUCUGUGGGUACAGAAUUUGAUUAUUAUAUUCAAAAUAUAUAUGGGAUGUAUUGUUUCAAGGUCCAUGGUGGAAAUUAUCAUCUUAUUGGGUCUGUACUACCAUGUGAUGGUGAGCCACCAAAAUUUUCUCAAAUGUAUAUAUUUGAUACAACUAACGAGUAAAAAAUCGCCUAAUAUCACACAAUUAAGAAUUUGUUAAGUCAAUAUGAUAUGUCCAAUGCUAUAUGAUGUUAGAAAUUCAAGAAAGUAUUAUGUUUCUGAAAGAUAAUGUUGACUUAAAAUGUAUCAAAACUAUUUCUAAUGGUUUAAAAUCUUAUAUAAAAUAUUUUUCAAAUUUCUUACAGAUUAUGACAAAUUUAAGUUUUUUUUAAAAAAAAGAUUUUGUACUAGAAUUUUAUUCUCUUUGUUUGGAGAUUUUAACAUUUCAUUUCAUGAUAAUGUUGUUAAAAACUUCUCAUUGUAAAUAUAUAUCUAUCAACGAUUUAAUUCUAUCGGUAAAAUUAAUCAUGUUGGUUAUAAUGGUUGUUUAACUUUUUCUCAAUGUCAAUUGUAUAGUUGCCUUUUAUAUGGUUGUAUAAGUUGAGUUAUACAUGGUUACAUUAAUUGUAAAUUAUGAACUCAAAUAAAAUUUGUGUAAAUUGCUUUGUACGGCUUCGUUCGUCUUUGUAUCUUUAUAGUUUUGAAAGUCAUAUCUAUUUAUUUUUUACAAUAGUAGUUAAUUUUUCAAUAAAUUAGAUAUUUACAUCUAAGUAUCAUCACCUUUUGUUAUAUGUAUAUUUUUGAAAUAAUUAAGAGUUUAAUAUACCUUAUUUUUCUGUGAUUUUGCGGAGGCUCGAUACCUAGUUCAAAUAGAAAUAAGAUUAGUAAAGGAUCUCUAAUCUAUAUAUAAGUUUAUCGAGUUUGUGAUUAACAUAAGUGAGAACAUUGAUGUUUAGUUUUGAGUUAAGUUUCUAAACAUAAUAAAGAGAGCAAAUUUUUUAUACAAGUUCGUGUCUUUGUUCUUAAGCAACUAUAUUGUGGUAUCAGAGCCACAGAGUUAACGUGGAGGAGAAGAAGGCGAGGUAGAGACAAAACCGAUGAUGGCAGGAGAAGAGGAUUCCAUAGGAGCGGACUCCAUGGCUGUCACGACCGUCCCUACACGCAAGGAGACAACUCCUUCACCCUCAUCGAUCCAGUGUCCCAUUCUUACUUCAACAAAUUACACCAAACAUGAGGAUGAAGGUGACUUUACGAGUUCACAAAGUAUGGGAUACGAUCGAACCCAAAAGUCGCAUAUUACAAGUUGGCGAUCAUGAUUCGCCUAAAGGUAUUUGGGAAGCAAUCAAAUCAAAAAAUACCUAGGAGCAGACGGAGUAAAAGAAGCUCGCCUCCAGAGUCUUAUGUCUGAGUUUGAGAGGUUGAAGAUGAGUGACUCAGAUACGAUCGAUACCUUCUCAGGUAAGAUAUCGGAGCUAGCCUCAAAAUCUGCAGCGUUAGGACAAAAGGUUGAAGAAACAAAGAUGGUGAAGAAUUUUCUUCAAAGCUUACCAAGAAACAAGUAUAUACAAAUCGUAGCUUCCUUAGAGCAAGUCCUUGACCUAAAUACAACAAGUUUUGAAGAUAUAGUAGGACGACUCAAAGCGUACAAAGAGCGUAUACAAGAAGAAAGUCAUGUUGAACCUCAGGGGAAUUUGCUGUUCACAAACACCGCAACACAAGGAAACCACACCAAUCCAUGAUGGCUCGCAAGGACGUGGAAGAGGCCGAGGAAGAGGCCGCGGCAGAUGCAAUGGACAAGCCUGAAACAAAGAAACAAAGGAUACACCAGACGUUGUAUGUUUUCGGUGCGACAAACCAGGCCAAUUUGCUUUGAUUUGUCCUGAGCAAAAGAAGAAACUUCAAGAAUUUAACAAAGUCGAAACAGAGGAAGCCGAUGAAGCUCUAUACAUGCAUGAGAUCAUCUUCCUUAAUGAGGUAAAGGUAAUUCCAAAGAAGUUCGAAUCUGACGAAGGAGAAGAAGGAAUCUGGUAUUUGGAUAACGGAGCAAGCAACCAUAUGACCGGUGUACGAUCUUCCGGAUGUCGAAUUUGGUGAUGACUUGUGUGGCAAAGGAUCAAUUCUGUUUGAAGGAAAACAGGUGAACAGCAACUACUAACCGAUAUAUACUUCAUUCCAUCACUAAUGGGCAACAUUUUUAGCUUGGGACAAGCUACAGAGUACGACUGUGACGUAAGAAUGAAGCGAGAUUAUCUAACCCUGUGUGACCCUAGUGGAAGACUCUUAGUAAAGGUAACAAGAUCCCCUAACAGACUGUACAAGAUCAGCCUCAAGAUUGGUAAACCAAUAUGUCUACACUCCAAAAUUGAUCAAGAUACAUGGAAUUGGCAUGCGAGACUUGGUCAUAUCAGUUUUAGGACUAUCAAGACCAUGUCAGCAUUGGAGAUGGUUCAGGGAUUACCCAAAAUCGAAAGUGAAAAGGAGCUAUGCGAAUCAUGCCUAGUAGGAAAGCAAGCUCGUCAAGCUUUCCCAAAAGCAACACAGUACCGAGCCACAAAGGUACUAGAACUCAUUCAUGCCGAUUUGUGUGGUCCCAAAACACCAAACACUCUUGCUCGAAACAGGUAUAUCUUUGUAAUCAUUGAUGAUUACACAAGAUAUAUGUGGACGAUUUUGUUGAAGGAAAAGAGUGAGGCAUUCGAGAAAUUCAAUAUGUUCAAGACUCUUGUUGAGAAGAAACUUGACAACACGAUCUUAACACUUCGUACAAAUAGAGGUGGGGAGUUUACUAGCAAAGAGUUCUAAGAUUUCUGAAAUCAAAACGCGAUUAAACACCAUCUAACAGCUCCCUACACCCCACAGAAGAAUGGUGUAGUGGAAAGAAGAAACCGAACACUAAUGGAGAUGGCAAGAAGUAUUCUCAAAGCAAUAAGGGUACCAAAAAUAUUGUGGGGAGAAGCAGUUCGUCAUUCAACAUACCUUAUUAAUCGAGUCCAUACAUGAUGACUUAAGGAUAAAACACCCUACAAAUGCUUAAGAAGAAUAAAGCCAAAGAUUGAUCACCUAAGAGUUUUCGGAUGUCUUGCGUAUGCAAAAAUCGAAAACGUCAACCUAAGAAAGCUGGAUGAUCGAUCACAAGCUCUAAUACACCUUGGGAUCGAGCCAGGAUCUAAGGCGUAUAGACUUUACAAUCCAACAUCAAGGAAAAUCAUUGUAAGCAGAGAGGUUGUCUUCAAUGAAAAGGAAGGUUGGAAUUGGAAGGGAGCUGAUGAAAAAGCCAAAAUUGAACCGGGCAUGUUUCAUAUGACGUGGGGAGAAGCAAUGGACGAAAGACAAGGUCCAUACACCUGGACGGAUAAUAACACCGUAUUUUGACCACUUUUAUGGAUCGUUUUGAAAUACUUUUUCUAUGUUUUUUAUUUCUUUCAAAUGUUUUUAUUAUGUUUUUCUAGUAUUUGUAGUUUCAAGACUCUUUUAAGGAAACUUAGAAAAAAGCUUAACAAAUGGAUAGAAACAGAUUUCAGCUCAGAGUCAAACCGUCAGAAGUUCACCCGAUAAUGAAGACCUUCUCACCGUCUGAUCCAGCUCAAAUUUGGAGACCUUAAAGAAGGAACUACCAGCUUUCCAGCACACCUUAUAGCAUGGCAAUCCAACAGUUCAAUCAAAAGUUACGCGAAGAGAAAGAUGUCCCGUAAACCAGCCGGCAAGCAUUCCUACCCGCGGCCAACACCCAUUUCACACCGGUCCCGUCCUUCCCGACCACGGAGAAUGGUCUGUCCAACCUUGAAACCCAUUUUCAAGCCAAAAAUGAUUCCCUCAUUUGGAGAAGCCCUAAUUGACGCCCAGAAAUGACUUGAGCACUAUAAAUACAUGUUUUAGGAACCCUAAGUCGGAUGCUCUUUUAUGCUUAGGAAUAUUUUUUAGGUUUUUUAAUACUUUGCUUUCUUUUAAAUUUAGGGAGAUAGAGAUCUGUCUCUUGAACCCUCUUUAUUUCUUCUUCAAUAUCGAUUUCUACUCAGCCUUUCAUUACAAUGUUUUUGCUUUCUUUAAUCAUGUAUGAGUAGUUUUAUUGUUGGGUUUAACGGAUUUUCGAUGGGGGCUAUAUAUAUUCGAUGGGGAUUCCAUUAGCUAUUACAGCCAAAUCCUAGAACUUUUUCUUCUAAACUUAUUUUUAAUGCAUGGGAGUAGCGUCAUGAACGACAAUCUGAUCUAGGUCUUUGGUGUUGGGAAAGUAUUCAUCUGGGGCCAGAUCUAGUUUAAGAAGAGCAGAUCAAACCAUAGCAGUGGAAACCUACCUAUGGGCGAGCUGUGAAUACUGAUGAGUCUUAAGCAAGCUUGCAUCUUUUCCCUUCCAGGGCCAGAGUGGAAACCUACUGGUCAGGGUUGCGAGAGAUAGUUGGUUAUGAUCACGACAGUGGCGUAUUCAUACGCUUGUGACUCGAGUUCUAAACGUUUUAGCUAAGAUCUUUUAAUUUACUUUUUAGCAAUUUUGAAUCGUUCAUCCCCGGAGAGAAUUUCCCUGAAAACUUAGCGUCUCGUCUUUAUAAGUUUUCACCGAUUUCAAUAUAAGUUUUAGGCAUUAGGUUAUUUUUUUUAUUCCAGCCGAUUUUCAUUCAAGCAAUUACGUCUAGCCGUUUUCCUGUUUUUAGUCGGAUUUUACUAGAUUUAGUUAUUAGGUCAUUUUGAUUCCCGCAUUUUCCCGUUAAGAUUAGUUUUUACGUUUUAAAGACACAACCAAAACCCCUAAAAAAAUUGCAUGGUUUUAAACUUUCUUACUUCAUAUUUAUUUCGAAUACUUUUGCAGAAAAGAACCUCCUUUCAUGUGGAUUCGAUUCCGAAGUACUACAAUUGAUCAGUUGUGCACUUGCGGCUGAUUUUAUUUAGGGUAAAACUUGACAGCCCCGCACAUGCCACAUCAAACAACGAGCAGAGUAACACCAAGAAUGAAACAGAGCCGGAAUAAAAGGAUAGUGAAGAUGAAAGCAGUAAUCAAGAGCAAGAAGAAGUUAUUACACUACCUCAGCUAAAAAAAAUCAACACGAGAAAGAAGACGACCCAAGCACCUUGAUGAUCACGUCCUUCUAGAAGAUUUAGACUGUGAGUUACUUCUACUUUCAUUGAAUAACGAGCCAAGAAACUUUGGAGAAGCAAAGGGUUCCAUUCAAUGGACAAAGGCGUGUUCAGAGGAGAUAGACUCAAUCAAUAAGAACAAGACCUGGAGCUUAGUCGACAAACCAAUUGGAGUAAAGGUCAUUGGACUUAAAUGGGUAUUCAAGAUCAAAAGGAAUGCUGAUGGGUCUAUAAACAAAUAUAAGGCUAGAUUAGUUUCAAAAGGUUAUGUGCAACAAGAGGGAAUCAAUUUUGAAGAAGUCUUUGCACCUGUGGCAAGGAUUGAAACAGUUCAGUUACUUAUUGGUCUAGCUGCUUCCCAUGGUUGGGAAAUUCAUCAUCUCGACGUCAAGAUGGCCUUUCUACACGGCAAACUAAAGGAAGAUGUAUAUGUCUCACAACCCGAAGGAUUUGAAAAGAAAGGAGAAAAGCACAAAGUUUUCAAACUCGUGAAAGCCCUAUAUAGUUUGAGACAAGCACCAAGAGCAUAACACAAAGCUUGAUCAAAUCUUGAAGAGCAUGAAGUUCAAGAAGUAUUCAAGAGAAAGUUUUGUGUACCGCAAGCAAGAAGGAGAAAAUCUUCUUAUUGUGGCUGUUUAUGUUGAUGAUCUCUUUGUAACAGGAAAUACAUUGGAAAACAUCAAAGAAUUCAAGGUUGGAAUGUCGUCAAAUUUCGAUAUGUCUGAUCUAGGAAGACUUACAUAUUACCUUGGGAUAGAAGUCAACCAAAACAAAGCAGGGAUCGAGAUUAAAAAAGAGGCAUAUGCGUGCCGAAUCCUAAAGGAGGCUGGCCUAGACUCGUGCAAUCCUACUCACAUACCAAUGGAGUUCGGCUUGAACAUGACUAAAGGUCAACAACGUAAACCAGACAUCGAUGCUACAAUGGAUCAAAGACAUAUCGACUGCUUAAGGUAUCUCUUGCAUACGAGACCUGAUCUCUCUUUUGCGGUUGGAGUUCUAAGUAGGUAUAUGCAAGCUCCUAAGGAAUCACAUGGUCGAGUGAUGAAACAAAUACUGAGGUAUAUACAAGGGACAUUGGCGUACAGUUUGAAGUUCAAGAAAGGAGGUUCUAAGAAACUUAUUGGCUACAGCGACAGCAGCCAUAAUGUAGACCCCGACGGCGGAAGAAGCACAACCGGGCAUGUUUUUUACUUUGGUGACACUCCGAUCAGCUGGUGCUCCCAAAAACAGGACAGAGUUCCAUUGUCCUCAUGCGAAGCCGAGUUCAUGGCUGCCACGGAAGCUGACAAACAAGCAAUUUUGGCUUCAAGACUUGUUGAGUGAGAUUACCGGAUGGAAGGUUCAGAGGUUAGUGAUUUGAAUAGAUAAAAUAUCCGCCCUCUCACUCACAAAGAACCCUGUCUUCCAUGGCAGGAGUAAACACAUCCACAAGCGUUAUCACUUUAUCAGAGAAUGCGUCGAAGAAAACCAAAUUGAAGUCGAGCAUGUACCUGGUGAAGAACAAUGUGCAGAUAUCCUAACAAAAGCUCUAGCAAGAAUAAAGUUCAUGAAGAUUAGAGACCUAAUUGGAGUUCAAGACCUCUCUGGAAAUGACUUGAAGCUUAAAGGGGUGAAUGUUGGAUAAGCUUCAAUAUCUUAAGGCCCAAUACAUCCUUAUCCAAUAAGGAUUAGGAUAAGAUAGGCCUAACAGACUUAGGAGUUAUCUAAUUCAAAUAGAAAUAGGAUUAGUAAAGGAUCUCUAAUAUAUAUAUAUAUAUAUAUGUUUAUCGAGCUUGUGAUAAACAUAAGUGAGAACAUUGAUGUUUAGUUUUGAGCUAAGUUUCUAAACAUAAUAAAGAGAGAAAAUUCUUUAUACAAGUUCGUGUCUUUGCUCUUAAGCAACUAUAGUUUCAUAUAUUAAACCCAAGUCAGGACGUAAUAGUUAACUCUUACAUGAAGAAAACAUCAGAUUAUGUUAGAAGAAAGUUGUUACAGAGAAUAAGAUUAUUUGGGAAAGUUUCAUAGCUGUAAAAUGAAUUACAACAAUCACAUAUAUGUAUAUAGGAUAAAGCCGGUUUACAUUACUAUCCAGGACUAAAUCACAUCUAAUAUGAUAAACCAAUAUACCUACAUAUCUAAUAUUCCCCUUCUAGAUGGCAGGAAUAUAGAUUUGAGUGAUAUAUUUCUUAUGAGAUAAUGAAACUGGGAUGGGAAAAGAGUCAAAGAGGUUUGGCUAAGACAUCUGCAAGCUGAAGCUCUAUUUUCUCGUGAAAAUCAAACCACUAAUGAUCUUUUCCCGAACCAGGUGACAAUCAUUCUCGAUGUGUUUUGUGCGCUCGUAGAAGACCGGAUUAUUGGCAAUAUAUGUGGCAGCUGUUGAUCACAAUAGAAAUCCACAAGUUACUGUUGAUCCACCUGAAACUCUUUGAGCAGCUUUACCAACCAUUCAAUCUCCCGGACAGAAAUCAACUUGUAUUGCCCUGUAUUCUGACUCAGCUGAAGAAUGUGAAACCAUUGGUUGAUUGUUUGAAUUCCAUGAGAUUAAAGAUGAUCUAAGCAAUAUACAGAAACCAUAGGUUGAUUGCCGUGUAUCAAUACACAAUGCCUAAUCUGCAUCUGUAAACCCUUUGAGAAUCAAAUCAGAAUCUACAGAGUAAGAUACACCCAGACCAACAGUUCCUUUGAUGCAGAUGAGAACUCUUUGGUGCAUAAAUAAACUGACAAAGUUUGUUGACUGCAUACAUAAUAUCAGGACGUGUGAUGGUCAAGUACAUCAGCUUUCCCACCAAACAUCUAUAAAUCGAUGCAUCUUCAAGCAAAGGUUCCUUAGAAUGCAAACUGAGCUUAAGACUAGCAUCCAUUGGAAUACUAGACGAUUUGCAAGCCAACAUUCCAGUUUCUUCUAGUCGUUCUGAGGCAUAUUUCCAUUGAGAGAUGAAAAUACCCGAACUAGAGCCAGCCACUUCAAGGCCAAGAAAAUAUAGCAGAGCACCUAAGCAUCAAAGCUUGAAUGUUUUUCUUCAACUCUUCCUUCCACUAAGUGAUUUCAUCGUCAUUAUUGUUGGCAAUAACAAUGUCAUCAACAUAGAUAAGUACAGCCACAUAACUGCCAUUCACAUUUAUCACAAAGAGUGUGUGAUUGAUGUAGGUGCAGUGGGCAACUACAAGUUUUACCUAAAUAAGUUACAAGUGCACAACAAACCAAGUACCACUUAGGGAUCGAAUCCACAGAGAUUUGUGUGUUGAGGAUUUCUAACUGCUACGAAAGACAAACUCUAAACCUAAUCAUAUUAAAAGGGGUUUUGUGUCACGAUUUCUAAAUAAACUAAGCAAGAAAUAAAAACUAAAAGAAAAAGGUUGUAAAAAAUAGAUAAAAAGCGUUGGGUAUUAUAGAUUUUCUCUAGGGUUCAUGAUCUAUAACAUUACGAAUUUAGAUAAGGAAUUUCUAUGAUUCUGAAACUAGAAUAGACACAUGUAUGAUUAGCCAACUAUCGUCACCCUAACCAUCUAAUCAUUCAAACUCGACAAGUAACUUUUGUCUAUUGUCGUGAGAGAGAUCUUGCAUUAACUAAACAUAAUUCAUCUCGGCUCACGCCCACUCUAUAGGUAGCUUUCAUCUCCUAUGAUGGUUAUGUUCAUAAGAUCCAGAUCAGGCAAUCUGAUAUAUCAUUGUCGUGGCUCUGAUUACACCAUAGGUCAGAUGCUAGGUGAUCAAUCCAACAUACAUGCAUUAGGAUCGGGAUGUAUGAUAGAAUCAAUUAGAAAAAGAAAUCCUUAAUCUAAAAAACCUAGAUGUUUUUAAUCAUGAGGACCCUAUUGAUAUUCCCCUUUACCCAACAAGGUAACUACUCAGACAUAGUGAUAACACCGGAUUUUGACCAUUUUUAUGGAUCACUUUAAUAUCUUUUGCAGGUGUUUUUACUCCAUUUCAAAUUUUUUCAAAUGAUUUCUAUGUUUUUGGAUUUUAAAAGACUUUUCAGAUAAGUUGGGAGAAAAAGUGAAAAUUGGAACAAAAAGACUAUAUAGGAUAAAUUCAGACCGUCAGAACUCUCAUGGAGAGACGAAGACCUUCUCACCGUCUGAUCACCCUCAAAAUUGGAAACUUAACAGAAGAAUCAACCAGUUUUAAAUGCACUUGGUUUGGAGACAUUCAAACGGUUGGCUCAAGAUAUUCCAUUUUCCCCGCAGACAUUUGAAGACGGCCGGCAAGCCAGACGACCGCGGCCAACAGCCCAUCCACCGCAAUCAGAGCCACUCGACCGAGGCCAAGCCCUCAUUUCCCACGGUUACACUUCACGCGACCGCGGCCAGCAAUCUUCGACUUAAGAAGCCCAUUUCUGAAGUCCAAGUCAUUUCCCAGCCUCAAUUUCGGAACCCUAGAGACCUUGGAGUAUUGAAGACUAUAAAUACUUGUCAUUUAGGUCGUUUUUUAGACAUCACAUUUCAUGCUUUUACAAAAAUCCUUUUUCCCAGCUGUUUUAUGCGAUUUUUAGAGAGGAUUCUUCGACUCUAAUUGAUUUCAUCAAUAGAGAAGCUUUCUUUCAUCUCUUUUAUUUACUAUUUUUAAUUGCUUUCAUUAAAAUCAAUGAUGUUGUUGACCUCAGCCAUGGCUGAGUAGAUCCCGAGUUGGGCAUAGGGUUCCCGAAAGGGACUCUCAUAAUCGAUUAAGACAUCUAGGUUUUCAGAUAUGGAAUUUUAACUAUGUUAUCUGUUUAUUAUUAUCUUUAAUGCAUUUAUGCUUGAUUGAACACUUCGUAUGUGAUCUAGAUAGUUAGUGUUGCGGAAGUUUUCAUUAAGUAUCAGACCUAGAAUGAAAUAGGCGAUUUUCCGUUGGAGUGGAAACCUACCUACGGCGAAGUUGUGAGUACUGACGAGUCAUGUGCAGCUCCUGCGUUUUCUCCCUUCCAGGGCCAGAGUGGAAACCUACUGGUCAGGGUUGCGAGAGACAGUUGGUUAUGAUCACGACUGUGACGCAGUCAUACCGCCAUACUCUAGCUCUAUAACCCUAAUAUUUUGAUAUCCGUCAAUCCUAAUCUAAAAUCCCUAGUGUUGAAAACGAUUAUGAUCCCUGUAGAGUUCCUAAAAGUCCAGCGUUUUUAGUCAUAGUUUACAAACCAAUCGAUAUUUACUUGCUUUCAUAGAUCUGCAUUUUUACUUAUUUUAGUUUGAUUUUCUACUUGUUUCAUUUUGCUUCCAUUCGAUUUUCUACUUGCUUUUUAGGAUAGAUUCAUUUGCUUUCAUUAGUUUAGUUUAAUCCGUGACAAACACCAAACUCCCUUACACAUAAACUUAGAAACCGUAGAAAACUACUAGGCACACAAAUCUCUGUGGAUUCGAUCCCUAAGUACUACAACUGAUUAGCUGUGCACUUGCGGCUUUCAUUUGUUUUUAUAAGGGUAAAACUUGUUCCCUCACCUCGUAGCACAUCACAUAGCUGAACUUAACAUCAUCAUUGGUAUAAAAACAGAAAAGCAGUAGAGUAAAAAGAUAAAGGAUAAAGAAAAGGUUCUCUUAUUGAAGACAGAUUUGGCAAGAAGGCCUUCUACAAUUGCAUAAAAGUAAAACCUAAAACCUAAAAAUUGAGUACUCUAUUCUAAAGCAUGAAAAGAGACUACUUGUAAAAGACCUAAAGACAAUGUAUUUAUAGCAUCUAUUCUCCCUAGAGCAUCUAGGCUUUACAGAAUAACUGCAGCAAGUGACUUUGGCUUUGAGUUGGGCUUCUCCGGCUCGGAAAUAGGCCCACUGUGGGUAAGAAGGUUGGAGCCGUGGUUCAGGGUCCUUCGGCCGCGGGUGAGGACAGCUUCACCUUUUGGACUGUAUUGAUUUGCCUUCAGUGCAUUGGGGAUAUCUGGAGAUCUAACUGUUGGAUUGCUUCCAAUCUAAUUGCAUUAGAAAGCUGGUUGUCUCUUCUAUGUUGUCUCAGAAUUUGGGGAUGAUCAGACGAUUAGAAGGUCUUCAUUGGUUACCAAACUUCUGACGGCCUUAAUUUAUCUAAAAAAUACUUUUGCUCUAAAAUACACUUCAUAAGCCUAAGUUUCCUGAAAAAAAAACUUUUGAAACUCUAAAACAUAAAAAUCACUUAUAAAAAUAUUGAAAACAGAGUUAAAACACCUCAUAAGACAUUAAAAGUGAUCUAUAAAAUGAUAAAAAUCCAGUGUUAUUAACUCCCCAAGACUUAGACUUUUUUUUAUCCUCAGACAAAACAAAUAUUUAUUCCUAGAAAAGAGGUUUGAAAAAUGCAGGAACUAACAAAAUCUUAGUGAUCCAAUCAUAAUGCAUCAAUCAGGUGUAGCCUAAAAAAUUCUCACCAAGCAUCACUAAUCCCUUGAUCCGUCAUGCGAAAGUUUAUACACUUAGAUCUAACUUCCAGUCUAUUAAAAGUUCUAGUGGUUCUCAUCAAAAGAAAAAUAAACAAGGCAAUUAAGGCUAGGUAUUCAAAAUGCUUUUAGGGGUGAAGUCUGAAGUGUUUAGGGUUACCUUAAUUUCUGAAGAAGCUGGAUAUCAUGUAAAACAGCAAGAGAGGAAGGAGUUGUUGAAAUACACAGUAGUCACUUCCUCCUUGUCUUAGAACCAUCUAAUCUUCUUUUUAAAAUUAUCCUCUUAUUUUCCCAAACAUAGAUUUUUGUCUAGGUCUUAGAGCAUCUCCAUCAGGGUUUGUUAAGGAGAAAUUGGCUCAGUUUCAUAGGCAUAUCUAUUAAAAAUAAAUGGAAAAAGCCCAAUAUACUGAGGAGCGCUCCUUAUAUAAGAGUUGGAAGAGAUGGUCUCUUACGCCACGUGGAGGUUUGUGAGUGGGUGAUUUUGUUUUUAAUUUUUUAUUUUUUAUUUCAUUUUUCUUUUGGUGAAAACUCAUUUUCUUCUUCCACCGUGGCUGGAUGACGAGUCGACGACUUUCUUCUUCCACCAUCGCUGUACAGAAAAAUCAAAACAAAAGCCCACAACACGAUGGUCUUUCUUUUUCUUCCCUCUCGUUUCCUCUCGAUUAAUUGCCCCCAUCAUUCAUUAUCCGAUUUGAUUUGAUCUUUUCUGUAUAGUUUUGACUUGUCACCAGUUUCAGGGUUCUGCAAAUUUCCCCUCCCACUACAAUUGAAUCAGUGAAAAUCGUGGUGAAGCUAAAAAGGACCCAACACGGUGAGUCAGCGACCGAGCCAGAGCAUUAUAGUUUAGCUUCUGACACAACGACGGAGGAAAAUCUCGACGUCGACGACAAUGACGUCGACAAAAACAAUGAAGUCGACGAAAACAGAACAAGAGACAAAUUAAAUUAUAAAAAUAUGGGUUACACUAAUGGAUGAGAGAAAUACAAGAAUCUCUUAACUAUUCUUAUCUUCAAAAAAACAUAAUAAUUUAAUUCUAAGAGACCCAACAUCAGUUACACUAAUGGAGAUGCUCUUAACACCAUAGCUCCAUACAUCAGUACCAAUUGCCUUUGCACUAGAUAAUUUUGACCAUCUAAGACUCAUCUAAGACUCUUUAUGCUUUUUUUUUUCUUUUUUUUUCAUUAUUUUUUAUAUCCUUUUAUUUUAUUUAUUUUUAUAUUAAAUAGAAAUUACUAGUAAGAAUGAGUUUCCUGAUGCAACACGAAGCUAGAUAGAUUGCUGACAUACUUCCUCUCCCAAUUCCAUUCAGUCCUUCUCUUGAGUUACUGAAAACUUUCUUGUUCUUUUCUCUCUGGCGUUUUUGCACAUAUCUGCAAAUAAAACUAAAGGAGAGAAUAUAUGAGGUUCAAAAAUAGAGGUUUGGGUUAAUGGUAUGGUACCACCUAAAGAUGAACUGGCCAUCCAGGACAACAAAGAGUGGUAAAUAUGAAGGAAAAUAUGUCAUGUAUGUAUAUCUUGAUGCCUGCCUAUAAUCAAUGAUGAGAAAAUUAGAUGUUGAAUUAAGUCCAAAUAGAAUGAGCUAGUAUAUCCUGUCAAAAAGAAUCUCCAUUGAUAGAAAUCCUCUAGUGGGAAUUCGUAUUGCAAGUACUCUAGCUAACGCCUAGUUUAGUACUAAACCACAAAAGAGAUAGCAUGUGGAGUAUAGUAGAAGCAUACAGGUCGAAAUCAUCAUAGUUUUGUGUCAAACAUUCCUGAAAAUACUAAAUUGUCUUUAACAUUGCAAGAAAUUUUUUUAAAAUUGCAUAAAAAGAUGAGAAAUAAAAAUCGAAACAAAAAAAAAUAGAUCCGUAACGGAUAAACAUCCUCUUCCAGACUUACAUCACAUUGUCCUCAGUGUGUAAAAAUUGGUGAGAAGUUGGUGAAUAAAAGCAAUAAAGUCUAAAAACGAAGGAAGAUAAAAGAAAAGAAAAGAAAAAUAAUCGUAGAACCGUGGUGGUGAUGGUGAGGUGAUGAAGAACAGAUGUAGGCCUAUGUCUCGUGGCUUCUAUCAGUCUCUGCUGCAGAUGAGUCGUCAUCAAACUGGUGGUUCUCCUUGAGGAAUCACAUCAUGCGACUGUUCGUCUCUCCUCCUGCUCGAUCUUCUUCUCCAAGGCUGCAAAGUAUGCAUCACCCCUGGUGGAUGCACUGGUGCCAACAGGUCUCGCAUGGAUAAGUGCUGGUGCAGGCUGAAGUCUUCUACGAGUCUCAGUUGCAUCUCUCUUGGGUUUUGCAGCCAGGAACUGACUCACAGUCAAUGAAAAAAGGGUAACAGAGAGUAGGAACUCGUGUAUACCUGGGCUCCAUCUAGAGUGUGCGCCAUCUCUAAGUCUAGGAACUGAAUCUGAUGGUAAAAGAACUCUGAACUUAGAUGUGUUGGUGCAGAACUUGUAUGCAUACCCAACUGGAUCAAUCUAUGCUCGGGAUAUGGUUUUGUCUGUGGAGAACUGAGAUAGAUCAAACCAAUCCUUAGAAAGUGAAGUAUCAGCUGAUAAAUCAACUCAAGUAGCUAGCACGAUCACGGUAAUGAUUCUCUCGAAGGCUGGUAAAAAGUCUUGGCAGUUUAAGAUGAGAGCUUCAUGCUUCACCUUCACCAGAUUCUUCCCAAAGAUGCAUCCAAAGCAGGGAAGGCGUGGGUGAUCUUGGAAUGGCAGGUGAAGGGUAACUAGCUCUAGCUUGAGCACAUUGGCCUGGUUGGUCGUUUCAAAGAUAGUGUGUGCAAGAAGCUUGUGCACAAAGCGCACCUCAGAAUGAGUGAAACGUCAUCUAUUUAGACCUUGUCAAUCAGGACAUGAAUAAAUUACCACUUUGCCCAAGCUCUGGAGCUAGUGCUUUCGUUCAGUUCGAGUGAAUAUUUUGAUCUCCCUUUGUUGUACACUUUGACCCAUCACUCUCCAUAUAUCAUCUUCUGGAUCUUUCUCUUGUGUCAUCUCAUCAGUUUAUGGAAGCUUCAAAGCUUCACACAUCUCCAAAAUUGUUAGUGAAUAAAGAUGUCCCUUAAUAGAGAAGGAAAGUGUACCAUCUAAAGCUUUGGGGUUGGCCUUCUUCUUGUAGCACAUGGUUGCAGAUGCCAGAAACUCCUUAGUGUAGUACUCAUAGGUGGGAAAGUUCUGCUCCAUGAAAGAUCAGAUUCCAAGUGAAUCAAGAUACGAUACCACAUCCUCUUUAAUACCAAGCACCUCGAGAGUGGAGUAGUCAAUUGCUGGUGUAGCUUGAUCUUUAGCUUCUCAAGCUUCUCCAUAUAGUUGAUGUUUGGAUCAAGUAUCUCACUCUGAUUCUGGAUGAAGAUGCAGUGUUGCGAGGUAGUGAUGCAGGUUUACGAGGUAUAGAAGUCUCUUUUCUAGCUCGUGCAAGAAUCUCCUUCUGCAUGGAGAUAAAAUCAGCUAGAGGAGUCCUAAUCCUCAAAUUUUUCUCACUGAGAGCAUCUAUAUAUAGUCUCCUAAGAGUGAGCUCUCCUCACUUGUCCAGUCUUCUUAGAGUGAGUAAGACGCAUUCAUUGAUAUUCCAUAAUCUAUAAAACAAAACAAAAUUCUUGAAAAAUCAAAUGAAUAAGGGUUGCAAUUGAAAUAAUUCUUAUAAAUAAUGAUACAUAUAUAACAUCAGCAAUAUAUUCAAUAGCAAGCAAGCUUAUAAUCGAAUUGGAUAUGACAAAUCGAGAAGUUCAUGACCAAUUUCGGAUUUAUGAUGAUGUUUCACAUAUGAAUUUUUCAAAAUAAAGUAUGUCUGAUUCAUAUGCAAACUAAGUGAAUUAUCUACUACAUAUCCCUAAUCACUCAAGAUUUAACAAUGCUAGACAAUAAAACUCUCCAAAUUUGACCUUUUCCCAAGUGUUCCAAAUCUCAGAUUUUGAAAAUCUCAAAUUCAUAGCAACUAAGUGUUAAAAACUUAAAUUGAAUUACAGAGAAGUCUAUUCUUAAGCUCAAUAAUCAUAUCUACUCAUCCAAGGUGAAUUCCCACUACAUCUUAAGAAACUCUAAAAUUGAGUUCAUAUGAAAAGUGAAGAAUUUGGAUCCAUACACUACAAGAAAAUUGAUAUAGAAAUUUUUAUCACAAAUUUGUUAUAUUUUAUAUACAAUAUCGUAACUAUUUUUUUUCACAAAUAGGUAGCAUUUUCGUCACAAUCUUGUGACGUUCUAAAGCUGUAACAAGUUUUUGUCACAAGUAGUGACAAAAUUUGUGACAAAGAAAAUAAACGUGACAAUGGUAAUAAUACUAUGACUAAAUAUGUUGUCACAAUUCUGUUACGAAUUAGUGACGGAAUGUAUAGUCUCCAUUUAUGAUAAUAUAGUGACUAAACGCCAGUUAUAAUUUUGUUUGAAUUGAAGACAAAAAAAAAAUCAUUGUCCAUUGCAACAAAAUAGAUAAUAAAUUUUUGGUAAUUUUUAACUAUUUUAUAGACGUUUUAGUUAUGAAAUGGCUACAAAAAUAUGUUAGAAUAACAUUUUUUUGACAUGUUAAUCACAAACGAAUUUUUACACACAUUAUAUAUAUAUAUAUAUAUAUAUAUAUAUAUUAAUUUCCCAUCUUUUUCACACCCGAAAUGUAUCCUCUUUGCUUUCAGAAUUGUGGGAAUGUUUUACAUUUAUUCUUAUUAUAUAUUGUUUAGAUAACAAUACUAUUCUUUAUUAAAAUAAGGAUUGUUGGUAAAAUCUGAUUGAGGAAAAAAGAAAUACUAAUUAUUUCCUGUUUACAAAUGUUAAUACCGCACUACAAAAAAAAAGAGUUGUACUGCAUCAAUUAUAUAGUAUCACAAAAUUAAAUGAUAAUAUUUUGAAUGACUCAUAACACCGUAUUUUGACUACUUUUAUGGAUCAUUUUGAAAUAUUUUUUCUAUGUUUUUAAUUGCUUUUAAGUACUUUUAGUACGUUUUUCUAGUAUUUGUAGUUCCAAGACUCUUUUCAGGUAACUUAGGGAAAAUCUUAACAAAAUGGAUAGAAAACCAGAGGAAACUCAGUUUGCCUUAGAAAAAUCUCAAAUUUUGGUACAAUCUCGUCCUCUAGUCUUUAUCUCUUUAAAAGGCAUUUCCUUUAAAAAUAUAUAUAUAUAUAUAUCCAAAAAUAAGAAAAGAAAGGAAAUAAAAGCCUUAGAGAGUCUAGAGGGGUCGAAUUUUAAGUCCCAAGGCAACUGGAGUUCGAUUUUAUGGAGUUUUGGAGAUUGUUUUCUGAUUCUCGGAAAGAAUCUAAGUCUGGGGGAACAGCUGUUUACACCAAAGGAGGGAGGAUUAUGCAACAACAUUUGGCAAGAAGAAAUGACUGAAAACUGUGGUCAUCAACAGGUCCUUAUCUCUCUUUCGGUUUUGCAUAUUAUCUUACAUCCUCCAGAUCUUCAGGUAACCCAAAACACUUUAACUCCACCACUUAAAUAGCCCUUUAAUGCCAAACGCCGUCUACCAUGGAUGAUGUCUUUAAUGAGAACUGACUAUUGAACUUAAUGAAUGUAGAGAGCUAGUUGACUGGAAUCAAGAUUUAAAUUGUUUAAGUUUUGCAUGACGGAAAAAGUGGACUAGUAUCUCUUGUGCAUUGGUGAGAAUUUUCUAGACUAAGUUGUGGAUUGAUGCACUAUCUUUGGUCCUAGUUUAGAGUUCAUGUCUAUGAGAUUUGUGCAUUUCCUAUUUUUGUUUUCACUUAACCAGUUUAGGCUUUUACUUUGUUUGAGGACAAACAAAGGUUUAAGUCUGGGGGAGUUGAUAACACCGUAUUUUGAUCACUUUUAUGGAUCGUUUUGAAAUGUUUUUUCUAUAUUUUUAAUUGCUUUUAAGUAAUUUUAUUAAAUUUUUCUAGUAUUUGUAGUUCCAAGACUCUUUUCAAGUAACUUAGGGAAAAGCUUAACAAAAUGGAUAGAAAACCAGAUUUCAGCUCAGAGUCAAACCGUCAGAAGUUCACCCCUGAUUGAAGGCCUUCUCACCGUCUGAUCCAGCUCAAAUUUGGAGACCUUAAAGAUGGAAGUAUCAGCUUUCCAGUUCACUUUACAGCUUGGCAAUCCAACGGUUCAAUCAAAAGAUACGCGAAGAGCAAGAUGUCCCGUAAACCAGCCGGCAAGCACUUCCACCUGCGGCCAACAAGCAAUUUCCCGCGGUCAGGAGCAUCCCGACCGCGGCCAAACACUCAUUCCCCGCGGUCACACUCGUCCCGACCGCGGCCAUCAACCUCCGAGCCCAAAAAGCCCAUUUCUGAAGCCCACAUUUUGAGAAACCCUAAGUGACGUCCAGAGAGGUCUUGAGCACUAUAAAUACAUGUCUUAGGAGCCCUAGUAUAUCGUGUAACCUAUCACCACUGAAUUAUUACUUCAUAAUUUUAUUGUUUUUGCUUUAGCUUUUAGGGAGAGAGAGAUUUGUUCUCUUGAACCCUUGUUCUUUCUUUUUCAAUUUUGGUUUCUAUUCUACUUCUUAAUACUAUGUCUUUGAUUUCGUUCAUUAUGUCUGAGUAGUUUUAUUGUUGGGAUUAAGGGAUUUUCGAUGGGGAUUUAUAUGUUCGAUGAGGAUUCCAUGAGCUUUUGAGCCGAAUCUUAGAAUUUUUCUUCUGAAUUCUUUUUUACUGCAUGAGAGUAGCGUCAUGAACUACAAUCUGAUCCAGAUGCUUGGUGACACGAAAGUUUUCAUCAGGUAUCAGAUCUAGUUUGGGAGAGCAAAACAAACAUAGGAGUGGAAACCUACCUAUGGGCGAUUUGUGAAUUAGGACGAGUCUUAAACAUAAUGCAUCUCUUCUCUUCCAGGGCUAGAGUGGAAACCUACUGGUCAGGGUUGAGAGAGAUAGUUGUCUAUGAUCACGACAGUGGCGUAUUCAUACGUCCGUGACUCCAGUUCGAAAAGUUUAAGCUAAGAUUUUAUCAAAUUUUACUCUCUAGCAAUGUUUUGAAUCGUUCGUACCCCUGAGAAAACUUCCCUGAACCCCAAUGCUUUCUUUUCCAUUGAUUUACACCGUUUUUAUUUCAAGCUUUAGUUCAAUAUUGUCUUUCCUUUUUAGUAGAUUUUCAUUUAAGCAAUUAGAAUAUCCGUUUUUCUCAUUUUUAGUCAUUUUCAUUAAGUUUAGUUAUUAGGUCAUUUAAUUCCCGUAUUUUCUUUUAAGAUUUCGUUUUUACAUUUUAAACACACUAUCAAACCCCCACAAAACCGUUUUGGUUCUAGACUUCCUUACUUUAUACUUAUUUCAAAGGCUUUUUGCAGGAAAAGAUCCUCCUUCCCUGUGGAUUCGAUCCCUAAGUACUACAAUCGAUCAGCUGUGGACUUGCGGCUAUUGAUUUCAAUUAGGGUAAAACUUGACAACCCUCGACACAACCCACACACACACACCACCACCACAUCAAGUUUUUGGCGCCGUUGCCGGGGAAGGCACGCGUUUUCUUUUCUGCAAAACCCCGAGAAAAGUUGGUAAAUCGACUCUAGAACCCCCUUUUCUGCAACUUUCCAUUUUUCGGUUAUUUUGUUUCCAUUUCAGAAUAUAUGGAUCCUAUGAAACGAAAUUACUACUAUGAGGGAGGUUUUUACAACACUCCUCGAGCCACUCAACGCCGAGAAGCACAAUACAUUCGUGAUCUCUCCUCAAUGGAUCAGAAUGCAAUUCCGAACCACCACAAAAAGAGGACUUCGUAGCCACUACAAAUCAAUUCGUGAAGGUUUAGAGGAACAAGGAAUCUGCUGGGAGACAUUGACAACUUACAAUGCCCACGGAGAUAUCCAUGAUCCUCUCUUUGAUGAAGAUAUGUUGUCUGUCUCCCAAACCGAGAUUGAUGAUAUGCUUCAGGAGCUCAAUGAAUCUAUGGAUGAUGGGUAUUGGGUAUCUUGUGAAGUAUACGGAGAAUCCUCCAUCAAGUUUGUUCGAAAGAGGCCAUCAAAUGAAAUUCCUUUGGAUCAUCACGUCAUGGAAGCCAGCCAUCAAGAAAAAGGAGAACCUCUUUCCAUCUCUAAUGACGAUCUCGUCUCUACCGAUUCGUACAAGUGUUUUGGAGAUGACAUACAAGAUCAUAAGUCACUUCCUCUUGAUGAACCAAAAUCUUUUUCUCCUUCAGCUCCUCACCACCUUGAAUGUAAGACAGACCACGUGGAAGAUAAGACACUAAUGGUGACAUCAAAACCACCAUUGAAGGCGCUUUCUAAGACGAAGGAUUCAGAGAAGUUUGAUGCCCCAUUCUCAAUCAAGGAAGUGAAAUUUCGUGAUUCUCUUUGUGAAUCUGGACCUGAUGUGAAUCUCAUACCAAAGACCAUUGCAGAGAAUACAGGUAUUUCGAUUUUUCAUCCCUCUAAGAUUUAUAUUCACUAUGGAGAUUUUUCUGGUGCAGCUCUACUUGGUUCCAAACCAGAAUUGCCUUUUCAAGGGAAAUGUUGUCUUGUUUCUACUGGUUCCCAUGCUAUGGAGAUGAGAAACAAUGCAACAAAACCCUUGAUACUUGGUAUUUCGUUCCUAGCAUCUGUUGGAACACUCAUCAACUACCUGCAUCAACAUAUGAAUUUCCUGAAGAUCAACAAGAAAACCCCAUACCCGGUGAUUACUACAAGGAACUCUCAUUGUCUGACAAUAGGGGGAGUAGACGAUCCAAUAUUUGACCCUGGAGGAACUACAAAGGAUGUUGGAUACGUUCUAGGAAGAAGAGCACCCAAAGAAAAUGCUGGAUUUACAAGUUUGACAAACAAAGGUAUUUUCCUAUGCACACCUUUAACCAAUGCUCAUAUAAGAGGUGAUGCAGACUUAAUUGAAGCAAGAGUGGAGUUUAAAUGGCUCUCAAGACUCUUUUCCGAAGACUCUCCACAAGGAAAAAGAAUUGGAGACAAGAAGCAAAAGGAUCUGAACAUCUUUCCUAGGACAUUCGGCACCGCGGUCGCGUGUGCGCUACCAGCGGCCAAACCACCUUUCCCCGCGGUCGCGUGUGCGCUACCAGCGGCCAAACCACCUUUCACCGCAGUCGCGACACUUCCACCAGCGGCCAAUGCUCUUUUUACCAAUUCUCCAACAGUUCAAGCCAUGGCGACACCUCUCCAAGCAAACUGUCCUCACCUUGGAUGCUUAACUAUCUCCACCACUUCAGAUCAUAAAGAAUCAUAUGUCCUUGUAUCUUGCAACAUGGUUCAAUGUCAUGAAGUGAGAGAGACCUUAUUCACCUCAUCAUACAAGCAUCUAAGACGUUCUCCUGUCACAAGUGGUGUUGAAGACUCAUACCUCAAAGAAGUUCCAAGACUGAUUUUUGAUCCUGGAGGAGGCUACCAUCACGAACCUGCUAGGCAAAGCAAGGAGAUGUCAAAAAAAGACUUGUCUCAGGACAAGGUUUUCUUCAUCAGACUAAGCAACGUCCAACACCAAAAGUCGAGCUAAACCACUUAAAACAAAAGCGCUUAAUGGGAGGCAACCCAUUUAGGUAUUGUUUUUCUUUAGGAUUUUUCUUUCUUUUUCUUUUGAUCUUUUUCUUUUGAUCUUUUUCUUUUUCUUAGUUUCAGGUGUUUCUUAUAAAACAAAAAAGCCAAAAAAAUCAAAAAACCCGAAAAAAAAAGCAAAAAGAAGGAUGGUACCUGACUCCUCGGCCCAGCAGGAACCCAGGAGAAGCAGGAAAAGGCCGCGAAAUAAGCCCCCACGGUCGCAGGUGUUCGGACCGCGGGAAACCCAUCAUCGACCGCGGUCGCGUGAAUAUGACCGCGGCCAAGCACUUGGUUGCCGCGGUCGUGCAGCCCCUGACCGCAGCACCUGGUCGUUGAGAUCCAAACCCGACCCAAACAACCCCUUUCACCUCAUUUCACCUCACCAAUCACCCUCCACCUCAUUCAUCACCCUCCACCACCUUCAUCACCACCAACCACCUUCCCAAACCCCUUCGAAUGAAUCCGGUUCAUCUCCACCAGCAUCCCGGAUCUAGGUAAGUUCCCUUUGUCCUUACCAAUUCGAUUAUCUAUGCAUUUUUCUCAUCCAAUCUCGACUUGUUUCACACUGAGGACAGUGUGAUUUAAGUCUGGGGGAGGAUUUCAUCCCUUUCUAACCACUUUUCUUUCAUGAGUCUUGCAUUAUCUACACUUUUUGCAUUUUCCUUAAAGUUUUUCAAAAUCGGUUUUCAAAACAAAAUACGUUUUAAAAGGGAAUGGUGAACAUGAAUCAAUGAUAGUUGACUGUGUGCUUUAGACUGUUCCUAGUGACUUGCUCAUUCAUGAUUUAGGACUAUACUAGGCGGUAGCUAAGCACAUUUAAAACGAAGUACCCCAGAGGAAUUUUAAUGAUUUCGAUUUAGAUGAAGGGAUACACUAGCUCUGUUUUAUUUGGACUUAAUUUGGACUUAAUUUUCUCAUUGAAGCAUUAGACCAGGGAAACGAAUCAUACAUUCAGGACUCCUUUAUCCUUUUACCACUCUCUGUUGAUCCUGAAUGGCUAGUUCAUCUUUAGCUAGUUCCCCACCUUAACCAAUCCUCUUUCAAACCACAUGCACUCUUGUUUUCUAUUGUCUUAUAUGCAGAUAAGUGCAAAAACGUUGGAGAGAAAGAGGAACGACACAGUUUUCAGUCACCAAAGACAGAGACCUGCGAUUUGCCGGAAGAGUUCCCGGAAGGAUUCAACACAAGAGGAAACUCAGUUUGCCUUAGAAAAAUCUCAAAUUUUGGUACAAUCUCGUCCUCUAGUCUUUAUCUCUUUAAAAGGCAUUUCCUUUAAAAAUAUAUAUAUAUAUAUAUCCGAAAAUAAGAAAAGAAAGGAAAUAAAAGCCUUAGAGAGUCUAGAGGGGUCGAAUUUUAAGUCCCAAGGCAACUGGAGUUCGAUUUUAUGGAGUUUUGGAGAUUGUUUUCUGAUUCUCGGAAAGAAUCUAAGUCUGGGGGAACAGCUGUUUACACCAAAGGAGGGAGGAUUAUGCAACAACAUUUGGCAAGAAGAAAUGACUGAAAACUGUGGUCAUCAACAGGUCCUUAUCUCUCUUUCGGUUUUGCAUAUUAUCUUACAUCCUCCAGAUCUUCAGGUAACCCAAAACACUUUAACUCCACCACUUAAAUAGCCCUUUAAUGCCAAACGCCGUCUACCAUGGAUGAUGUCUUUAAUGAGAACUGACUAUUGAACUUAAUGAAUGUAGAGAGCUAGUUGACUGGAAUCAAGAUUUAAAUUGUUUAAGUUUUGCAUGACGGAAAAAGUGGACUAGUAUCUCUUGUGCAUUGGUGAGAAUUUUCUAGACUAAGUUGUGGAUUGAUGCACUAUCUUUGGUCCUAGUUUAGAGUUCAUGUCUAUGAGAUUUGUGCAUUUCCUAUUUUUGUUUUCACUUAACCAGUUUAGGCUUUUACUUUGUUUGAGGACAAACAAAGGUUUAAGUCUGGGGGAGUUGAUAACACCGUAUUUUGAUCACUUUUAUGGAUCGUUUUGAAAUGUUUUUUCUAUGUUUUUAAUUGCUUUUAAGUAAUUUUAUUAAAUUUUUCUAGUAUUUGUAGUUCCAAGACUCUUUUCAAGUAACUUAGGGAAAAGCUUAACAAAAUGGAUAGAAAACCAGAUUUCAGCUCAGAGUCAAACCGUCAGAAGUUCACCCCUGAUUGAAGGCCUUCUCACCGUCUGAUCCAGCUCAAAUUUGGAGACCUUAAAGAUGGAAGUAUCAGCUUUCCAGUUCACUUUACAGCUUGGCAAUCCAACGGUUCAAUCAAAAGAUACGCGAAGAGCAAGAUGUCCCGUAAACCAGCCGGCAAGCACUUCCACCUGCGGCCAACAAGCAAUUUCCCGCGGUCAGGAGCAUCCCGACCGCGGCCAAACACUCAUUCCCCGCGGUCACACUCGUCCCGACCGCGGCCAUCAACCUCCGAGCCCAAAAAGCCCAUUUCUGAAGCCCACAUUUUGAGAAACCCUAAGUGACGUCCAGAGAGGUCUUGAGCACUAUAAAUACAUGUCUUAGGAGCCCUAGUAUAUCGUGUAACCUAUCACCACUGAAUUAUUACUUCAUAAUUUUAUUGUUUUUGCUUUAGCUUUUAGGGAGAGAGAGAUUUGUUCUCUUGAACCCUUGUUCUUUCUUUUUCAAUUUUGGUUUCUAUUCUACUUCUUAAUACUAUGUCUUUGAUUUCGUUCAUUAUGUCUGAGUAGUUUUAUUGUUGGGAUUAAGGGAUUUUCGAUGGGGAUUUAUAUGUUCGAUGAGGAUUCCAUGAGCUUUUGAGCCGAAUCUUAGAAUUUUUCUUCUGAAUUCUUUUUUACUGCAUGAGAGUAGCGUCAUGAACUACAAUCUGAUCCAGAUGCUUGGUGACACGAAAGUUUUCAUCAGGUAUCAGAUCUAGUUUGGGAGAGCAAAACAAACAUAGGAGUGGAAACCUACCUAUGGGCGAUUUGUGAAUUAGGACGAGUCUUAAACAUAAUGCAUCUCUUCUCUUCCAGGGCUAGAGUGGAAACCUACUGGUCAGGGUUGAGAGAGAUAGUUGUCUAUGAUCACGACAGUGGCGUAUUCAUACGUCCGUGACUCCAGUUCGCAAAGUUUAAGCUGAGAUUUUAUCAAAUUUUACUCUCUAGUAAUGUUUUCAAUCGUUCGUACCCCUGAGAAAACUUCCCUGAACCCCAACGCUUUCUUUUCCAUUGAUUUACACCGUUUUUAUUUCAAGCUUUAGUUCAAUAUUGUCUUUCCUUUUUAGUAGAUUUUCAUUUAAGCAAUUAGAAUAUCCGUUUUUCUCAUUUUUAGUCAUUUUCAUUAAGUUUAGUUAUUAGGUCAUUUAAUUCUCGUAUUUUCUUUUAAGAUUUCGUUUUUACAUUUUAAACACACUACCAAACUCCCACAAAACCGUUUUGGUUCUAGACUUCCUUACUUUAUACUUAUUUCAAAGGCUUUUUGCAGGAAAAGAUCCUCCUUCCCUGUGGAUUCGAUCCCUAAAUACUACAAUCGAUCAGUUGUGCACUUGCGGCUAUUGAUUUCAAUUAGGAUAAAACUUGACAACCCUCGACACAACCCACACACACACCACCACCACAUCAAUGACUUAUUAAUAUCUAUAUUAUUAUUUGAUUAGAGAUUUAUAUAAAUAAACAUUAAUUUGUAAGAUAUUACAGAAUAUUUUACAUAAAUAAAUAUUUAUUUAUAAAAUAUUAUAUAAAUAAACUUUUACUAUAUAUGUAUAAACUUUAUAAAUAUAAAAAGAUCACAAUUUGUUUUAAAUAUAUAUAGAUAUAAAUCAAAACUGUAUUUAAUUUCUUUACUUAUUAAAACAAUAAAAUAUAUUCUAAUAAUUUAAAUAAUAAUCAAUCUAUAUAUAUAUAUAUGAAAAAUCUAUUUAUACUUUUAUAAUACUUUUUAUUUUUAUUUUCAUAAUUAAUCAGUAUCAUUUUCGAAAUCAAUUCAAUUAUUUUUUUUAAAAAAAAAACUGAAAUAUAUUUUCAAAAUUUAAAUUGUAUUUCUUUUACAGGUUGGUCAAGAAAAUAUUUUAGUAAAUUGCAAAAUUGAUUAAGUAGAUGGAUUCGUCCACUUUCAAAAUCCUAUAUAUAAUCAUUAUUAACACAUAUUAUAAAAUUUAUUAACUAAAAAUGAUAGUUUGAUCCGUAAUAAAAUAUUUAAAAUUAAAUUCUUAUUUUACAGAUAUAUAUUAGAUUCUAAUUCAUGUUAGUUUGUAUAUAAGUAUAUAUAUAUAUAUAUAUAUAUAUAUUAACAUCAUAUCACUUUCAAAAUUAAAAACUACUAAUAAUUAAACCGCAUUACAAAAUUUGCUCAAAGUCCUAUUAUAUAUAUAAAUAAAUAUCGGUUGUGUGAUAUUUAUAUAUGUCUUGUUAUCUAAUUGUCAUCAAUUUUAUUUAUUUAUAUUUUUUAUCAAAUAAUUUUUAUCACCAAUUUUAAUUUAGCCAAAAAGAAUUAAAAUUAAGUUUAAAUAUAAUUUAUAAAUAUUACCCCGCAUAAUGUGCAGGCUAAUUCCUAGUAAAUGAUACAAAAUGCAUAAUUAGUAUAUAGUAAAUGAUACAAUAAUGUGCAGGUUUUAUAAAACCCUGAAAUGCAUAAAAAGAAAAUAUCAAUAAAAAAUGCAUGAAAUGAAAAGAAAAAAAAAACAUACCAAAUAGGUUACCUCCCAUUAAGGUUUUUGUUUAAAAUCUUUUAACUAGAAUGUUUGGGAUGAGAUUAGGAGUGAGAAGAAGAAGUGUCUUCUGGAAUAGAAGUCCCUUGAGUCCUCUUAAGCUUGUAUAGUAGAUCCUUCAUCUAUCACAAUCUUUUUUCUUUUUCUAAGAAUUGUUGCAUUUUUUUAAAAAAAAAAAUUGUCCUCUCUAUCACUUCUUUGAGGUUCUUUUUUCUCUCCUUACUAAUGUUGGGUGGCAAAUUGCUUAGAUGCAAGUGGUUGCAAUCCCUUAGUUUUGUUGUUUUCAGUUUUCUUCUUUUUCAAAGUCUUCACCUUUGGUUUGUCUCUUAGAAUUGGAGCUUCAUCUGGAAUGGUUCUAUUGAAUUUAUUCCUGUCCAUUUAAGAAAACUAAAGAACGAUUUCCAUGGUCAAUAACAGUUCCUACAGUGUCUAAAAAUGGUUGGCCAAGAAACUAAUUCUUUCCCUCCACUAUAUAUUCACGAGACACUCUUCUGGUUUUUCUCAUGCUGAGAACGUUUUCUCUCUUACGAAAAACACCAGCAAUCUAUUUCUUAGUUUCAGAAUGUCUUUUGUCUCAAGAGUAUAGUAGAAUAGAAGUUCCUUAGAGCCGUGAUUCGAGUUCUAGCGAAUACAGUUUGUGUAAUUGUAUCCUGGGAUUCUUGAAUCUCAAAUUUCCGUCACACUGCAGAUGAUUCAAAAAGUUAAGGAAAUAGAUUAUCAAAAGAGAUCCAUAAUCUCGCCUCCACUCCUUCUCUCUUCCCUUAACGUCGUUUAUUUUUUUCGUAUUUCAAUGUAUAGUGUUCACUGUUUGUUACUACAUGAAAACGUUUGGAUACAAUUUUGAGGCCAAACACAUGCGAACAUGUAAUCUUGUGGGUUAAACGAGAGAUUUUCGAGAUAAACAAGACUCUUGUUUCCAUCUUCAAACCCUCUAUCCAUCCUCCCCCUCAGGACCAGUCUGAUUAGCAAUGAAAGAGAAUCUGACGAAACCUAUUAAGAGAUAAUGGGCUUAUUGGGUCAUGUAUAGUUACUAAAUCAAUGUUAACUAGUUUAUUUGUUUUGUCCCACAUUGCUAGUUAUUAACUUAAGGGUAACUAAUGUACAUGUAUAUAUAUGUGCCUUUAGGCUGAUGAAUAAAGUACUUCCGCAAAUUACUUUGACAUGGUAUCAGAGCCAAAGACCACAUAAAGUUUUGGUCUAGCUCUUGACUCAGAGUCUAAGGCAACAUAAAGUUUUGGUUUAGCUUUUGAUUCAAAUUCUUGUUAUAAGUUGUGGUUUAGUGGAAAGCAAACCGACGAGGUUUUGCUCUUUUGUUUUGGUGGUGAACUCAGACCGACGAAGUUCGGUAUUUCUGUAGAGCCAUAAGUGCUUGAGCUUUCUUUACUCGGUAAAGAAACUUUGGAGAUUUCUCCUGUUUCAGAAAAUAUGAGAUUUCAGAGUCAAAUAGUUAUGUGUUCUUAUUGUUCGAAGUAUAGUCAUGAUGUGAGAUCAUGUUAUCAGGUAUAUGGAUAUCCAGAUUGGUGGCUGGAGAAGUAUGGAAAACUUACAAAACAUGUGUUACACACUGAAAAACGUGUGUUACACACUGAAAAACGUGUGUCACACACUGAGGCGUCGCCUGAGGCGUCGCAUGAUGAUGCACAGGCUGUAACAGGGAUCAAGAAAAAUCAAUGGCAUAAGCUUGUUCAAUGGCUUGAUUCGAGAUUACAGAUAGCAAUUUGUGUGAGUGAUAAUACCUAUACAGAUGAGUAGAUUAUAUAUAGUGGCGUGUCCCACCAUAUGACAGGUACGUUCAGUGGUAUUUUUGAUGUGCAUAAAGUCUCACCAUGUUUAGUGGGUCUGCCUAAUGGAAACGUUGUGGUUGCUGAUAGAGAAGAAAGUGUGGCAUUGACAGAGAAGUUAACUUUGACACAUGUGCUUUUUGUCAAGGAACUCAAGUGCAAUCUCAUCUCCGUGUCACAGAUUAUUGAUGCAAUGAAUUGCAUUGUGUUAUUUCCUAAGCAAAUGUGUCGGGUACAGGAUCCUGCUUUGCAGACUCCGAUUGCAGUGGGUGAAAAAAAAGAUGGAUUGUAUUUUCUUCAAGGUAUUCAGAAGAUCGUGAAUGUGGUGAAGGUCAGUAAGUUGGGAUCUUUGGAACUUUGGCAUAAAAGGAUGGGACAUGCUUCUGAAAAGGUUAUUAGGAGAUUGCCAGAAGUGGAUCAAAAGAGUGUUGGUGUUUCUGAUUGUGAUGUCUGUUUCCGAGCAAAGCAGUGUCAGAAUGUAUUUCUUGUGAGUACAGAGAAAAGCAAAGAGUGCUUUGAGAUGAUUCACUGUGAUAUGUGGGGGCCAUAUCGAACACAGAGCGUGUGUGGAUCUUCUUAUUUCUUAACUAUUGUGGAUGAUUAUUCCAGAGCUGUGUGGGUUUUUCUUCUUGCUGAUAAAACACAAGUUCAGAAAACAAUGGUAGAUUUCUUUGCUCUCAUUCAGCGACAGUUUGAGAAACAUGUGAAAAUCGUGUGAAUUGAUAAUGGUAGUGAAUUCAUAGGUAUGAAGAUUUAUUUUCGUACAUCAGGGAUAAUUCAUCAAACUUUGUGUGUGGAAACUCCUCAACAAAAAGGGAGAGUGGAGCGAAAACAUCAACAUAUACUGAAUGUCGCACGAGCGUUGAGGUUUCAGGCAAAUUUACCAAUAGAACUUUGGAGUUAUUGUGCUUUGAGUGCUGCGUAUCUAAUCAAUCGUACGCCUUCUGUGUUACACAAUGGUAAGAUUCCUUAUGAAAUCAUCUUUGGGAAAGCUCCUGUUUAUAGUGAGAUACGAGUUUUUGGAUGUUUAGCAUAUGCUCACAAUCAGAAACAUCAUGGGGAUUAAUUUGCUAGUAGAAGCAGAAAAUACGUAUUUUUAGGAUACCCUUAUGCAAAGAAGGGAUGGAACUUAUUUGACUUGGACACACAUGAGAUCUUUGUUUCUCGGGAUGUCACUUUUAUUGAGGAACAAUUCUCAUAUUUGGAGCUAAAAAAUACACAGCUGGAUGAGCCUUCUAAUUCUGAUCAUACGAGGUUAUUACGUUGGUUUUAACGAUAUAGAACCUGCCAUGGCAAGAGAAAUUAUACAACCUCUCACAAGAGAUAUAAUGACACAGACUCUGGUUGUGUCAUACAAGGUUGCAGAAGAAGAAAGACAGAUUAUAGGAAACGAAAUAUGUGAUAUCUUAGGAAUUACAGUGCCACAGACUGAACCUCCAUCGGUUACACAGUCGGAGAAUGUGCAGCCUGCUUUAGUGACAGAACCUGCAUCGGAGACACAGGCUGAAACUGUGCAGCCUGCUUUAGUGACAGAACCUGCAUCGGUGACACAGGCCGAAAUUGUGCAACGGCCUGCAUCAGCAGAAAUUUUGGGAAGAGGAAUGAGAAAGAAAGAAACUUCUGUCAAGUUAUGUGAUUAUGUGUGCAAUACGACAUUUACAAUGAAUACAUCCACUGUGAGUCAGGAGUUGAGGAAUGAUUACGGUAUUGAGAAUUAUGUGAAUUGUGAAAGAUUCUCUGUGUCACACACGGCAUUUCUGUGUAGUAUAACUCAAGGAGUUGUGCCGAAAAUUUUUGCUGAGGCUAUGAAAAAUCCGCGAUGGAGAGAAGCUAUUAGACUGGAGAUUGAGGCCCAAGAACGAAAUCAAACAUGGUUGAUUGAACACUUACCACCAGGUAAGCAUGUUAUUGCGUGUAAAUGGGUUUACAUGAUUAAGUAUAAUGCAGAUGGCUCGAUUGAAAGGUAUAAAGCGAGAUUUGUGGCAUGUGGAACCCUCAAAAAGAAGGGAUUGAUUAUUCUGAUACAUUUGCUCCUGUAGCAAAGAUAAGCACAGUUCGAUUGGUUCUUCAAGUUGCAGCUGUGAAAAUUUGGGAGCUACAUCAGAUGGAUGUGCACAAUGCGUUUCUUCAUGGAGAUUUGGAUGAAGAGGUGUUUAUGAGGGUACCUCAGGGUUUUGGUGCUUCUAAGAAGGGUAUGGUAUGUCGUUUGCGCAAGUCGCUGUAUGGUUUGAAACAAGCUCCGCGAUGUUGGUUCGCGAAACUUUCGAAGGCACUCUUGGGGUAUGGUUUUACACAGAGUAAGGCUGAUUACUCUCUUUUAUCAUUAGUUCGUGAUAAAGUUCACUUGCACAUUCUAGUGUAUGUGGAUGAUCUUGUGGUGAUAGGAAGAUCUUGUGGACAAGAAGAUCUCCCGAGGUGAUACAAAACUUUAAAACGUAUUUAAGCAAUUGCUUUCAUGUGAAAGAUUUGGGAAAUUGAAAUAUUUUUUUGGAUUGGAAGUCGCAAGAAAUGCAGAGGGUAUAUACUUAUCACAGAGAAAGUACGCUUUGGAUAUUAUUGCUGAUGUUGGUUUGUUUGGUGGUAGACCUGUAGAGUUUCCGAUGGAGCAAAAUCAUCAGUUGGAAAGGUCGAUGACAAAGAUACUUGCUGAUCCAGAGAAGUAUCGGAGACUUGUUGGAAGGUUGAUUUACCUGGCUGCGACUAGACCAGAUCUUUCCUACUCAGUUCACAUCUUGUCUCAAUUUAUGAAUGAGCCAAGAGAGGAUCAUUGGAUGGCUGCAUUGAGAGUUGUUCGUUACUUGAAAGGGUGCCUGGGAAUGGGAAUUUUGUUGAAAUCUGGUUGUAAUUUUCAUCUUACAGCUUGGUGUGAUUCAGAUUGGGCUGGAUGUCCAAUCAUGAAGAGAUGAUUGAGUGGAUGUUAGUACAGUUCGGAAAUUCUCCUGUGUCAUGGAGUUCAAAGAAGCAGGACAUUGUAUCAUGCUCUUCAGCUGAAGCAGAGUACCGAGCUAUAGUUUUGGCAUUGAAAGAGUUGAAGUGGAUAAAGAGUGUGUUGUUAAUGAUGGGUAUUGCACAUUCUGGUCCAAUGGAUUUAUAUUGUGACAGUCAGUCUGCGCUUUAUAUUGCAGCUAAUCUUGUGUUUUAUGAGAGAACGAAGAAUGUGGAGCUUGAUUGUCAUUUCAUUAGAGAUGAUAUACAAGCUGGAAUUGUUCAGACUCAACAUGUUUCUACUACUCAACAGUUGGUGGAUAUCUUCACUAAAGCACUUGGAGGACGUCCGUUUAAAGAAAUUUUGUGCAAGUUGGGCAUUCGAGAUCUCCAUGCUCCAACUUGAGGGGGAGUAUUAAGAGAUAAUGAGCUUAUUAAACCAUGUAUAGUUACUAACUCAAUGUUAACUAAUUUAUUUGUUUUGUCCCACAUUGCUAGUUACUAACUUAAGGGUAAUUAAUGUACAUGUAUAUACUUUUAUGCUGAUGAAUAAAGUACUUCCACAAAUUACUUUGACAAAACCAAGACGAUCCAAUCAGUUUUCUUGACAAACACGGUAAUGACAAAUCCUUGAGACCAAAAUCUAUGUCGCAGCCGCUGAGAUGUGUGAGGCAAGUAUCCGCAUAACUAAGUGUAUAUUAAAAAGGGUCUUUCAAUGGGUUCAUAAAUAUAUCGGAGGCAAGAUAAAGAGAUAAAACUUGUAAAUUUGAGAUUUGAACAGUAACAGAAAUUGACGAGAAAGUGAGGUAUGUGUUUACUUAUGUCUACAUAGACAUUAGACAUACAAGAUCAAAUGCUUUAUACUUGGUAAGGAUUAUAUAUAUAUUUUUUUUUUGGUCGUCGGUAAGGAUUAUAUUUAACAGUUGGAGAAGACACAAACGAGAUAUAAUUAAACACUAGAUAUUGUUUUCUCACGUAUAGUAACUAUACUUUACAAUAUAGCAGGAAACAUUGUUCCUUCUAAAAAAAAAGAACCAAUAAAAAUUGCAACACAUUUUCAAUAUAGUAUAUAUUUAACUAUAUAGUUUCUGUAAACAAGGUUCAAACUAAAGUGAGAUAGUCAUAGGAGUCGUAGUAACAAAGCUUGAUGAGCAUAUGGUCUCUAAGCUGCAGAUGGAGCUUUGACGUACUGAAGCACACCGGCCUCAGACAAAGCUUCCACUAACUGCUUCUUAUGGAGAUCGGGAUUUCCUCCCUUUUCUCCGAUAACGUUCUUGUAAUCGAGAGACUUGUCGUUGUAAAUGUCCCACCACUUUUUAACCAGCACCUUGAUAUCCUCUCUCUCCAUAUUCUCUUCUUUUCCAGUGAAUCUGAUACAGUUACAAUAAAAAAAAUUUCAGAGAAAAAAAUCAAUUCAGCAAAACCAAGUUUAACCGUCUGUUAGCUGACAGAUAUAAGUGGUACAAUCGAACAGGGCAUAACCAUCUUUUAACUAGCGGAUUUAAAUGACAAUCGAACAGGACUUUCAACUAGAGAGCCUAUGUUUGUUACUACCAAAUUAAUGAUAAUUCGAGGAAAAAAUAUUCACACUCAUACGCUAACUCAUUUUUCCAACAAAAGAUUCAUACGUGUACAUGUAUAUACAACCUACCUAAAAUAUGCUAGUAAAAAUAAAUAAGAUAUAUUUAAUAACUAUUUGUGAAGCACAUAUAUUUCUAAAAUAAACUUUUAACCCUUUUAAUUUUGACAAAAGGAAACAUUUUGGUUAAAUUUGUAGCAUUAGUUUUGUACUGCCAAAAUAUAAUUCACCUCCAAGGCUUAGAACCAGCAGCACAAUAAUGAACAACUUUGACUUGCUCAAGCUCUACAUUCUCAGGAUGCCUCCAAAGCAUAGCCAUCACUAAGUUAUAAACUCCUGGUAUUGGAGUGUAUAUGUCCUUGAAGUACAUGUUCAAGAAAUCCUAUAACAAAAAUAUUUACAAUGAAUUAUCACAUGUUUUCGUUUGUAUAUAAAUACACUUAAGGAAUUAAUCAUUUCUUCUAAUUAAUUACCUGUUCAGCAAAUGAGGUUGGAGGAACGACUUUGAGAGUCUCCAAGAGGUUUUGAUAAGUGUAGAGGUUAGGCUCGUAAACGAACAUACCGGCGUUGAAAUACAAAGGCGGCUUAGGACCAAGCUCUGCCUCUGGCCAUGUAACCUUGUCUGGACACUGCUGGCAAUAACCGAUCUUGUACUGUGGCGUGUGGCUCCAUGUCUUCUCGCAGAAACAGUCCUUGGCUGCGUAGAAGUGGCCGUUCGGGAGAUCAAACAAGUGGUCUAUAUUCUCGAACACUUGUAUGUCCCCGUCCAAGUAUAUCAUCUUGCUGUACUCCACAAACUGCAUCCAUUUGUUUUUUUCAUUUUUAUUAUAUAGUACACAUGCAUAUGAAAAUAGAUGAAAUUAAAAGAGAACAGAAGUUUUAGCUGAAAAAAAUAGACAACGUUAUAAAAAAAAAACACCAUAACCUAUACCAAAUUUGACAACAUAUUCCAUAUUGUUUUUAAAAGAUAAGACUAAAAUAAAUCCUAUACUCUAAAAACAGAACCAAAAACGAUAGUUUCAAACCUCAACCCAUAAAAUAAAUUAUAAACUCCACACUUAGUAUUAAAAAUCUGGCGUAUUUUUAAUUAAAAUAUUCUAAAAUAGCAAAAAAUUCGCAUUUAUUCCAAACUUAGCACACUAAGAUUAAAAUUUCAAAAGUAAGAUCGACUGCUGUGUCAAAAAUACUUGUUUAACCUAAAUGAAUAUAACUAAAUUUGGGGCUUUUCUCUGUUAGAAAUUAUUUUUGAAUCACUUAAAUAUUGAAUUAUGGUUAUUAUGAAAAUUUAAAUUAUAGUGUUAUGUUUGAACAAAACCAUAAAACUGUGUCAUUUUAAAGUUUCAUAAAUCAUUAUAACAUUAUCAACUAAUUAUGUAUUCUAAGAAAAAAAAACAGAAAUAGUAGAGUUUUAGUCUUCAAUAAAUUGAUAAAACAGGAAAACAAAAAUAUUUUGGUCAUAAAAUACAAAAUUUGCUAUUUAACAACAAAACAGCUUACUAAUAAAAGUGAUAUUAUUUAUGUCGCUAUCUUUAGUAUAUGUCAACGAAAAGUAUAUACGUAUUUGUAUGCAUAUAUACCUUCCAUAUACGAAGCUUAGAGUAGUUGAUAACAUAGUAAGCCAUGGCAAAAUCGGUUUGAUUUUCCGGUGGAUAAACCGGCUCGAUCUCUUUUAUGACACAGCCUUGCUCCACCAGCUGUUUCUGGUGAUCCUCCGGGACGUCCGGUAAUACGGCCACGACAAGUGGAUACUUGCUCUUAGCUUUCCUUAGCCCUUUAGCAAGAGCCACCACUCCUUUCACGAAGUCUCCGUUUCCGGCGAGAAAAGCCACGUAAGCCCUCUUUUCUCCGCCGUUAGCGGUGGCUGCAAAGACCGGUUCGGUAAGUUUGUUGUUGAUCUCAAGUGCCAUUAUCUUGUCUUUGGAAGUGAUAAAUUUGAAAAACUUUUUGUGUUUGUUAUCGUGAGUUGUAUAUAUCGAGUGUCUGAGUGAUGAUCGUUGAGUGGGAGGAAUUGGUGCUUUAUAGAGGAUUUUGUCUGUGAUUUUUGGUUAAUUAAUUUAAGAUUAGAUUACUAAUGACUUCGGAUAAUACAAUAAGGACCGACUAUUUUGAUCUAACGGUUCUUGAGCAAGAUUGUGAUAUUCAACGGUUGUGUAUAGCUGCGUGAAGCUUCGUUUAGGGACCCACUCAAUUCAGCUGGUGCCACGACGUUACAUAAUGACACGUGUCCGUAUCUAGACUGUUCGACUCAUCAAGGUUUUUAAUCGAUCCUGUGGUGGUUGAUCUGUCACUUGUCACUGGGAUCCACUUCAGAUACUACUAUUGUUAUCAUGUGGGAUAUUCUAAUUGGUUAUUAUGAAGACACGUGUUGUAGUGAAACGAAAUUGGCGGUGAUAAUGACACGUGUCAUGAGAAAAGUCGGUGGGACCUAUUUACCGUUUGGUCUUAAUUUUGGUAUUCUCAAUUUUGGUCUUAUGGUAGUUUGUCCGAACUAUGACCGACCGACUAUUUUGAUUAAUUUUACGUUACUAAAUCAAAUAUUUAAUUAUAUGACUCAAAAGGUUUACCUUUGAAAAAUGUAAUCCGAAAUUGAUCAUACUUUUCCAUUUUGAUAAUGUGCCUGUAUUUUAAAUUAUAAAACGAAAACUAAGAAAACAGGUUAAAAAAAAUUAUAUUUCCUUGAAAAUUUUUUUGGUGGUUACAGUUUUUUUCGUAUUAGGCUUAUGAUUCUACUAUUCUAAUGUGUUGAUUCAGUUUUUAGGUUUAUAGUUUAGUUUGAGACUAUUUUGACAUUAAAAUGAUUUGGCUUUAGAGUUCAUAUAUAUAACUUAAAAGAUUUUGCGAAUAAACUGUUAAUUAGGUUAAAUAGAUUUAUAUUGUUAUACUUUCUGUUAAAAACUCGGUCGCUGCGCUUAGCUGCCUAAUCGGUUAUUUAGAUGCUAGGCGAUGGAUGACCGUUCCGACUAAGUGUUAGGCCGCGGUUUUAGGUUGUUUUCCGUUUUUUUUACCGUUUAAAAUUGUUUAGAACUGUCUAAAACCGCCUAAAUCUGUUUAAAAACAAAUUUUUCGUCUAACUUUUGAAAAUCAACCCAAAAAAUCUCAAAAAUUUUGAAAUUGACCCAACUUUAUUAAUAAAAUUUCUAUAUUUUUUUCUGAAAUUGGUCUAAAAUCAGUCCAAUUAAUUUUCUUUCCUAAUUAAAAACGACAUCACAUUCAAUACUUUACCAAUUAACGAUUUUAACGACUUAAUCCUUAAUUAACAAUUUCAAUUCAACUAAAUUACAAUAAAAUCAAAUCAAAAUCAAAUAUAAACGAAUUUAAGUUCCAAAAUCAUCUAAAAAAGAUUAAUAUAAAUAAUUAAAAAUUAAUUAUAAUAUAAAUUAAUCAAAAAUUAAUCAUUGAUUAAUCAGCGAUUAAUCACUGAUUUUUGAUCUAGGCGCUAGUCGGAACCCGCCCACCCGCCUACCGCUUAAAUUUUUUUAGCACUGGUUAUACUCAUCAAGGACGUCUAAUACCUUUUUUAAAUCAACAAGUAAUGUAAGAAAAUCAAUUGAAAAGAGCUGUUGCUGUAAUAUUCUCAGUGGGCCGACCAUGCUUACUAUACGGAGGACAAAACUAAAGGAAUUGGAUAACGUUAGUUUAUGGAAUAGUAGAAGUAAGCGUAAGGUCACUCUUCAAUGCCUUUUGACUAAUCUUUUAGUAUAGAAUAUUCUAUAGAAUCACAAAAACGAGAUAGACGAGAUUCUAAAUUUUGAUAAAAACUCCAAACCGAUUAAUGUUUAUCUAAUUUUAAUCGUGUAGUUUUUUCUUUGGCUUCUGUGCGAUGGAGUUGAUUAGUAGUAUAGAAUAACAAACAUCUGAAUAAUUAUUAGUGGAAAAAAAAUGAAUUGGAUUAAAUUUCUAUAGAGUAAUUAUAAAUAUUGAAUAACUAGUUUUACUAAAUUAAUAAUAUUUUAUCUUUUAAUAUAUAUUUAAUACGUUAGUUGUGUAUAGUGGAAUUACUUCUUUUUUUUGUCGUCCUUCUUAUUGAUCAAAACUUAAGUUACAGUUACAGAGUUCCACGAUAUUAGAAAACUUACAUUAUUGGUCCUAGUCUGUUAGCUAAACGAUCAGCUACAUUGUUUACAUCACGUGGAAAUUUAAGAAAAGAAGUACAUCCACUUCUUUCAGCUAGGCAUUGAAUGUCUUGCAAAAACGUUGAUAAGGGAGAAAAACUCUGUCCUUGUUGAUGAUGAGCACCGAAGAACUUUGCAAUGGAUUCAAAUAGCUUGGAUGCAUCUCCACAGAAGGUAACAUUUUUGACCCCAAACGCUUUACAUGCAUCAUUGAUAUCUUCAACGCCUCAGCUUCUGCUUCUAACGGUGUGCUCGUCGGUUCUACUGCAGCUUUUCCAUGAAGGACUUGUUGACCGUUUUUGUUGUAUAGUACCCAGCCUAUUCCUGCACACUGGGCCGGAGAUACCCAUGAACCAUCCACAAAGCAACAAUUCAUGAGCUCUAUUAAUAACAUCAUGUAUUGUUUCCAAUGUAUUUCUUGGAUUCUCCUGGCUAUUGCUUCUAUCAUCAGUAGACAGAUCAAGCUGAGACUGAUUCAUACUCACAGCCUCCUUCCAUAAGUUGAAAUCAAUGAGAGAUUUAUUUAUAAUAUCUGGAAUUGACCAUUGCUUAUUGUUGAAAAGUAAAUCAUUUCUCAUCUUCCAGAUUUUCCAACCAGUGAAAGGUAAUAAACUCAAUUCCUUUCUAUGGUUAUUAUGUAAACUCUGCAUUGAUUCCAUAUUCUGAUUAAAACAGUUAGUUCGAAGUUUUAUACCUGUUGGGGCCAUUAUUGGUGCUUGCUCCCAUACUUCUGCAGUAACUCACAUUGAAAGAGGAUAUGGUUAAGGCUUUCGAUAGGCCCUUUAAUACAUACGUGAGGCGAGUUAAACAGAGUUAAGCGAAGAGGAAGGCGCGUGAAGCAAGAGCGUGGAAGAAGGAAAGCGGCCGAUUCGUGCCUCAACUGCACCUUCUGGUACCGAUUAGUGCCUGUACUUUGUUGUUGUGCCUACACAUGCUCGAACUAUGUAAAAUGUGAAUAUUCAUACCUGAACUCAAAUUUUUUGGCCGAAUCAUGCAUUGACUCUUAACCCGUUAGUCAACUCCGUCAAAUUGUUAACGGAUCUGACUCAUAUACCACGCUGGAAUCUCCAUUGGAACAAGAAUAUGAUACUACGUCGUUUUGAAUAAUUAAAAAAAAAAACAAAAAACUUGCAACCUCCAAGAAUCGAACCCUGAACCAUUCCCAUUUAACUAAGCCUAGAAACCAGUAGACCAAAUGAAUUAAUUGAUAAUCUACUGCAUGCUUAAAAAAUUUAAACGAUCCCACACCACUGAUUGAUUAUUCAUCUUCUUCAUCGAGGUCUGUGUUAAUAUGAGAGCUAUUUUUUCCAAAACCAAAAUCAGACACUUUGCUCGCAUUCGUCGAUGUAUACUCAGAUCUGAGGAUUAAUCUCGUCUUCGUUUUCUAGUGGGAAAAAAUAAUCGGAUUUGGGUUGAGGGAAACGAAGCCGGAGGUAUAAAUCAAGGCAUCCUCCAUGGAUGAUGGCGCUCUAAACCAACUCUUCUGUCGCUGAUUUCACAGUUUCGCUUCUUCCUACAGCUUUGCGAACGAUUCAUCAAAGAAGAAGUCUGAUUCGUCGGUAUUUGACGAUCUGAGUUGCGAUGGUGAUAUCUUCGCAAUGUAUUAUUUUUUUUUUAAUAAUGGGUGUACGAUUGUUUAUAUUGUUUAAGCGUGCAACAGAUAAUUGAUUAGUACAUUUGGUCUACUGGUUUCUGGGCUUGAAUUAAUGAGAGUAGUUUAGGAUUCGAUUCCUGGAAGCUGCAUAUUUUUUUUUAGAAUUAUUCAAAACGACGUCACAUCAUAUUCUUGUUCCAACGGGGAUUUGGCAUAUGAGUCAGAUCCGUUAACAAUUUAACGGAGUUGACUAACGGAGUAAGAGUCAAUGCAUGAAUCGGCCAAAAAAAUUUGAGUUCAGGUAUGAAUAUUCACAUUUUGCAUAGUUUGGGCAUGUGUAGGCACAGCAACAAAGUACAGGCACUAAUCGGUACAGAAGGUGCAGUUGAGGCACGAAUCGGCCGCUUUCCCGGGUGGAAGAGGAGUCGGGAAGUGAAUAGUAUAAAUAGCUAACUCUGUAUUAGAAUACGUAUGUCAUUUGUUUGUAUGUACAACGUAUUUGCUGUGUAGCUGGAUUCUGUUAUACACGUUAUGAGUGUAUAGAGAUACAGCUACAUAUAUUUUUUGUAGUUCUCUUCUUCAUCAAUAUACGAGAUUUACACUGAGAAUCCUAUCUCAGUUCUUAUCAAAUGGUGCGUUAGUGACUCGAUCGAAGCAACGCUAUGGAUUCAGCUGCGAAAGGGAAAGCAACAUCAGAUUUCGGAAGCGAGGGAGGCGAUUGCGAUAUGUCGGUGAUGAGAGAAGAGCUGGAAUUUCUUCACGGAGGUUUCACACGCCUUUGUGAACUGAAGUUACAGACGGAAGGUAGGAUGACAGAGAUGAACGAUAAUCUCAAUUCGAUUCUUGAUGCAAUUCGCCAGCAAAGUAGACUACCACCGAAUGUUGACGGAGGUGUUCGACCAAUGGAGAUACCUGGAUCUUCAUAAAAUCAGUUUCAGGUACCAAAUUCUUUCUCUGAAACAAACCGGAACGAAUUUCCGCUAGGUUAUCGAUCAGGUCAUUCAGAUCUAGGGAAUCAGGAUAUUUUGUUGAAGAAAAUUGAGAUGCCACUCUUUGAUGGCUCUGCUCUGUAUGUUUGGAUUGCGGAAGUGGAAAGUUUCUUUGAAAUCGAGAGGUAUGAUGAUGAUGCGCAAGAGACAAGGAUUUCGAGAUUGGAGAGAUUUCAAGGCCAAGAUGCUGGUUCGAUUUGCUGAAUCGUUGGAGGAUGAACCGGGAAAGCGUCUCUACUCAAUUCGUCAGUUGGGAUCAGUGAGUGAUAAUAUUUCUGAGUUUGAGGAUCUUUCAUCGCAAGUGUAUGGGGUUGAUGAUAAAGGUCUCAAGGACAUUUUUUACAAUGGACUCUCUCCGGAAAUGAAAGAGGUCAUUAAAAUGAAGGAGCCUAAAGGUCUGGCAAACCACAUUGCAGCAGUGUUGAAGAUGGAGAGCAGUGUUUUCUGCAAAGUGGUGGGUAAAGUAUCAAGGAAAGAUGGGAAUAUUCGAGAAACAUUACUCACACCAACCGUUCCAACUUUGUGUCUAACCAGAAACUACAGUUUGUUCAUACUCUCAAAAACAAAGCUGUGGCUACGGAAACACAAGCUCAGAAGGAAGGACAGUUGAUUGCUAAACCACCAGUACGUCCACGACAAAAGUUUACAGAUGCUGAACUGGAUCUCAAGAGAAGUUUGGUCUGUGUUUUAUAUGUGAUGCGAAAUGGUUCAAGGGACAUGAGAAGGUGUGUCCUAAACAGGAGUUACUAGUGCUGACAGUUCUCAAUGGUUUUGAGGUGGAAGUAUUAGACGAGAACAUGUUUGAAUUGAGUGAUACAGAAGCAAAACCAGUUGGUGAGCUGAGACAUUUGUCCCUAAACGCAUUUUUGGGGAUUAAAUCUCCAAAGACGACGAAAGUUUUAGGAGUUAUUGGAAAAACCACAGUAGUAGUGAUGUUGGAUAGUGGUGCUUCACAUAACUUCAUCACCCCUGAAACUGUGGCAAAAGCACGCUUGUCAGUAGCUGAAUCUGAAGCUUUAGACGAAUUAUUGGGGAAUGGCUUACAGAUUAAAGGAUUGGAUGGUUGUUCGGAGGUAACUUUCGCCUUGGCAGGAUAUGAGUUUACUACAGACUUCAUAUCUCUGGAUUUGGGAAAUGUGGAUGUGAUACUAGGUGUGCAAUGGCUUGAGACGUUGGGUACUUGUCAGGUCGACUGGAAGAAGCAGGAGUUCUCUUUCAAAUACAGCGAUAAGUGGAUAACCUUGUAUGGUGACACCAGCUUACACGCAAAGCGUUUAUCUUUGAAGACACUUUCUCCUACCCCUCGCAUUGUAUCCAAAGGAGUAUUAUUGGAAUUUGAGGAUACAAGGGUAGCAGAACAACAUAGUCUAGAGAUUCUGUCGCUGAUUUCAGACGUGUUAUCAGAGUUUGAAGACGUGUUUGCAGUAUCUACAUGAUUACCUCCAGUUCGUGGAAGGGAACACGGGAUUUUGUUGCUGAAGGAUAAAGAACCAAUCAAUGUGUGCCCAUACAGGUAUCCACAUAUUCACAAAGAGGUAAUGGAGAGAAUGGUGCAAGAAAUACUUGAAUCUGGAACCAUACGCCAAAGUGUUAGCCCGUUUUCUAGCCCAGUUCUUUUAGUGAAGAAGAAUGAUGUUACAUGGCGUUUUUGUGUAGAUUACAGGGCACUAAACAGGGCAACGGUUCUAGAAAAAUUUCCCAUUCCGAUGAUAGAUGAACUCCUCAAUGAGUUAUACGGUCCUGUGUUUUUUCUCGAAACUAGAUUUAUGUUCUGGAUACCACCAGAUUAGAAUGAAGGAGGAUGACAUCGAGAAAACAACAUUUAGAACCCCUGAUGGCCAUUACGAGUUUCUUAUGCCAUUUUGCCUGACAAAUGCUCCAGCAACUUUCCAGUCAUUGAUGAAUAAUUUUUUCGAGCCUUUCUGAGGAAGUUUGUCUUAGUCUUCUUUGGCGACAUUCUUAUCUAAAGCAGGAGUUUAGAGGACCAUGAAGAGCAUUUGAGAGUUGUGUUGAAAUUUUUUGCUGAACAACAACUUUUCGCAAAUAGGAAGAAAUGCUUAUUUGCCCAGGCAGAGGUCGACUAUUUUGGUCACAUCAUAUCAGCGAAUGGUGUUGCAACUGACCCAAAGAAAACAGAUGCAAUGUCUAAGUGGCCAACUCCUCGAUCUGUUAAGGACUUAAGAGGUUUUCUCGGGUUGACUGGAUACUAUAGGCGAUUUGUAAAGGGGUACAGUCACUUAGCAAAACCGUUAACCGAGUUGCUCAAGCGAGAUAAGUUUCAGCGGUCUGAUGAUGCUCAGAUGGCUUUGAUACAUUGAAGAAGGCGAUGGUAUCAGCCCCUGUUUUAGCAUUACCAGAUUGUUCUGAAACAUUUGUAUUGGAAACAGAUGCAUCUGGUUUUGACUUAGGAACGAUAUUGAUGCAAAGACAGAAACCAAUGGCAUAUUUCAGUUGUGGUCCAUCUGCUCGGGAACAACAAAAAUUAGUUUAUGAACGAGAACUGAUGGCUAUUGUUCUAGCCAUUCAAAAGUGGAAACAUUACCUUUGGGCAGAAAGUUGCGGUGCACACGGAUCAUAAGAGCCUAAAAUUCUUAUUGGAACAACGUGAAGUGACAAUGGAACACUAAUGUUGGCUUACUCGACUGGUUGAGUAUGACUUUGACAUAUAUUACAAGCCAAGCAUUGAGAAUAAAGCCGAGGAUGGCCUUUCACGAAGUAUUCAGAGUAUUCCAGCCGUGAUUCAACUCCAUGAUAUAUACAAGGAGAUUGAAGAUGAUGUGGGGAUUCAGAACACUAUUCGGAAAGUUGUUAAUGGUGAAGUUUUUAAGAAUGGGUAUAUGGUGAUUGAGGGUCGAUUAUGUUACAAAAGGAGGCUACUGAUUUCUGCUACAUCGGCAUAUAUUCCUCUGAUAUUGGCUGAGUUACAUGAAGGACCUGUUGGGGACAUGCUGGAAUCUUAAAAACAUUGAAACGUGUCCAACAGUCAUUUCAUUGGGAAGGUAUGCGAGAUGAUAUUCAGAAGUUUGUAAAUGAAUGCAAGACUUGCCAGACUCACAAGUAUUCAACCUUAUCACCUGCUGGGUUGUUACAACCAUUACCUAUCUCUACAAAGAUCUGGGAAGACAUUAGCAUGAAUUUCAUAGAAGGACUUCCAUUAUCUGAAGGUGUUAGUGUCAUCUUUGUAGUCAUCGACGUACUCAGCAAAUAUGGAUAUUUUAUAGGCUUGAGGCAUCCCUUUACUGUGGUCGAUGUGGUGCAAAAGUUCAUCAAAGAGGUGGUCAGGUUACACGGGUUUUCUGUCUCCAUUGUCUUAGAUAGAGAUCGCAUUUUUCUAAGUUACUUCUGGAAGAAAAUAUUUCAAACAGGUGGGUACUAAGCUCAAGCACAGCACGGCCUUCUACCCUCAAACGGAUGGCCAGUCUGAAGUGUUAAAUCGUUGUUUGGAGACAUAUUUACGUUGUCUGGCCUCAUCACAUCCUUGUACGUGGGCUAAGUAUCUUGUUUGGGCGGAAUUGUGGUAUAAUACCAACUACCAUACUUCACUCAAAAUGACUCCAUUUAUGGUGGUCUAUAGCCGCAAACCACCUUCGGUUGUGAAGUUUGAGGAUGGUUCAACUGCCAACUUCGAAUUGGAGAAGAUGUUAAAGGAGAGAGAUCUGAUGUUACAGCAGAUUCAUGCUCACUUACUUCGAGCUCAGCAACUGAUGAAGGAUCAAGCGGAUAAACACAGAAGAUUGGUGGAUUUUAAAGUUGGAGAUCAAGUGUUUUUGAAGCUUCGUCCUUAUCGCCAAACUUUGGUGGCUCGUCGAGUCUGCCAGAAACUUGCUGCCCGUUUCUAUGGCCCUUUUGAAGUGUUGGAAAGAGUGGGGAAAGUGGCCUAUAGACUACAGCUUCCUACAUGCUUGAAAAUUCAUCCUGUCUUCCAUGUCUCUCAACAUAAAGCUGCCUUGGAAACUCAUCAUCAUGUGAUUUCUCUUCCAUUGGUUUUGGUUGAUGAAGAGAAUAUUAUUCCUUUGGAUGUGAAGGAGAUUCGUUACAACGCAGCUGGUGCUUUGGAGGUGUUGAUUGAAUGGAAGAAUUUUCCUUCACAUGAAUCAACAUGGGUUUUGGCUAGAGACAUUAAAGGUCAAUUUCCAGAGUUUGAUCUUGAGGGCAAGAUCCUUCUUAAAGGGGGGUGUAUUGAUAGGCCCUUUAAGACAUACGUGAGGAGUUAAACAGAGUUAAGUGAAUAGGAAGGGGCGUGAGGCGAGUUAAACAGAGUUAAGUGAAGAGGAAGGCGCGUGAAGCAAGAGCGUGGAAGAGGUAUCGGGAAGUGAAUAGUAUAAAUAGUUAACUCUGUACUAGAAUACGUAUGUCAUUUGUUUGUUUGUACAGCGUAUGUGCUGUGUAACUGGAUUCUGUUAUACACGUUAUGAGUGUAUAGAGAUACAGCUACAGAUAUUUUUUUGUACUUCUCUUCUUCAUCAAUAUACGAGAUUUACACUGAGAAUCCUAUCUCAGUUCUUAUCAGCUUUCCUAAGCUUCACCACACCUCUGACACGUAUCAUCAAUAAUCAACUUUCUCUUUUUCAGAUUAUCUGCAGUUGGCAACGCAUUAUGUAGGCAUCUUCACCAAAAAUGUUUUAAGUUUCGGUGGUAUAUUAGAUUUUCAUAUAUAUCAAAUUAAUAAUUUAUGAGAUGAAUUGGACUUGUCCGAUUGAGACAGUAUCUGUGUGAUGUGAGGACUUACGAAGCACUUGGUAGCCAGAUUAGACAGAAUAGCUUCCAUCAGGCGUAAAUGUCCAGAUGAUAGAGUCUGCCGCCCCUGUUACAGAAGGUCGAAUAUUUCUGAUAUAAGGAGAAUCUAUGAGUUGGACAUAAAGUGGUUGUUCUCAUUGAUUCUGAAGCAACAAAGAACUUUAUUUCAGAGAAAUUAGCUAUUCGUCUCAAGCUGCCCUCUGGAAGUACAAGCUUAGUUUCUGUUUCCAUGGGACAAGGACAUAACAAUGAAAGCAAAGAAAGAUGCCUCAACUUAUCCUUAUAUGUUCAAGAUGUUGAGACCGUUGAGGACUUUUUUCUACUAGACAUGACGAGUCUGAUCUGUAAGUGCUUUUGGGAUAUAAGAGGCUUUCACAAUUUGGUGAAACGUGGAUAAACUGUAAAGAGAACACUAUAUGUCCUUAUACCAUGACACUAGCUGGGUCACAAUGAGUAACAAAGGAUCGGAGAUUGUUUGAAAGGGUUUAAAAGAACUUAGAAGGGGUUAUUUACGAGUAAUCAGUACAUUCAAGAGACUACAAAUGAGCAGAAGACGCUAAUGAAAAGAGAUGUGGAUCACAACCAUUAGGAAAAAGUUUUUUUUGGGGGGGGGGGGAUGGAUAAAGGAAAUGUAUGCAAGGCUGGGCUGUGUUGGUGUAACCGUUGUUGAUAGAGUGGAUAUAUGCUUUAUUCAGGAAAGGAGUAUUUCAAGAAGCUACUAGUUCUCUUCUAUCAAUGAACAACGAUCAAAAGCUAGACAAGAGACUUGAAGCGGGUAGAUUGCUGAUAAGUAGAUCUUUCGAAAAUGGUGGUAAAAAAAGUCCUUUUUUGUGAUGUUGGGAAGCUAGAGUGAGAUGGAUUCACUCCUUAACGUCCAAGUUAUAGCGCAGAUUUAAUUCUAGUGAGUUUAACAUGUGUGGAGUGCCAUUAAUAAGUGAUUUAAGCAAGAAAUAAUUAAAAAUAUAGGACAGAUAAACUUAACUAUUGUCUCCUUAUUACUUAUAUAAUAAAUUUUGUCCUCUUAAUACUUCUAUAAAUAAUUUAGUCUCUUCUACCAUUUUAAUUCGAAUUUACCCAUAAUAAUUAAAAUUUAUGAUCCAAAAUUUAAACAUAUUAAAUUAAAAUUGAUAAAAAGUAUGAUUUCCAUGAUUCCCAUGAAUUGAUAAAAAUUUAAAUUUAAAAUUGAUAAAAAUUAAAUUGAUAAAUUAAAAUUAAAAUUGAUAAAAAUUUAAAUUGAUAAAUUAAAAAAAUUGAUAAAUUAAAAUUAAAAUUGAUAAAUUAAAAUUAAAAUUGAUAAAUUUAAAGUUCCCAUAAUUCCCAUAUAUUAAACUUGAUAAAAAUUAAAAUUGAUAGAUUAAAAUUUAUGAUUCCCAUGAAUUAUUGUGAAUCGAGUUUGCAUUUUCCUGUUGUGUUUUCGUAGUUGUGGAAUCCUUGAACUCUAGAAUGGCUAUAAAAAAACUUGCCUGAUUCGUGAAUCAUUUCUGCCUGAUUCGUGGUUAGUAUUUGUUAGAAUUUUUUUUUUCGAAGAUUCAGUUAGGUAGGUAUGUAACAUAUUUUAAGGUAAUUAGAACGAAAAAACUAGGAAAAACGUAAAAAUUAUGAAGAAAACGUGAAAGUUUGUAGGUUGAAGGAGGAAAAAAACGAUAAGUUGUGGAGAAAAAGCAAAAAAUGUUGACAGAAUUUAGUUUCUAAAAAAAAAAUUUAAAAACAAUCAUUAGGAAAUUAAAUAAUUCGAAAAGGAAAGAAAUAUAUUCUCUAGAUCUGAUCCUAGAUUCUCGUAGAUUCAGUUAACCGAAUUGUGGAAUAAUUAUUCUAUAAUUGUAGAACAAAGAGUUUUUGUAGAAAUGCAAUUCUACUAAGAUGUAUAACAAAGAUGUAACUAUAGAAAGAUAAUUCUACUAAGCUGUAGAACAAUGAAAAUAUUGUUGAAUACGGUUUCGUAUCUUUGUAGAACAUAGAAGAACUGUAGAUAACUAAUUCUAUAUAUUUAGUAGAAAACUAAUGAAAUAAUAGAUAGCAUAUUCUAUAAAUUUAUAGAUUUAUAUAAUGCACUUUCUACUAAUUUGUAAACAUUUGUAAAAAGUUGUUUUAAUUUUUUUUUUGGAAAAAGAUGUUUUACGAAAUGUCUUUGUAUUUCUUUUUCUGAUUUUUCUAAAAAAUUUAAGAUUAUAAAAGUUUUUUUAAAAAAUUUUUCGUAAUUAUAAAUAAAAGAUAACUUUUUCCUAAAAUGAUAAAGUUUGAGAAAAUAUUAAGGGGACAAUACUACAAUUUUUAUUCUAUAAAUAUAAUUGCCCUUUUAAGUAAUGAUGUGGAUAAUUUAGAUUGAGAGAAGUUUUCUCUACGUAUCACAAGAGAAGAAAAAUAAAAUAUCUAGAUUUUAAAAUUGAUAACUCAGAUAAUUAUAAUUUAUACCAUUAGAUUCUACAUUGUCAAAUUGUAAUAAAUUAUAUAUUAUAAUUCACAAAUAAAAAAUUAGAAAUUGAUAUAUAUUAUCCAUAAAGAUGAUAGUUUUAUUAUGAAACUACAUAAUGAUUAUCCAUCUCUUUAUUAUUAUUUGAGUAAUCAUUUACAUUAAUGAACUUUAAUUUGUAAGAUAUUACAAAACAUUUUACAUAAAUUAUUCUUGCUUUCUAAGAUAUUAUAUAACUAAACCUUAUUGUAAUGACUGGGCCACAUAAAAUUUCGUAAACCAAAAUUUACAGAUCUUUUAUGGGCCAAAAUUGUAGGUUUUAAAUAAUAGUAAACUGGGCCAAAAUUAUCAUGAGAGAAUAUCAUUAAAAUUGUGUAGAAUAAUUUUUAAAAAAUUAUCAAAAAUACAUUUACAAUUUGUCAAAAAUCUAGCUUGAUUUUAGAUAUGCGUAUCACAAUUUUAAAUAAGACAUAGUUUUGUAGAGAUAUGGUUUUAUAUGAUCAUUGGUUCUAUUUUAUAAUAGACAUAGUUUAAAAUUUUAAUGAGUUUUGCAACAGUAUUACGCUUUAAUAUAUGAUCAACUAUUCACAUAUCUAAAAUUUACAAAAUUAUCAUGCGAGAGAUGUCAUUAAAAUUGUUCUGAAAAAUAAUUUUUAAAUAUAAAAAUAUACAUAUGUCCAAAACUAAUAAAACAUUUCAUUUUGAUAACUCCAAAAAAGAAAAAAUACACAUUCGUAUAAAAAUAAUAGACAUAUUUUUUCAAUAUUUAACACAUAACAAUCAAUAAGAGCUAAAUUUUAAUUCAGAUAAAAAAUUAUAUAACAGCCCAACUCAUUUUUGUGAAAUUCAGCAAAACAUAUUCUACACUAUAAUUUAUAACAUUUGUAAUAGUAAAUGUUUUUCAAAAAAUAUAUCACCUAAGAGAAAAUUAUAAACAAUUUCCCCCAUACUACAAUGCGGGUUAAACCCUAGUUACUCUAUAUAUAAUAUUUUCUGAUGUUACCAUCUUAGUUUAACCGACUUAUCUCUUUAUAAAUAUGUCAACAUUCUUUGUAAAGUUGUGAAGUAAUAAAAUAAAUUACUCUCUUCCUUUCCUUCUCAUUAUAUUCUCAUUUUCAUAAUAUAAUAAUAUAUCAUAUAUAGAAGCAUAUACAUAUAUAUACAAAACACAUCUUACCUAUAAAAUAAAUUAUAUUUCAUAACACAUUAUCAACACGAUUGUUUCUCAAUCCGAUUAAAUACUGAAAAUGUGAGAUCUGUUCUUAUACCGAAAAGGUGAGGGUUAAUUUAUAUCAAUCUGUUUAUAUUUAUGUAUUAUUAUGGUAGAUAUGAUAAACGCUGCUUUCUCCGAACCAACUUAUGGUAGGUUAUGCCUUCACGAUCAUUAUGAUCAUGUGGUAGACUAUAUUCUUUCAUAUCAAAUAUAUGGUAGGCUUAUGAUCAUAGGUAGAUGUCUCUUUAGAUCACGGUCUCCAUAUAAUAAAUGUCCUGAUUAAAUUUAUAAAAGGUUCCAGAAGAACCAUUUGAAAAAAAAAGUCUAAAAGACAUUUAAGAAAAGUUUUUGAAGAACUGAAUAUAAAAAAUGUAUACAAGACAUGUAUGAAAAAGUUUUAAAAGAACUAUAAAAAGUAUAUCCAGAAGAUAUACAUGAAAUAUUUUCUGAAGAACUGCUUAAUAAAUUUCAUCAGAAGACGAUUAACAUUUAUACUAACUGAUUUACAUAUACUUAUUAAAUUCCUGUUUAUUUAUGAUUAAAUUUUUAAUUUAUUUUAUCGACUAUAAUAUGGUUAAAGGCAUUAAAGUCAAAAAUUCGGAAAGAGCUAAAAAUUCCAUAAACUAAAAGCUUCAGAAGAGCUAAAUCAAAGUUAUGGAAGGUUUACAAAAGCUAAAAAGCUCCUGAACUAUUAAAAGUUUGGAAAGCUUCACGAGUUAAAAUCUCUAAAAGAGUUAAAAAGAUACGGAAUUUUUAAGAGUUAAAAAGCUCCAGAAGAGCUAGAAACUCAUGAAAAAUUAAAAGUUCUUGAAGAACUAAAUACUCCUUAAGAGAAAAAAUGAAAGAUAGUGGAAAGCUUGAUUACACCGUAUAUUGACCACUUGUAUGGAUGAUUUUAAGAUCUUAUUCAUGUGUUCUAACUUAGUUUUUAAUGGUUUUUAAGUGAUUUCUAUGUUUUAGAGUUUCAAAGAAGUUUUCAGGAUAUUUGGACAAAAAAAUGCAUUUUAGAGCCUUUUGGCAACAAAUGAAGACAUUCCUACUGUCUGAUCAUCUCCAAAUUUGGAGACAAGAUAGAAGAGACAGCCAUAUUUCUAAUACAUUUAGAAUCAAAGCAAUCAAACGGUUAGAUCUCCAGAUAUGCUCGGUACACUGAAGGCAAAUUAACACAGUCUAGAAGCCGAGAUUUUUCCGACCCGCGGCCGGAGGACUUUCCACCGUGGCCACGACUUUAUCAACUACGGGAGCCUAUUUCCGAGCCUCAUAAGCCCAUUUUAAAGCCCAAGUAAUUCCCAUCAUUAUUCCUGCAAAUCCUAGACAUUCCCGAAGACUCCAGACACUAUAUAUACCUCUUUUAGGAUAUUCAGAGAGGGAGAGCCCAAGUCUGCCGAUUUUCACCAGAAGUCUUAGAGAGGAGCCUUUUUCGAAGAGGAGCCACCGAGAGGGGCACCAUCAGAUCUCCUUCUUCACCUUAUUUUUCAUUUCUUUAGCUUUCUCUAUUUCAAUUUACAACAACCUUAAAUACUUUUGUGAUGUUGAACUCAGCUAUGUCUGAGUAGUUUCCCAGUUGAGUUUUAAAGAGAUUUUUCAAAGGGAUUAUCAUGUCUUGAUUUCAUGAAUUGUUAGAUUUAGGAUUUAUAAUCUUCUAGGAAUCCUUCGUUCAUUCUUGUUCUUAAUGCAUAUUUUCUUUGUUGGCCACUUAGAAACUGAUCUUAGGUAUAAUUGGAGCCAUGAGAGUGUUGUAUCGGAUUGCCUGACCUAGAAGUGAUACGAGCGAAAUCACUAAAGGAGACGAAAAGCUACUUGUCGAGUUUGAUUAAUUGGUUGAUUAGGGUGACGAGAGUAUUCAAAUCAUACCCGUGUCUAUUCGAGUUCUGGAAACUCCCUAGUUGAUUACCUUUAUCGAUUUGUUUAUCUAUCAUUAGAUCAAUUCAUGAACCGCUGUGAAUAUCCUUAAGUCCAGCGCCUAGUUUUUAUUGUUUUACAACCUUCUAUUUCAUUUUGUAGUUUAGAUUUAGUGACACCAAAACCAAAACCCCCCAUUUGUCUGUUCUAUUAGUUUUGAGUCUUGAUUGAUUCGCACUGAAACCUCAAAAUCUAUGUGGUUCGACCCCUAAGUACUACAUCGCACAUGUGCACUUGCAGAUAUUUAUGGUUAUAAAGUUAAAACAUAAAGCUAGAAGUAACCCUUGCAUCCUGUAGCUAUCAAAGCUCCAAAAGAGCAAAACACUCCCGAUAAGCAAAACGCUCUAGAAGAGAUAGAAUCUAAAAGAAUAAAACGCUUCACUAUAGCGAAACGUUUUAGAAAAGUAUAUGAUGGAGACAUGCAUAAAGAUAGCAAAAAAAUUUAAGAUAAGUUUAGUGAUAUAUAACAUAACUGGUUUAAACCAUCCUAGUAUAGUAAUGGUAUCAAAUAUUAUUGAAAAUUUAUGUGGAAAAACCAGAAGUUUUUCACAUAUAGCAUGUCUUAACGAAAAUAAAAUAAAAAUAAGACCAUAAUGAGAGAUGAAUCACAAUUUUUGGUUGAAACAAUUUAUUGGAUAUGGUGGUUUGAUUUCUUUCAGGAGUCCCCAAAUUAUACCCAAGUAAGUGAAAAUUAGUUCAAGAUGAAUGGACAAGAAAAGCCAUCAUCAAAGGGGUAUUAAGAGUCCACUAAAAGUUUUGAUGGGUAAUACAAGACCUAAAGAUGGGUUAAUUGGAUAUGUUGUUGGUCCUGAAGUGGAAUUCAAAUCAAAAUGGAUAAACCUGAAAUAUCAUCAUCUUGAGGAGGAGAAUUAAAGAUUCCCAUAUUAAAAGUAGUAAAACAUCCUGAAGAUUAUGUUCACACUUAACAUGGAUUCUUGGAUAAUUUAUAAAGCAGUUCCAGAAGAUCGCAAGAUCAGCAAUGGUGAAAUUUAAUCUCCAUAUUUUGGUACUGAACAACUAAUGAAUGAGAUUUCUCGAAAUGAAUUAUCUUUGGAAAUGAUGGAUCCUCGUAUAAAUGAUUUUGAACCUGAUAAUCUAUGGCAUUUAAGAAAUGUGAUAAACUAUUUUGGUUCCAAAGAAAUCCUCAAAAGGGAAAGGAGCAAAUAUUUGUAAUUGAUGAAAAGAGGAUGAAUCUCCUGAAGUGAUCCAUUGAUAUGGUUAAUAAUAAAAUCAUGAAUGAUAUCAUUGAAAAAGAGAUAUCGAUUAACUAUGUCAUUAUGGAAAAAAAGUAGAACUAAAGACAAAAUAAUUGUCGACAAUAAUAAAAAAUAGUGUGCAACAUGAAUAAUGAUCAUAAAUAUACCUCUGUAUGUGAGUGUUGAAAGUGAAAAUAUUGGACAAAAAGUGAAAAGAGGCAAUCAAGUCUAUGAUAAGCUCAUAUGAAAAAUGAGAAUUUUUGGAUCAGUAGUCCAAACAUUUUAUGGUAAUAUUAAGACCAUCUCCAACCCUACUGCAAAUUUUACUGCAAAAUAGAGGUUGAAGCAAUAUUCUCUCCAACCCUACUCCAAAUCUCACUCCAAAAUGGAGUAAAAAAUGGAGUUACUCCAUAUAUGGAGCAAAAAAAUAGAGUUUCUCGAUAUUUUUGGUCAUAACUCCAUUUUGGAGUAAAAAUGAAGCUUACAUUGGAGUAAAAUACAACUCCAAAAUAGAGUUACUCCAAAAUAGAGAAAAAUAUGGAAUCAUACAUUGGAGAUGCUCUAAGUUUGGCAAUACAUGAGCGACAUGAAUUGCGGAGAAAAUAAUCCCUGAAGGAUUUAAUCUCUAAAGGAUUAGUGAUAUCAGAAUUAUGUUUCUGGGAACUCAACUCGAUAUCUUUCAUUAUAUCCCAGGUAAGAUUGAUUUAAGAUUGUUUUUGCGGGUAUACCAAUUGAAAAUCUGAUCUUGAAAGAUUCCAGCAGGUUCUAAUAUAUAAAAAAGCUCAUAUUUAAGCAUUUUUAAAGAAAUUAAUAUUUGAUCAUCCAUACAAAAUAUCAUGAAUUUGAAGUUCAUAAAACUUCCAAGCACUCCACAAGAAUUAAUGUUUUUGAAGAACAAAAUAUAUCGGAGUAGAGUAAAUGAAUUCAAGGUUCAGUUUAAAAGGGGGAGGAAGAUUGACUCUAAAAUUCUCUAGAAAAAAAAAGAAAAUUAGAGAACAAAAUGAAAGGAUUCCAGAAGAAUCAAUAAAAAAAAUGUCUUCAGACUUAUGGUCAUUACACCUUAAGAUGUAAUGUUAUUCGAGACCAAUUGGGUUUCUGUUUGAAAACAAUGAGAAAGUCAAUAGACAUAAAGUCUGGUUUGUGGCACAAAGUUUUUUUCAAAGACUGGAAAUUGAUCUUUUUUGGUCAUGGAUGUAAUUACAUUCAGUAAUGUAUUGAUAAAAAUCCCAGAAGAAUAUGCAUUGAUCAAAAGAAAAGUUUGAAAUAAGAGAGCAUGACUAACUCGAAGUAUGAACCAGAAGUCCAAUGAUCCGAGAAUAACGAUCAUACGUGUUCACUAAAGCCCUACUUAUAAAAAUCCUAAAAAAAGUGUAUAUAAUUAUAAUGUAUCUCCUGAAGAUGUUGUUUCUAUGGAGAGAAUUGUGAUGAUAUGUAUAUGCUGCAUUUUUUUUUUCAUUUUUUAUGCAUGAUUUUUUUAUUUUAAUGAGUUUUUCUAUGACAGUUUUUAACGAGGUAGCAAAUGAAAAUGCAAGAGAUAAUUAUUUGAAGAGCAAUAGUUUCAGGAGAAAAAUUAUGUGGAUGUAUUUUUUUCCUGGUCAUGGUUUUUGUUCCACUGAAUUUUAAUAAAAAAUCAAAGAAUACACAAAUGAUAAAUUUUUAAGAUAUUUACAAAAAGAAAAUUAUAUCGAUCUUCGAAUAUGUGAUGGUGAUAGUAAUGGAUAAUCAAGGAAGAAUAUUAUAAAACUGGAUAAUGAUUAUCCAUUACUACAAAUAUAAUAAUAAUUUCUAAUGUUAUCGUCCUAUUUUAACCGACUUAUCUCUCAACAAAUAUGUCAACAUUCUUUGUAAAGUUGUGAAGUAAUAAUAAGAGAAUAGUUCUUCCUUUCCUUCUCGUACUUUCUCAUUUUCACAAUAUAAUAAUAUAUAAUAUAUAGAAACAUAUACAUAUAUCUAUCUAUAUAUAUAUACCAAACCCAUCUCAUUUAUAAAAUUAUAACAUAUAAAUAUAUGAGGUGAAAAAUGUUAUAUAUAUAAAUAUAUAUAUAUAUAUAUAUAUUUGAAUCAUAUAUAUAUUUGUUAUAUUAGAUAGAAAGAGGUGAAAGAGGGAACGAGAAUAGUAAAGAGAGAGGGGAACAAAGCUUUUCUUCUCCACGUGACCUGAUCGCUAUAAAUUUCACGGUCUGAAAAGUGACGGCUGAUGUGAACUGGUCGUAACCUUGAUGGAUGGAUGUAAAUUGAGAAUAUUCCUUCUUGACCCUCGAAAAAUUUAUCCCAUAGCUUCUCGAAUGGAAAAGUACCAGGAGUCAGAAACAUGCAAGGAUAAUUUCAGUGACAUUGAGAAGAGAGUCAGCGAGGCUAGUUGCACUUUAAAGGCUGCUCAGCUGCAAUCCCUAAACGACCCUUCUCCCCUGAAUCUGAGUUGUGAGCAAUCGGCUAGAAACUUAUGGGUGGCUCUUCGUAUUGCUGAGGAAAAUUUCUUUCGUCAGAGAUCCCAGAUUAAAUGGUAUUCUGAGGGGGAUCUCAACACAAAGUUCUUCCAUCGUAUCACCAAAGCAAGAAAUGCCUCUAAUGCAAUAAAAUAUCUCCGCAAGGGAGAUGGUUCGUCGACUGAAACUCUAGAGGAAGUUCACCUGCUGGCUCAAUCUUACUAUGCCGGGUCUUCUGCACCAUUAGAGGGGAUUAUUGCCCCUUUCUGCCUCAGUUUCUGGAUAGACUAAUUGGUAACCGGUCUCCUUGUUGCAAAUUGGUGCUUUAUCGUCUCCAGUUUCUUACGAUCAAAUCAGAACCUCAUUGUUUUCGAUGCCAUUGAAUAAGACGCCUGGUCCGGACGGGUUUCCUGUCGAAUUUUACAAAGCUGCUUGGGAGGUUAUUGGUCUGGAAGUCACUGCAUCUGUGCUAGAGUUCUUCCAGGCUUCUUUCAUGCAACCUUCCUUGAAUGCAACAUCGCUGGUUUUAAUUCCAAAGCGGAGAGGCACUGAUCAUUUGAAAGAUUUUCGCCCUAUCUCUUGUUUGAACACCCUGUACAAGCUUAGUACGAGGAUCCUGUCGGAUAGACUAAAGAGUAUUCUGCCUGGUCUGGUGGUCCCAAAUCAAACCGCCUUUGUUAAGGGUCGUCUUCUUAUAGAGAAUGUUCUCUUAGCUUCAGAGGUUAUUCAAGGAUAUCACAAGACUUCUCUCUCUCCGAGGAUUACUCUCAAGAUUGACAUUGCAAAGGCCUUCGACUCCAUUCGUUGGGACUUCUUGCUAAAGGUUCUGAAAGCUUAUAAUAUCCCGAAGGUCUUUAUUAACUGGGUAAAAGCUUGUAUCUGCUCUCCGUCUUUCUCUGUUAGCAUAAAUGGCGCAACCUCUGGAUUUUUUAAAGGUCGUUCUGGGCUCAGACAGGGCGAUCCCUUAUUCCCAAUCUUGCUUGUUAUGGCGAUAAACAUUCUAUCUUUGAUGUUAAACAGAGGAGCAAUGGAUGGGAUCUUCAAUUACCACCCAGCCUGUGAGGAUCUUCGGCUUACUCAUCCCUCAUUUGCAGAUGACUUGCUCAUUUUCGUUGAGGGAACUGAUCUGUCGGUUGCAGGAAUAUUCACGGUGCUCUCUCAGUUUGAAAAAAUUUCUGGCCUGGCGGUAAAUAUCAGCAAGACGUCGAUGUACUGUUCCGGAGUCCAGCCUGAUGUGUUAGAAUCAAUCCGAGAUCGUUUUUCUCUUUCUCCUGGCUCCCUGCCGGUGAGGUAUCUGGGUCUCCCCCUCUGUUCUCGCAGGCUUUCUAUUUCAGAUUGUGAUCCGCUAAUCCAGAAAAUCAGGAUGAAGCUGAAUGGAUGGUUACAUAGGCAUUUAAGCCUCGCGGGUCGUUUGCAACUUCUGGUCUCUGUUAUCAUGGGUAUUAUUGGUUUCUGGACAUCAGCCUUUUUUCUGCCUAAAAAGGUUAUCAGGAAGGUAAAUUCCUUGUGCAGCUCCUUCCUGUGGCACGGCAAACUCAAUUCUUCUGCUGGCGCUAAGGUUUCCUGGGAAGCUCUAUCGUUCCCAAAAUCUAAAGGAGGACUGGGCUUGCGCUCAAUAGCCUCCUGGUCUGAAACGUUUGGGCACAAGUUAAUCUGGAUGCUGUAUUUUCGUGCGGGUUCUAUAUGGGUGGCUUGGAUCAGGAGUCCUCACCUUUCUCGCUCGAGUUUCUGGUCGUUAAAUGAAAACAAUUACGCCUACUCUUGGAUGUUCCGCAAAAUCCUAAAGCUUCGCCCUAAAGCUAUCUCCUUUCUGAGGAUUAAUGUUUGUAGCGGUGAGGAGACCUUUUUCUGGUGGGACCCCUGGACCCCCUUUGGUCCUCUUCGUGAUUACUUGGGUUCCGCCGCGCCUUCGUAUCUUGGUAUCCCUUUAUGCUCUCUGGUUAAGGACUGCCGUUCUCUAGAUGGUUGGCUCCUCCCUUCAGCGAGAUCGCAGGAGCAGCUAAACCUGCUCUCUUUCAUCACCACUUUGCCAAGGUCCUCAAAUUCCGAUUUUCCUUCUUGGAAAUGUGGUAAUGAUAAUGGUAACGCCUUCUCUUCAAAGAAAGUGUGGAAUCUUACUUGCCAGGUUCGUCCCCUGGUUCCUUGGUUCUCUCUGAUCUGGAACAAUGCUGCGAUUCCAAAGCAUGCUACUUCUGCUUGGUUAUUCACUCUUAACAGAAACCCAACUUUAGAUCGUCUGAUUGUGUGGGGGAUGGAUUCAGAACCAACAUGUAUCCUUUGUGGUUCAGGAGAUGAAUCACGUAACCAUCUAUUCUUUGAGUGUUCCUUUUUAUUUGUCAUCUGGAAAGACAUUGUUCUUCGGCUGGGUCUCUCACUGCCGUUGUCUUCCUGGCCGAUCGUUCUGGAUUGGAUUCCUAAUGUUCCAACUGACAGAGCUCGCUGUCUGGCUCUUAUCCUCGGUUGGCAAGCAGUGAUAUACGAGAUUUGGAAGGAGAGAAAUCGCCGGUUCCACCAAGGUGUUACUCUCCCUCCAAAUGGUGUUACGCGUAGAGUGCUUCAGGUCCUUAGGGACAAAUCCACUGCGCUUAAACUAAGUGAGCACGUCUGGGGGCAAGAAAUUUUACAGCUCUGGUCUUCUUAAGAUGUGUUUCUCUCUCUCUUCUUUCGUUCCUUCCUCUUCCGAUGGUUUAGUCAUUUGUGCUGUGCAAAUGUACUCUUCCCCUCUAAUUCUGUUUAUGGUUUUCGUAUUUCUGGUUGAUGUUAUAUGGUUGUUGUGGUUCUAAUCUGAUUCCUGUAAGAAUAUUUGAUAUUAAUGAAGGCCCUUUAACAAAAAAAAAAAAACAAAAACAAAGCUUUUCUUCUCGUUCUUCAUUAUCAUGUCUUAUCUCUUUUACAAAAAGUAUAUCACAUAUUUAUAGCAAAUUAAAAUACAUAAAAUAAUAGAAAAGUAAGUCGGUAAUACUAAAGAAGCAGUUGAUGUGCUACGAGGUCAAAUUUUACAUUUAAUAAAAGAAAAAUAAAAGCCGUAAGUGCACAGCUAAUCAAUGGUAGUACUUAAGGAUCGAAUCUACAGGGAUUUGUGUGCCUAGUAUUUUUCUACGAUUUCUAAGUUUAUGUCUAGAUUAAAUCAGUUUUAAAAGGUUGUUUUUUGUCACGGAUUAAACUAAAACUAAAGAAAUCAAAUGAAUCUAUCCUAGAAAGCAAAUAGAAAAUCGAAUGGAAGCAAAUGAAACAAGUAAAAAUUCACACUAAAGCAAAUAAAAUGCAGAUCUAAGAAAGCAAGUAACUAUCGAUUGGUUUGUAAACAGUUGUUAAAAACGCUGGACUUUCGGGAAUUCUACAGUGAUCAUAAUCAGUUUCAACACUAGGGAUUUUAGAUUGGGAUUGACGGAUAUCAAAAUAUUAGGGUUCUAGAGCUAGAGUUUGGUGGUAUGACUACGUCACCGUCGUGAUCAUAACCAUCUGUUUCUCGUAACCCUGACCAGUAGGUUUUCACUCUGACCCUGGAAGGGAGUACACAGGUAGGUUUUGUCGCAGGUACAAGAGCUGCACAGGACUCGUCAGUACUCACGAUUUCGCCGCAGAUAGGUUUCCACUCCUACUGAAAAAUUGCCUGUUUCAUUCUAGGUCUGAUAUUUAAUGAAAACUUUCGCAACACUUACUAUCUAGAUCAGAUACGAGAUGAUCCAUCAAACAUACAUGCAUUAAAGAUGAGAAUAAACUGAGAACAUAGUUAAAAUCUCUGAUCUAAAAACCUAGAUGUCUUAAUCGAUUAUGAGAGCUACUUUCGGGAACCCUAUGCCCAACUCGGGAUCUCCUCAGCCAUGGCUGAGGUCGACAUCAUCAUUGGUUUUCAUGAAAGCAAUCAAAAACAGUAAAGAAAAGAGAUGAAAGAAAGCUUCUCUAUUGAUGAACUCAGUGUUGAAGAAUCUUCUCUAAAAAUCGCAUAAAACGGCUGGAAAAAGGGUUUCUGUAAAAUUAUGAAAGGUUGUUGCUAAAAACGACCUAAAUGACAAGUAUUUAUAGUUUUCAAUACUCCAAAGUCUCUAGAUUCCGGAAUUGAGCAUGGGAAAUGACUUGGGCUUCAGAAAUGGGCUUCAGAAAUGGGCUUCUUAAGUCGGAGAUGUCUAGCCGCGAUCGCGUGAGGUGUGACCUUGGCAAAUGAGGGCUUGGCCGCGGUCACGUGGCUCUAGCCGUGGUGGAUGGGCUGCUGGCCGCGGUGGUGUGGCUUGCCGGCCGUCUUCAAAUGUCUUUGGGGCAAAUGAAAUAUCUUGAGAUCCAACCGUUGGAAUGUCUCCAAACCAAGUGUAUUUGAAAGCUGGUUGAGUCUUCUAUUAAUUGUCCAAUUUUGAGGGUGAUCGGACGGUGAGAAGGUUGUCAUCUCUCCAUGAGAGUUCUGAUGGUCGGAAUUUAUCCAAAAGAAUCUUUUUGUUCCAAUUUGCACAUCUUUCUCCCAAAUUACCUGAAAAGUCUUUUGAAAUCUGAAAACAUAGAAAUCCUUUGAAAACCUUUGAAAAUGGAGUAAAAAUACCUGCAAAAUAUAUUAAAUUGAUCCUAAAAAAUGGUCAAAAUCUAGUGUUAUCAAUUCCUCCAGACUUAGACUUUUGUUUGUCCUCAAACAAAACAAAAACCAAAUCUCGGUGAGAGGCUUGAAAACGCAGGAACUAACAAAAUCUCAGAGACCAAACUUCUAGACUAAUACCAAUCAUCAUGCAUCAAUCGGGAAUAGCCUAGAAAAUUCUCACUAAAAAUACAGGCAUAACUAGUCCGUUAAUCCGUCAUGCAGAAAUCUAUUGCACUUAGAUUUAACUUUCAGUCAACUAGCUCUUAACAUUCAUUAAAUUUUUUUGUGGUUCUCAUCAAAGAAAAUAUAAACAAGGCGAUCUAGGCUAGGUAUCAAAAGGGGCCAUUUUAGGGGUAAGGCUUAAUGUGUUUAUGGGUUACCUGAACAUAUGAAGGAUGCCAUAUAUUAUGAAAAACCGCAAGAGAUAAUGAAACUGUUGAUAUACACAGUUUUCAGUCACUUUAUUCUUGCCAUAAAUUUAUGGUCUUCUUCCUCAGGUUCUCUCCUAACUUCCUCAGACUUAGACUUUUGUCUAUCUUUCAAAACCAUAGCUCCAUAGAAGAAUAGUGGUUGCCUUUGCUCCAAAUAAUUUCGAUAAUCUAAGACUAGAGUCAUAGAGAGCACAAAAUUACCAAUAAGAAUGAGUUCUAUGAGGCAAUAUAAAGCUUGAUAAGGUUUCUGAUACUUUUCCUUCCUAAUUUCAUUCAGUAUUUCUCUUGAGUGACUGAAAACUGCGUCGUUCCUCUUUUCUCUGACGUUUAUGCACAUAUUUGCUGAUAUAAACUAAAAAGAGAAUGCAUGAAGUUUUAAAACAAGGGGUUUGAGUUUAGGGUAUGGUACUAGAUAAAGAUGAACUGGACAUCUAGGACGACAAAGAGUGGUAAAAAUGAGGAAAAAUACGUCCUAGAUGUAUAUCUCGAUGCCUGCCUAUAAUCAAUGAUGAAAAAAUUAUAUAUCAAUAUUAAGGUUAAAUAAAAUGAACUAGUAUAUCCUGUCAGAAAGACUUUCCAUGAAUAGAAGUCCUCUGGUGGGAGUUCAUAGUGCAAGUACUUUAGCUACCGCCUAGUUGUGCUAACCAAAAAUGAGCUAUCAUGCGUAUUGUAAAAGCGUGCAAGUCUAAAUCAUCAUAGUUUUGUGUCAAACAUUCCUGAAAAUACUAAAGGUCGCAUAUGUUACAUAUUAAAAUUUAAAAAGUACUUGAAAUUGAAAAACAAAACAAGAAAAUGAUUAUUACGGAUAGACAUCCUCCCGCAGACUUAAAUCACACUGUCCCCAGUGUGAAAAAGUUGGUGAGAAGAUGGUAAAUAAAAGCGAUAUAGUCUAAAAAUAAAAGAAAAGAAAAUGAUGAUAGAACCGUGAUUGUGGUUGAUAUGUCCAUAAUUUACAAUAUUUAGGCCGCAUUUUAGAGUCCAAAUCAUGUGUUAUCUCGUAUAUUUUAGGUCCUUAGGCGUUGAUUUAGACCUUAGGAUAUGCAUUAGGUCCCAAUGUAUCUUUGCAUGGUUUGGAGUCUUUAUCAGGUGAUUUGGAGGUUGUUUGGAAUUCAAGAGGUGUGAUCAUUGAAAGGGUGAAGAAAAGGAUUAAAAAUGGUGAAAACGGCUUAAAGGGAUUUCUCGGCAAAAGCAUGUACCGGCUGGAUUAGUUUAUCGGCUAAAAAUGCUAUCGGGUGAUUUCUCUCGGCCAAAAAUCAGUAUCGGGUGAAAAUAUUAUCGGGUGAAGUUUUAUGCCGAGACAGGAUAUUUUUAUCGGCUAAAAAGCUUACCGCGGUACACGAUUCUCGGAUAUUUUCCUUACCGCGGGAAGCAUUUCUCGGCUAAAACAUGUUUGCACCUGCGCACAUCAAAGAUUGCAAAUCCGGGGAAGUUUCUGGUCCGAAUCAGUUAACGGGGUCUUCAUCAAAAUUGGAGAUGAUCGAGUCAAGAUUUCAGAACAGUUGGAGUUGCUAAAUUCGGAGCAGAGAGAUAUCGCCACCGGGAGACACACUUAUCUCGCACGCAUUCUAAGGCUGAUUCUAUGAGCUUCAAAGAUCACGUGGUAUGAUGCCUUUCUAGUUCGAAUUAGUUGUCGGAGACUUCAUCAAUAUUCAAGGUCUUUGAGUUCUAUUUCCAGAAAACUUGAUAUCACCCGAUUUGAAGCUCUGAUCUGAAAGAUAUCGUCACUGGAGUGAAUACAGGUCCAGGAACUAUUUUAUUACCGUUCCGAUGCGUUGCAAAGAUGAGCAAUCCGGGGAGCCUUCUACUUCUCAAGAUCUGAUAGCUUCUUCACUAAAAUUUGAGCUGAAUGAGUGAUCUUGAUCGUGGAGUUGGUUUCAAGUCGUUUGGAGUCAUGUGCUGAAAGUUAUUGCAACCGGGAGACAAGCGGGUCGGUACAAGCUUCAAGAGCUGCGACAUGUGCUAAGUGUUUAUACAGGCCUCGGUGUCGUUCCCUCGACAUUGCCUAAGCCGAGUCUUAUUCCCUGAAGCUUUUUGGUCCAGACCUCGUGCUAACCCCUCGGUGUAUCAAGACCGAGGUACACAUGCUGAGAAUACAAGUUGAAAAUGACUAAGUGUUGGAACUAGACCUCGGUCUCAAGACCUCGGCAUUGCAUGUCGGACCUCGUCUCCCUUGAUCCCUCGACUACCAAGCCCCUCGGCAUGGCUAUGUCGAGGUCCCUUGUCACGAAAUCAGAAUCAAGAACCAAGCUGAUCUAACGAGUGCACGUGAAGAUGAAUCAAAGACUAGGGUUCAUGCAUGUUCUUGGUGAGUUCUUCAUCUUGAUCUUUGCUCACAUGCACCCCUCAACGUCUAUGCCUCGGCAUUGGACUCUCACACACCGAGGACCUAACCCAUGCACCCAAGAAGACCGGUUCAGUACCCGGUUUGUUCUGGGCUGACCCGCAUCACUUAGCUUCAAUAUAUAUAGUUUUUAGGACUAAAACCCUACUUAUCUUAUCUAUUAAUUAUCCUGUUCUAUCUUUGAGAACUUCCCUCUUUUGUGAAAACUUGCUUCUUUAAUCACAUAUCUCGUUUUUACAUAAAGAUCAUGUUCUCCUUCAUUUCUUUUCAUCAUCAUCAAAUCUUCUAAUUAUGUCUAGCAUCACAUCUCGUAAAGGAUUAAGUGUGCUCUUCAUGAUUAGUGUGUAAUUUCAUUAUGAGGUUUUAGAUAGGUAGAUUAGGGUGCUGAAAUGCUAGAUUAGCGAGUUUAGGUUCUAGAUCUGCAUCAUUCAUUCUCUAUUAAUCCGAUCUCUAUGCUGGAUCCAUGAACAUCACAUGUGGUCUAGAUCUGAGGUAUUUCACGCCUGAGAAGUGUUCGCUAAAAUACCUGAACCAGGUUUAGUAGAGGUUUAAGAGUCUUUAAUCAUGAUAAUGAUAAUUUGCUUCUCUUAAAUGACUUAUUGAACUGAUUCUUAAUGCUUUCUAAUUCAUGCUUCUCAAAAGGGAUUUUGGUAUGAAAGAGGAUUCGCAUAGAAGUUUAAUGCCUUCAUGAGAGGAUUAUCUUAUUAAUGAGUUCAUGUUAAAUGAAGUUGCUUGAUCAUUUGGUUCAUUAACUCGCUGAUUUAGCAUGGAAGUACCCGAGUCCUUUAUGCUGUCUAAGACCUUUAUUUCAUCAUUCAUACAUCAACCGCUUAUUUAUCUUGUCUAUCUUGUUUGUUUAUUUUGCAUCUUGUCUUAGUUAUAAUCUUGCUUUAUUUUGCACUUAGUCUAGAACAAAACCCAUUUCUUGAUUAUGCUUGACUUAAGAUAUAAGCAUCUUAAACUAGUGUCUACCACAAGCAUGGAUUGAUACCUCUUCAUUACUACAGUGAAAGGGGAUUUAUAACCCUUGCACAAGACCUAAAAAGUCUUAGUUAUCAGUGGUGAAAUAACAAUGAAGUGCUGAUCGAUCAAUCUUCCUCUAAUGUGUCUGCCUCAAAUUGGUGCUGUUCCUGCAGGAAGAUGAUGACGCGCUCAAAACUGUGUGUGUGAUGAUGUAGAUGAUGAAGUAUGGUCGGUGGAAACUGAUGGCUGAUAGUGAGCACGUUGUCACGGGCCGAUUCCUCCCUGAACCAAACCGUGCGGCCUUAGCGCUUUACUGCCCCACGCACACACUAAGUCAGCCUCCCAAACUCGGACCUUGGUACUUAGAGAGAGAAAGUGACAUUUCUAGAGAGAGAAAGGGAAGAGAACUCUUAUUGCUUAGAGAAAACUUGGAUGCUUACAAAUGAAAGAGCUCAUCCCUUUAUAUAGAAGUCUCUCCCAAAUACUUCAUUAAAUAAACCUACCACCUACCAACUACUCUCAUUUACUCUACUCUCCCAACUACCAACUACUCUCUCUAGACCCAACAAAAACGUUCCACAAGGUUCUAGAGAGUUCCAGAAAUACAUAAAGGAAAGAAAGCAUAAAAACGACUAAGUGUUGGGCCAUAACCCCCUGGUUUCGACCCGUCUUGUCCCAGCAUGUCCCAUUAUUGCCUAAGCAAAAAUUUGGGUGUGACAACGUGCUGCAGCUUCGUCGCGCUUCACCUUAGCCACUAUGUAUUAUCUGAUAGUGAAUGGCAGGCGAAGUACAGAAGGUAGAAACUCUUUAGAUCCCCGAGUCCAUCGUGGGCGUGCUCCAUUACAUAGUCUCGGGACUGAUUCUGAAUGUAAGUAAACUCAGUGCUCCUUGGUGCCAGUAUAAUACUUGUAACCGAACCUGUCUGGGUUGAAACUGGCACGAGAGAUAGUGUGAUCGCGAGGGAGAUAGAGUAGGUCAUACCAGACGUCGGAAAGUAGAUCAUCAGAUGAGAAAUCAAAUCCUACGGCCUCGCCACCUCGUGGGCUGUAGUGGAAUCUCUACCGCGCUCCUCGUGCACAUCGGUUACGUUGCUGGCGUCCUUGGUGUUCUUCUUCGCCAUUCUUCUCCAACAAGCUUCUCCUCUGUUCCGGUCUAACUUCGCUCUGAUACUACUUGUCACAGGCCGAUUCCUCCCUGAACCAAACUGUGCGGCCUUAGCGCUUUACUGUCCCGCGUACACACUAAGUCAGCCUCCCAAACUCGGACCUUGGUACUUAGAGAGAGAAAGUGACGUUUUUAGAGAGAGAAAGGGAAGAGAACUCUUAUUGCUUAGAGAAAACUUGGAUGCUUACAAUUGAGGGAGCUCAUCCCUUUAUAUAGAAGUCUCUCCCAACUACUUCAUUAAAUAAACCUACCACCAACCAAUUACUCUCAUUUACUCUACUCUCCCAACUACCAACUCUCUCUAUACCCAACCAAAACAUUCCACAAGGUUCUAGAGAGUUCUAAAAAUACAUAAAGGAAAGAAAGCAUAAAAACAACUAAGUGUUGGGCCAUAACCCCCUGGUUUCGACUCUUCUUGUCCCAGCAUGGCCCAUUACGGCCUAAGCAAAAAUUUGGGCGUGACAUCUUCCCCCGCCCAUUUCGGUGAUGCCCUCGUCGUUGUGGGUGCCUUGAGCUGCUCCCCGUACCGUCGCAUCCUUCAUCCUGGUUCUGUGACCUCGGUUAUUCCCUGCUUUGCGCCCGACUCAUCCCUGCUCUACUAGUCCGCCUUCGGACUGUCUCGGACAGAGUUGUCUUGCUUGUCUCCAUGUCCCGGCUGGGUGGAAUUCCCUUGAUCCACAAUCUGCACCGCCGUGAUAUGUUACGUUCCGUUUGCCUUUCUAACCGUACCGCUCACGGUAGGAACCACGGAAGAUCCACCCUCCUCAAGGGUAUAGACCACGUUCAAGCUGGGCACUGGUACUGCCCCAACUUUCUCCAUGAAAUCCAGCCCGAUCACAAUCCCAUAGUCGUCCAUCGGACCUACCGUAAAAUCAACCCGAUCUUUUCAUGCUCCUAUCCGGAAAUCUACUCCGCGUGCAAAUCCGGUAAGCAGUCGAGCCUCCAAGUUCACCGUCUUGAUUGCGCUCGGACCCUCAGUCCAGGUCAGACCCAGUCUUUGUACUUAUCCCUCAGAGACAAAGUUGUGCGAAGCCCCAUUGUCUACCAUCUCCUUGGGCUUCUUUCCGUUGAUCUGAGCCUCAACGUACAUAAGCCCCUUGCUUGAUUGUUUUUGCCCCAACUUGGUUACUAGUGCGUUGAGGAGUUGUGUCGAAGGCAACCUCUCCGGUUCAUUAUCUUCAUCCUCCUCCGAACCAUGCUUCUCCACAAUCGCAGACAAUGACCCUAACUUUGGACAUUCUUUCAUUAGGUGCGGCCCCUUUCACACAUGACAUCCGCCUUUCAGGGUAAAGGACCUCUUCCUUCGUUCAUACUCCCGGCUCGAGCUCAUCCCGUCAGCCUUUGAGUAUGACCCCUUCCCCGAUGUAUAGUGUGACCCACACUCACUCCCCCUUGGACUGGCUAGUCUAGAAUGCUGAUUACUUUCGCUGCUCCUGGCUAUGUACCCGCAGUCAUUCCCCCUCGGACUGACUGGUUGUGAGCUUCGAUCUUCUCUCCCACCUUUAGCUGGAUACCAACCUUGCCUCUCAUAGGACUUGGGUCGGUCUGGGAUGGAAAAGUCAGAUAAAGACUCGGCUGCUGCAAUGGCUUCAUUCACAGAAUAUACUCCCCGCCUCUGCAACUCUUGCUUGGCCCAUGGUUGAAGCCCAUCGAUGAAGUAAAACACUGAGUCAUCCUCACUCGUGCUCGGGAUCUGUAGCAACAACGCGGUAAACUCCAUCACAUAGUCUCGGAUCGUACCUUUUUGGUGAAGCUCCCUCAACUUCUUCCGCACCUGGUAUACCACGUUUUCGGGAUAGAACUGCCUCUUCAAGUCCCGCUUAAACUUGUCCCAUGUGUCAAUCCGGACAAUCCCUCGGACGAUCUCCGCAUGUCGCCUUCUCCACCACAACAUAGCCAUCUCUGCCAAAUAUGAAGUUGCGGUCUUGAUCUUCGACCCCUCGUAGGUAAGACCAAGGUUCUCGAAAGAUUGUUCCAUCUCCCACAAGAAAUUCUCAACUUCCUGAGCAUCCCUCACGCCCUUGAACCAUGCCGGCCUUUGAAACUCUACCCUAGCCGCUAUCGUCUCGGUGAUCCCAGCCCCUCCGUUUGCAGCCGCGUGCUUACACAAUACCAAAUCUUCAUGUACCUCCCCGAGGCUGUUAAGUAUCUCCCCAAUAUUAUCUUUCAAGAUUUGGACGGCUCCCAUCACCGUUUCCUCAAACUUUGCGAACCAGAUGUCCCUCUCGAUCGUGUUUUGUUUGGCUCGCUCCAACUCAUCAAACACGAGCUUCUCCAUCUCGGUCGUAUCAUGCUCGACCCUCUCGAGCCGUGAUCCAAGCUUCUCUACCGCAUUGCCCAACGCCUCCUGAGUAACGCUCUUAUCCCGCCUUGCCACCUCAUGGGCUGUAGUGGUAUCUCUACCGCGCUUCCUCGUUCACAUCGACUACGUUGCUGGCGUCCUUGGUGUUCUUCUUCGCCAUUCUUCUCCAACAAGCUUCUCCUCUGUCCCGGUCGAACUUUGCUCUGAUACCACUUGCCACAGGCCGAUUCCUCCUUGAAUUAAACCGUGCAGCCUUGGCGCUUUACUGCCCAGCGCACACACUAAGUCAGUCUCCCAAACUCGGACCUUGGUACUUAGAGAGAGAAAGUGACGUUUUUAGAGAGCGAAAGGUAAGAGAACUCUUAUUGCUUAAAGAAAACUUGGAUGCUUACAAAUGAGGAAGCUCAUCCCUUUAUAUAGAAGUCUCUCCCAACUACUUCAUCAAAUAAACCUACCACCUACCAACUACUCUCAUUUACUCUACUCUUCCAACUACCAAUUACUCUCUCUAGACCCAACCAAAACGUUCCACAAGGUUCUAGAGAGUUCCGGAAAUACAUAUAGGAAAGAAAACAUAAAAACGACUAAGUGUUGGGCCAUAACCCCCUGGUUUCGACCCAUCUUAUCCCAGCAUGGCCCAUUACGGCCUAAGAAAAAAUUUGGGCAUGACAAUGUGCUGCAGCUAUGUCGCGCUUCACCUUAGCCACUAUGUAUUGUCCAAUAAUGAGUGGCAGGCGAGGUACAGAAGGUAGAAACUCAUCAGGUCCCCGAGUCCAUUGUGGGCGUGCUCUAUUACAUAGUCUCGAGACUGAUUCUGAAGGUAACUAAACUCGGUGCUCCUUGGUGCCAGUACAAUACUUGUAACCAAACCUGUCGGGAUCGAAACUGGCACGAGAGAUAGUAUGAUCGCGAGGAAGAUAGAGUAGGUCAUACCAGACGUCGGAAAUUAGAUUAUCAGAUGAUAAAUCAAAUCCUACGGCCUGUAGUAUGGCUGUAAUAGCGCUCCCAUAAGCAGUAGUAGCAUCCUCACAUCCAUGUAAAUCAUGCUUCACCUUCACCAUGUUUUGUGCAAUGAUCCAGGCAAAGUAGGCGAGUCGAGGGUUGUCCAUAAAUGGUGCCUGAAGUGUAAUGAGCUCGGUCUUCAGGACACACCCCGUGUUGGUUCUAGAGAAAAUCGUGUGUGCUAAGAGUUUGUGCACUCACUACGGGAUGAGUAAGAAAAGCUGACUUGGAUCUCCCGCUAUCAUAGACGCCAUGACCCAUCUCUCUCCAUAAGUCAAAAUCAGGCUCUUCUUCAAGGUGAAUGCCAUCAGUGUAUGGAAGCUUAAGAGCUUCACAAAGUGCAGAAAUGGUGAGUGAGUAGGAGUGUCUGCGGAUAAAGAAUGAUUAAACACCGUCAGAUGCUCUGGGGCUCCUCCUCUUUGUGUGGUGAAGGGUGACGGUUGCUAAGAAUUCGAGAACUAGCUCGGCAUAAAUUGGAAUAUUCAGCUCCAUGUAAGGUCUCAGCCUAAGUGCAUUGAUGUACCAGAUGCCAUCUUCUCUAAUCCCAAGCAUCUCGAGUGUAUGAUAAUCAAUGCAGGGCGUUGGUUUGAUGUUCAGCUUCUUGAACCGCCUUGCAUAAUCAACUCUUGGGUUAAUCUCCUUCCCAUUGUAUCUGAUCUUUGGUGGCUCGGGAAUCACAUGGGCUUCUCUUGAGUGUUGGAGUAUUCUCAUCACUCGACCUCUUUUUCUCGGUCUAGCUCGCUCAGGAUGUACUCUCCAAGAGUACUAUCAUCGGGUAUCACUUCGGAGCUGUCAACUGUGCGACGACUUCUUCGAGGCUUGGUUCGUUCCAUUUCCCUACAAGACAAGGUAAUUCUCGGAAAAGGAGUGAAUAUGGAUGCUGAGUCUAACAUAUUAACGAUCAGGGAUACUAAUCAGAGUAUCGGGAGAUUAGUUAAAUCCGCAAGCAAGCAUAAUUGAAAUCAAUUCAAAAAAUCGAGUAGUUCAUGACCAGAUUUGGAUUUGUGAUGUUAUUGACAUAGAAAUUUUCUAAAAAUUGGUUCAAUUGAGCAAUUUCCAUGCCAAAUCAAUAUGUUACCUAAUAUUAAUCACUAAUCACACAAGAUUUGAUCAAAUUCAUCAAUUUUGCUAGUCUAAAUUCGAUUUUGAAAAAGCAGGUAGAAUCCAAAUUUCAAAAUUCUCAAUUCCUCUUAAACCAAGUGUUAAAAUCGAUUUCCAGAUAACCUAGAAGGCUAAUCUAUUAUUCUCCACCACUAAUAAACCUAGAUUUUAGCUUUUUAAGAAAACCCUAAAUUCGCAAAUCAAUUAAAAAUGGCGAGUUUGAGCUUCAUACCGUGCUGGAAAUAGAGAUUUAAUGAUAGAUUUGAAAUCAUCUUUGAAAAAGAGUGAGUUUUGGUCCAAGAAUCUCUUAAAAAACUUAAGAAUUGAAAAAGAUGUUUUAUCUCCUAAAUCUCCAAGUCUUUUGGAAGAGAAGAGAAAAUGAAGUUUUGAUCCAAAAAGUGUGUUUCCUUUCUUUAAAAAGCGUUUUUGUGGCAAAAACGGGAAUUUUUGGGAAUUCAAAAGCUUGCAGAAACUUACCUUACUUGUUUGUUACGUAACCGGGAAUUACAAACUUACAGAAAAUCGGAAUGAACUCUCCCGAGAAUGUUCCGGGAAUUAUCAGGAAUCACCGGAAAUCUCUGAGAAGUAACAUCGGAGGUUCCGUCUCAACGACCAAUGGCCGCGGUCAGGAGACGCGCGACCGCGGUGAACAAGGGUCCGGCCGCGGUCACAUUCAUGGUGCCACGGUCGAACAUGUGUUGGCCCCGGGUCGAUUGGUCGCAACCACGGCCCAGUUUCCUGCGGCCUGCAUCCAUCAUUCAGGUUUUUGCCGAGCCGAGCAGCUAAAACUUCUCCUUCUUUUUAGGUUUUUCUAUUUUUCUGAUUUUUUUUGUUUUUUGUUUUAUAAGAGUACCUGAAACUAGAAAGAACAUAAAUUGAAAAAAGGAAAAGAAAACUAAAAGAAAGUGUACCUAAAUGGGUUGCCUUCAUUAAACGCUUUUGUUUUGAGUCGUUUAGCUCGACUUAGGCUUAAAAGAUCAGGCUGGAUGAAAUGACACUCCACUUGAUGUGCCUUUAUCAUUUCUAGGUCCUGGAGGUUCGGCUUCUUCUUCUUGUAGCACCAAGUUCUUUCCUUUACUCUUUUUUUGGACUUUAACGUUGUUCAGGACCCUCUUUGUGUUCUCGAUCAGUUCUUGGAUCUGUUCCUCACUAGACUCUGUUGAAUAUGGUGGAAUGAUUAUCUUGACUUUUGCAAAAAGUCUUGGCUUCUCCUUGUCUUUCUCCUUUGGCCGCUUUCCUUUGUUUGGAGCAUCGUCUGGGACAGUGGGAUCAAACUUCUUUCGGUCCACAUUCAGAAAGCAGCAUGCCUAUUUGCAUGAUCGAUUACUGCUCCUACUGUAGCUAAAACCGGUCACCCGAAUAUAAGUGGUCUCUCUUUGUCUUAAUCCAUUUACAGAAUUCGGAAAUCUGCUGGAACAAUCUUGUUCCCAACUAAAAUUUGCUGGUCAUGAAUCGCCCCUUCGGUAUCUUUUUGAGAUGAAUCUCCAAAGAUCACCUUAACCGUCGUUGUCCUUAAGGUCUUAGACAUGAUGUUGACAUUGGCUCCGGAAUCGCAUAAAUAGUCUGUGAACUUGAUUCCUGAAAUGAAAUAUUUGAAAGAAAAACGUCACGGGUCAUCGGCUUUUGUUAGCCUUUGAAGGGGGAACGUUGAGAUACCUUACAUGGUGGUUGCUUUGCAUCGACAUUCUUGUAGAGAGGUAUAACGAAUGGGGUUUCCUUGUCUUCUCCAUCGGUUUCGGCUCCUUCUUCGGGCAAUGUAGUGAUGGCAUUGCAAAAUCUCUUGGGAUUGUCUUCAACUCUCCCAGGAGAGCUCCAUUUUGUCUAUUCAUAGAAUCAGCUGUUUGGGUAACUUGGAUGUCUAGCUUCUUGACGUGAGAAGAUAAAGCUUCAAACUUCCUGUUCAGAUCAUUGUACAUGCAAUCGACUUUCACGUUUAUGUCUUUAGAUGCCUUCUUGUUUGUCAUAACAAGCUAUUGGAUAGACUGUUCAAGUCUUCCUAAUUUCGAAGCUAGCUGGUUUGUUGUAACUCCCUGCUGUUGUCCAAAUUGAUUAUUGAAUCCUGUACCUUGAUAGUUAUAUGGUUGUCGCGGCUGAAAAACUCCAGUCCCUCCGAAAUUUCCACCUUGGAACCUGUUUUGGAAGGGUUUCUGCUGCGGUGGAUAAUGCUGGUCUUGAGCAUUCUCCACAUUUGGAUUUUGGUAAGAGAGAUUGUUGUAGUUUGCAUUCCAGAAGUUGUUGAAACCAUUGUUGAAACGAUUCAGAUACGGUGCUUGUGCUCCUACAUAGUUCACUUCUUCUUCUUGAAAGGUUGGAUUAAUGUGAUCAGAUUCACAAGGUCCUUCGUCUUCUACGCCAGUGUUGGUCUCACAAGCAUGGAUUGGGCGAUUGUGGCUUUUUAAAAGCUGGCUCAUCAUGUUCUUCAACUCGGUUAUCUCCUUGUUAUCCGUUCUGGUCGGCUUCGUCGAUCGAUCGUAUUCCAGACAGUCAUUGCUAUUGGCUUGAGCCAAAUUUUCGAUGAGGGCUCUUCCUUGUGCUAUCGUCUUCUGUCCAAAAUCUCCGUUGUUGGCUGUAGCAAGUGAAAGUUUGUAUUUUGGUUACUAACCUCUGUAAAAUGUGCUCAGCAGGCUUGAUCCGGGAAAUCCAUGGUGACGGCAGUCAUGUUCAUACUCCUUAAAACACUUCCAGGCUUCAUAAAAAGGUUCAGCCGGUCCUUGCUGGAAACUUGAGAUAUUGGUUCUCAGUAAGUUCAACCUUGACUUGGUAUAGAAGUGGUUCAGAAAAGCAGUUUACAUUCUUUCCAAUUAGUGAUCGAUCCUACAGACAAAGAUUUUAAACAAACAGUGAGCUUUAUCUGCUAAUGAAAAAGGGGACAACUUACACUUAAGAUAGUCUGCUGGAACUUGGUUUGUCCUCAUCAUGCUGCAGAUUUCUUCAAAGAGUUCAAUGUGAUCCAUUGGAUGUUCAGAAGGAACUCGAUGGAACUUGUUUUGUUUCACCAAAGAGAUGAUUUGAGGCUUGACUUCAAACUCAUUCCGGUUCAGGAAUGGUACUUGAAUUGCAAAUUGAUUUUGAAAAUGCUGAGUAGGUGCAUCAAAAUCAGCUAUGCGAUGGUUCCUGGCUUGUCUCCGGUGUUGAUUUGCUUGCUGAACAGGGCGGUUAUUGCGUCCAUUUGGCUGCAACUCCUGGUUGUUACCAUCGGCUACAUUGAUAGGUGCAUCGAGGUCUUCGCGUUAUUCUCUCUCUCGGUUUUAAGGAUUUCUUGGAGGGAUCUCAUUCUCUUCUCCAUCUUGUCGAGCAUGAUCACCUUCUCUGUGAUCAUCUUCUCCAUUUUCACCAUGUUUGGACCCAUCUUGGUCCAUGUUUAAAUUGUGGUUAACAGGAUUUCGUCGGCCAUUCCUUGCGUUCAUCUAAGUCUUUGAAGUUUUCUUCUAUAUCUGUCUAUCUCGUCUAGAAUUAGAAUGUUUUCUACAAGUCUGCGCCUGAUAUUCAUGCAAUUCAGAGAAAAACAAAAGAACGGAAAGAUAAUUCAACAACUUAAGAAGGAAAUAGAGAUCAGAUGUCUAGAACAGAAAUUAGAGCAAGAAAAAUAAAAAGGACAGCGAAACAAAUCCCCGGCAACGGCGCCAAAAACUUGAUGUGCUACGAGGUAAGGGAACAAGUUUUACCCUUAAUAAAAACAAAUGAAAGCCGUAAGUGCACAGCUAAUCAGUUGUAGUACUUAGGGAUCGAAUCCACAGGAAUUUGUGUGCCUAGUAUUUUUCUAUUUCUAAGUUUAUGUCUAGACUAAAUCGGUUUUAAGGGGUUUUUGUUUGUCACGGAUUAAACUAAAACUAAAGAAAUUAAAUGAAUCUAUCCUAGAAAGCAAGUAGAAAAUCGAAUGGAAGCAAUUGAAACAAGUAAAAAUUCGAACUAAAGCAAAUAAAAUGCAGAUCUAAGAAAGCAAGUAAAUAUCGAUUGGUUUGUAAACAGUGAUUUUAAUCGGUUUCAACACUAGGGAUUUUAGAUUGGGAUUGACGGAUAUCGAAAUAUUAAGGUUCUAGAGCUAGAGUUCGGCAGUAUGACUAUGCCACCAUCGUGAUCAUAACCAACUGUUUCUCACAACCCUGACUAGUAGGUUAAUUUCCACUCUGGCCCUGGAAGGGAGAAAACGCAAGCGCUGCGCAGGACUCGUCAGUACUCACGAUUUUGCCGCAGGUAGGUUUUCACUCCUACGGAAAAAAUCGCCUGUUUCAUUCUAGGUCGGAUAAUUGAUGAAAACUUUCGCAACACUAACUAUCUAGAUCAGAUACGAGGUGAUCAAUCAAGCAUACAUGCAUUAAAGAUGAGAAUAAACAGAGAACAUAGUUAAAAUCCCAGACCUAAAAACCUAGAUGUCUUAAUCGAUUAUGAGAGCCCCUUUCGGGAACCCUAUGCCCAACUUGAGAUCUACUUAGCCAUGGUUAAGGUCGACAUCAUUAUUGGUUUUAAUGAAAGCAAUCAAAACAGUAAAGAAAAGAGAUGAAAGAAAGCUUCUCUAUUGAUGAAAUCAGAGUUGAAGAAUCAUCUCUAAAAAUCACAUAAAAUGUCUGGAAAAAGGGUUUCUGUAAAAGUAUGUAAGGUUGUUGCUAAAAACAACCUAAAUGACAAGUAUUUAUAGUCUUCAAUACUCCAAGGUCUCUAGGGUUUCUGAAUUGAGGCUGGGAAAUGACUUGGACUUCAGAAAUGGGCUUCUUAAGUCGGAGAUGUCUGGGCGCGGUCACGUGAGGUGUGACCGUGGGAAAGGAGGGCUUGGCUGCGGUCGUGUGGCUCUGGCCACGGUGGAUGGGCUGCUGGCCGCAGUCACGUGGCUUGCCGGCCGUCUUCAAAGGUCUCCAGGGCAAAUGAAAUAUCUUGAGAACCAACCGUUGGAAUGUCUCCAUACCAAGUGCAUUUGAAUGCUGGUUGAGUCUUCUAUUAAUUGUCCAAUUUUUAUGGUGAUCAGACGGUGAGAAGGUUUUCGCCUCUCCAUGAGAAUUCUGACGGUAUGAAUUUUUCCAAAAUUUUUUUUUUGUUCCGAUUUGCACCUCUUUCUCCUAAAUUAUAUGAAAAGUCUUUUAAAUUCCGCAAACAUAUAAAUCCUUUGAAAAUCUUUGAAAAUACAGUAAAAACACCUGCAAAAGAUAUUAAAGUGAUCCAUAAAAAGGGUCAAAAUCCGGUGUUAUCAGCGGUGGUGGAUAAUUAUCCAUUUCUUACACUCUCCGUCGAAAUGAUCAUACUUCAAGUUCAUCCAUCUCCAAAUGAAUCCCACUUAAGAACCAACAACGUAUCUAAUUAACCAAUUUUUGGGCCUUGUAUUACACAACAAAUCCUUUAGUGGACUCUUAAUACCCCCUAUGAUGAUGGCUUUUCUUGCUCAUUUAUCUUAAACAGAUUUUCACUUAUUUGGGUAUAAUUUGAGAACUGCUUAAAGAAAUAAAACCACCAUAUCUAAUGAAUUCAUUCAAACAAAAAUGGUGAUUCAUCUCUCAUGAUGGUUUUAUUUUAUUUAUUUUCUUUAAGAUGUGCUAUAUAUGAAAAAUUUCUGGUUUUUCCACAUAAAUUUUUCAGUAAUAUUUCAUAAUUAUUACACCAAGAUGACUUAAAUCUGUUAUGUUGUAUAUUAGUAAACUUCAGAUUUACUAUCUUAAAUUUUUUUGCCAUUUUUAUGUAUGCCUACAUCAAUUUUUUUUCUACAAUGUUUCCCUCAGCUGGAACAUUUUGUUAUUUUAAAAUAUCUAGCUUUUCUGGAGCGUUUUGCUUAUCGAAAGCGUUUCACUCUUUUGGAGCUUUCCAUUAUCUGUAAAUUUUUCUCUUCAAAAUUGUUUAGUUCUUCAAGAACUUUUAUUUUUUCAUGAGUUUCUAACUCUUCUGGAGGUUUUUAACUCUUGAAACUUCUGUAGCUUUUUAACUCUCUUUUGGAGUUUUUAACUCGUAAAGUUUCAGAACUUUUAACUUUUCAGGAGCUUUUGAAAAAUUUUAAAAAAUUGUAAGUUAUUUCAGAAGUUCUGACUUUUAAUAUCUUUUACCAUAUUGUAAUCGAUAGAAUAAAUUAAAUAGUUAAACAUAAAUAAGUAACUAAAUAUGUAUUUAAUAACUAUAUGUAAAUCAGUUAGUUUAUAUGUUAAUUGUCUUCUUAAAAAUUAAUAUAAUUUUCUUUCUUUAAAUCUCCUAGAAGUUUAACAUUUCCGUAUUCUUUGAUGCUUGAUUAUAACAAGGUUUAUAACAAAGUAUCAAAGAAUUACGCAAAUAAUAAAUUUUCAAGGGAUUUAAAAAAAGAAGUUUAUAUUAAUCUUUACAUGAUAGUGAUAAUAAUGGAUAAUCAAUGGAGAGUAUUAUGAAACUGGAUUAUAAUUAUUCAUUACUAUAUAUAAUAAUAAUAAUUCUUGAUGUUACCGUCUUAGUUUAACCGACUUAUCUCUUUAUAAAUAUGUCAUCAUCCUUUGUAAGUUGUGAAGUAAUUAGAAAACUUACUCUCUUUCUUACCUUCUCGUUACUUUCUCAUUUUCACAAUAUAAUAAUAUAUAAUAUAUAGAAGCAAAUACAGAUAUAUAUAUAUAUAUAUAUAUAUAUAUAACACAUCUUAUCCGUAAAUAAGUUAUAGUUUAUAACAAAUUUCUAUUUUUUAUUAUUUUUGCUAUUUACAUAAUUUUUUAUUUAUUUUUAACACAUUUUUAUAUUGAAUAAUAUUCAUUAAACCUGAUACAAAUGUGUUUUUAUGUAAACCAAAUUGAUAAAAAAAAAAAUAGAAAACAAGAAUGGUGAUUGCAUAAAUCCACACAGUGGCGGACCCACUAAGAAGCAAGGUGGUCAUGUGAUAUCUCAUAAAUUUUUAUAAAAUUAAUUUUGUACAUGAGUUUAUGAAAAAUCAAUAGCAUUGUUGGUAAAUACUAAAUACUGCUAAUUGAACCCCCUAAAUCCAACUUCAAACUCCUGCUACAACCAACUUGAUAUUAUUUAUUUUUUUAUUUGAUAAAUUGACCCCGAUUAAAAAUAAUUACGGGUCUGCUACUGAUUCCACAUCUCCAAAAAGAGGAGAAGAGCUGCAACAGUUUAGUCAAGAAUUUUUAUAAUAAGCCCAUUUGGUGAGUUUUGUAGUCUUGGAACAUUGUAAUUCUGUAGAUAAUACCAAGUUGGACAUCCUCUCUAGUAAAUUUUAUUUGAAAACAUAAUUUUCAUUUACUAAAUUUAUGGAAAUAUAAAUCGUAUAUACGACAUACAUACAAAAAUAAGAGUUUAACUGAUUUUGUCACAUCGCAAAUUCUUUAUCUUUCUUGGCAGGUAGAGUAUUUACCCUUGAUUACACAGAUUAAUUUUAAAAAGUUUGGUAUGUUGUGUAAUCAUUGUAAAAUUCAAAAUAAAAAUCUAUCUUUCUUAUUAGUUUUAGAUUAUAUCGUAUACAAUUAUAGGCCAUUAUUUGAACAACAAUUCAUAAUAGGUAGAAAAAAAUAUCUUCUAUAUAAUAAUGUUAAAUUAUAUAUAUUUUCAAUUUAUAUAUUAAAGUGUGUUUUUUUUUAGAAAAGGAUUAUUUUAGUUCAUUUAUUAGAGAUUAAAAAUAUAUUGUUUUUACAAUAUGGUUUAUACUUUUACAUACAGUAAAACCUCUAUACAUUAAAAAUGUUGAAACUAUAAUAUGUUACUAAUUUAUUAUGAUAUUAAUUUAUAUAUAAAUUAAUAUCUAUUAUUCUAUAUAGAAGCAUUAUUUUCGCUCAUUUUCUUCUUAAAUGUUUUUUCAAAUUAUGUUAUAUUUAAGCAUCAAAACGAAUAUGCUUGUAAAAGAACAUGCAGAAACUUAAAGUUAUGAUUAUUAAUCUUAAUAAUCACAAUAAAAUAGUUAUUUCUUAAUUGUUUUUUUUCAAAUGAUGUUAUAUUUAAGAAUCUAAACAAAUAUACUUGUAAAAUGACAUGCACAAACUUAACAUUAUGAUUAUUAAUCUUAACAAACUCAAUAGAAUAGUUGUUUCUAUUUGUUAAUUGUAGAUUGGAUUUCCAUGUAAGAAUAUAUGUGUUCAUUAUUUAGUACAAAAUUUAUAAACAAGUAUGGCUAAAUCUUAUGAUGUUGGUAAUAGAAUUGAAGACAAUACCACAAUACAUAUGGAUAGUUACGCGUAAAAAAAUAAUUUAUCACAUCUAAACUUCUUCACAAAUUUUAAAUUUGAAUGCAUAUAGAACAAACAACAUUAAAAGCUACUGUUAUAAAUAAAUAGAGAGAUGAGCUUCAAGAAUUUUAAACUUUAAAUAAAAAAACAACAAAUUAGUCUUAUUCUACUAUAUUCUCUUACCUAUAUAUAUAUAUUAAUUUAUAUUUUUAUUGGGCGCAUAUUUACAUAGGAGUUUAAAAAAAAUUAUUGUCUUAUAGUUUUUUUCAUUGAUCUGACUUGUAUUUUUCUAAAAUAUAAUAUAUAUAUAUAUAUAGGAAUAUAUCUUGAUAGAAAAUAUUUGAAAAAUACGAUCUUCAAUUUGGUCAAUAAGAUUUUAUUGGCAUAUAUAAAAUUUAUAUUGUUAUGAAUUUGUAUUUGAUUUGGGUAAGUCAUUUAAUUGUAAUCAAAAUUCAUCAUUAAUUGCAAUAAAUCAAAUUUGAAAACAGAAAGAUAAGAAAUCUGUAUUAAUAAAAGAAUGUUGUCUAUAUGCAUGAUCAUAUUUCUUUAAAUUAUAGGCAUUGAAAUUAAAGGAACAAUUUUUAAAAAUUUAGAAUUUAAGGCAAUAUCCUAGAACUAUAUGAUUCUAAAUUAUCAUUGAUGCAAUCACAGAAAAUCUGCAUUUAUUGUUAAGAUUUAAUAUUAAGAUUUAUUUUAUUAAAAAUUGUAUUUGUUAUUUACAAAAUUUUAAUUUCUAAAUUCUGAAAUUAGAUUUAUAUAUUGCAUAAUUAUGUCAAAAUAUUUUACAUAAUACGUUUUCAAAAAUGUGUAAAUAUAUGUUGCUUAAUAAUUUAUUAUUAAAUCAAUUUAUAUAAAAAAUAUAUAAACAUUACGAAAGAGAAAAUUUAUUUUUGAAUUAAUAAAUGCCAAAAAAUUACAAAAUAAUAAUCUGAAUAUUUAAAAUUGCGAACUAAAAUAAUAUAUAAACAAAUUAAUUAAUUAAAAAAUGUUGUUAUUAAUAUUCAUAUGAUUUUAAAUAUGUUUUGGUCCAAAAAUUCAUUUUAGCCCAAAAAUCAAUUAAUCAUUUUGGCCCAAUAAGAAUAUAGAUUAUCAGAUUUAUUUUUGGGCCCAAAAAUUAUUGAGAUUAUCAUGUCACAUUUGACGUGGAAUCUUUCAUUAAACAGGAACCAAUCAAGAGAGCGUCAUUGCCAUGUCACAUUUGACGUGAAAUAAACGUCAUCAUUGACAUAAGCAAAGACAGUUUUCUAAACCAAUCAAAUUAAAACACCAUGAUUUUUUCAUUAAAGUACAUUCUCAUUUAAUAUAUAGGAUUUUAUAUAAAAUUUCUUAAAUAAAAAUAACAUUUUAAUCUAAUAUAAAGAACACUAAAGUUAAUAGAUUAAAUUUAUAAGGUUGAUAAACAUAAGAAUAUAACUGCCAAUUAUCUAUAAAUUAAAUGGAAAGAAAAUAUAUUUAGAAUAUUCUUUUUGGAGUAAAACUAGAGUGGACUUGGAGAAGAAACUAACGCUGUUAUACAGUUGCGUUAUUAUAGUGGAAAAUAGAGUAAUGAGUUGGAGAUGCUCUUAUUUCUUUCUUGUUUUGUGUAGGAAGAGUGGCUGGAAAUCCACAAAAUCAUAUUAGCUGUCCCAUAUAUAUAUAUAUAUAUAUAUAUGUUUUUUGUCUGGUUUAAUCAAGACAACAUAUGGCCAAGAAGUGGAUCCUAGGCCUUUUUUGGAGUUUUUUUUAGAAAUAUACAAUCCUCACAUUCAAAGAGAGUAGAGAGAGCAAUUUCCCCGCAGUGGAAUUUUCUUGACAAUUUCUAGAAUCAUCAAUCAGCUCGGAUUGUCGUGAUCUAGGAUCCUCGUGCCUAUUUGAUAGUUUAUAAAUCAUCCCACUCAAAUGGUUACUUACGAUAUUUUCCUUGAAGCUGAGAAUGUCAGUUUCAUGGUCUUCUUUGUUUAUACAUAUAACCUGCUUGUUGAGCUUUCGGAUGAGAUGUCUCUCUUGAACUCCUCUACUCCAGUUUCUCGUUCUCCUUGGGCUGUUGCUGGUGACUUCAACCAAAUAUUGAGAACCUCCCAACACUCAAACUAUCUCUCUUCGAAUGUUGAUACUGCAGAAAUUAAGGACUUUGAUUUGGCAAUGCAGGAUGCUCAGCUUUACGAAGGACCUUCCAAAGGUUUAGCUUUCUCUUGGUGGAACAACAGUGACACCAACCCAGUAUCAAUAAAAAUCGACCAUGCUCUCAUCAAUGAACACUAGACGCUUUGUUUUCUUUCAGCCUUCUCUGGACUUCUUGAACCCAGGCAGUCAGAUCACACUCCUUGUUUAUUUCAUAUGCCUUUUUUAGGUGGAAGAAUCUCCAAUCCUUUUAUGUUCUUCCAUCACCUGAUCGACCAUAGCGAGUAUUCGGAGGUUGUAAGCACUAAUUGGACUGCAUGUUCUAUUGAUGGGAUACUCCUAGAGGGGGAUAGGGCUAAGCGAGGGCUCUCUCAAGCUUUCGAAGCCAGCUUUCUGCAUUUUGAACAAAUACAACUUCAAUGGUAUUUUGAAAGGAGUUAAGGAUCAUGAAUCAGUGGUCAUAUUUUGCAGCAAAGCUUGCUUUCAUCUCCCUCCACGGAAAUUGCAGCAAAGAAAGAGAGAAAUGACAUUUUCUUCUCAAAGCGGAGGAGAAGUUCCACCAUUAGAAAUUUAGGAUCCAAUGGCUCCAUCUCGGCGACAGGAAUACAGCCUUAUAGCACAACAUAGUUGUCCUGCAAAACUCUAAGAACCACAUCUAUUUCCUUAGAUAUCUAGAUGGCAGGAAGAUAGUCUCUGUUUUUUAGAUCAAGCAGAAUGCCUCUGAUAACUUCGCCUCCAUCUUUGGGAUAUGAUUUUUUCUCCCUGUUUGCUGGAGUUUGUAACCAAUCUUUUUCUUUCAGGUGCUCUUCUUUGUAAGCUGAUGAACUUUAGAAACCGGUGCCUGAGGAAGAUAUACAUGCCAGACUUUUUGCAUUGCCUAUUAACAAAAGUCUUGGGCCUGAUGGGUAUAGUGCUGAGUUCUGUAGGUUUCUUAGAGUACUAUUGGUGGUGAUUUGGUUGCUGUGGUACAAUAAUUCUUCACUACUAGGAAGCUUGUGAAGAUUGUCCUUUAAUCUUCUGCUUAGUUCUCGAUCUAAGAACUUACUUUGUAGAAUUUAUUAAGAAAGAAAAACGAUAUUGAUCGCGAAAAAGAAGAACACACGAAUUUAAGGAAUUCACGUCCUUAACCGGAACGCUACGUCUCCCCGGUGAUUACCCACCGGAAUCCACUAUUUAAUCGGCAAACUCGCCGGAGAACCUUUUACAGAUCGUCUUUCUCUCUCUCUCCUUUCUCUCUCUGUAACGGCUAGUCAACCUUCUAGCUCUAGAAGAUGAGCUUUAUACUUAGCUCAAUUACAAGUGACUAAUAAGAGAAAGACACCUGUCCUAGUGGACUUACUAAGACCCUCUCUUUUCACUAGAGUCUUUUACACACUUAGACUUAUUCUUAGCUAAAUGUCUCGGUUCAUCAUAAACUUGAGAACCAACUUCUAUGAUUGAGUCUACAUCCUUCAAAUCUCCACCUUAUACUUGAUCAUCCUUUUAUCUUGGUGAAGUCACCUUGUGUUCUUGACCGAACACGGAAGCAUCCUGGACCGGAUGCAACUCCUAAUUCUUCCCAACUCGAAGCAUUUUCAAUGCUUCCUUUAACUUGUAAACUGGUAGAACUUUGGUGAAAAUAUCCGCUGGGUUGUACUCAGUUCCAAUCUUCAAGACUUGUACUUCUCCACUGUUGAUUAAAUCUCUGAUAAAAUGGAACUUAGUAGCAAUGUGCUUAGUCCUCUCAUGGAAGACUGCAUUCUUUGACAAGGCAAUGGCACUUUGAGAGUCACAAUAAAUCUGAACAGAGUCUUGUGAAAAACCGAGUUCUUCUGCAAAUCUUUUCAACCAGACUCCUUCCCUUACUGCUUCUGACAGAGCCACAUAUUCUGCCUCAGUUGUUGAUAAGUCAACUAUCUUCUGAACAGUAGAUCUCCAACUAAUCGUAUUACCCCCUGCAACAAAGACCAUACCCGUAAUAGAUCUCCUGUGGUCUUGAUCCACUGCAUAGUCGGAGUCCACAAAACCUUUUACCACAAAAUCACCUUUGUUCUGAUAACAUAGCUUUGUAUCAACCGUGCCUCUGAUAUAUCUUAAAACCCAUUUCACAGCUUGCCAAUGCUCCUUGAUAGCUCUGCUCAUAAAACGGCUGACUAACCCAACCGGAUAAGCUAAGUAUGGUCUGGUGCCUACCAUCGAGUACAUCAAACUCCCAACCGCAUUCUGAUAUGGUAUCUUCUGCAUAUACUCCAACUGGCCCUGAUAUUCACUUUCUGUGGCUGAUCGAAGCUUAAAGUGAAUCCCCAUCAGAGUAGAAACUGGCUUAGCUUGAUCCAUAUUGUAGUUUGAUAAAACUUUCAUCAAGUAACUCUCUUGAGAGAUCCAUAAUCCUCCAUUCACUCUAUCCCUUACUAUUUCCAUCCCCAGAAUUUUCUUCGCAUCUCCUAAGUCUUUCAUCUCAAACUCAGUACUUAGCAAAACCUUGAGUUUAAUGACCUGAUCUCUGUCAACAGAAGCCACGAAGAUAUCAUCUACAUACAGCAGUAGAUAAAUGUAGGUUCCAUUUUCAAACCUCUUGAAGUACACACACUGAUCAUGUUCACUUCGGCUAUAACCAUUCUUCGUCAUGAACUCAUCAAAGCGUCUAUUCCAUUGUCUAGGGGAUUGUUUAAGUCCAUAUAAGGAUUUCUUCAACUGGCACACCUUAUUUGGAAAUUUCUUGUCCACAUAUCCCUCUGGCUGUUCCAUCACGAUGAACUCAUCCAAAUACCCAUGGAGAAACGCCGUCUUAACGUCUAGUUGUUGAAGCUCCAUAUUGUAAUGAACAACUGCAGACAAUAAGUAUCGGAUUGAUACAUGCUUCACAGCAGGAGCAAAGAUCUCCUUGUAGUCGAUGCCUUCCUUUUGUGAGAAGCCCUUAGCCACUAGCCUCGCUUUAAAUCUUGGAGCUUCUACACCCGUUAUACCCGGUUUUCGCUUAAAGAUCCAUUUGCAUCCAAUCGCCCUUUGCUUUUAUGGUCUGUCUAUUAAGUCCCACGUAUGAUUCUUCUUCAAUGAAAGCAUCUCUUCGUCUGCAGCUUCUUUCCAUCUAUCACUGUCUGAAUCAUUCAUAGCUUCCUGAAAAGAUGAAGGUUCUGAACCUCCAUCUUCCGACAUUGCGCAUACAAAUCCUGCAAAUUCACUUUCACCGUCUGUCUCAUCACAUUGAUAGUCUUCAAAUCUGGCUGGUCUUACAACCUGUCUCCUUGCGCGAUCUCUUGCAAGUUGACAACCACUUAGGUCCUGAUCAGAUGCCGUGUCAGCUCCACCUUGAGGGUUCAUUACUUGAUCUGACUCCUCACCAGCUCCACCUUGAGAAGAGCUUCCUGUAACCUCCUGUAUCUCAGGUACUACCACAAUACCGUUCCUGAGAUCACCCGAAGUUUCCUCAUUUGCAGGAGCCAUUUUAAUGUCUUUAUAGACUUGAUCCUCCCUGAACACCACAUUUCGACUAAUUACCACCUUUUGAUAUUCUAAGAGCCAAACCUUGUAUCCUUUCACUCCUUCAGGAUAACCGUUGAAAAUACCCCUCUUUGCACGAGGAUUUAGUUUUCCAUCAUCAGUGUGGACAUAAGCCAAGCAGCCAAAUCUUCUAAGUCCUUCUAAGUUUGGCAUAGUAGAUGUCCACAUCUCUUCUAGGAUCUUGAACUCCAAAACUGAUGAGGGAGAUCUGUUGAUCAGAUAAACGGCUGUAGCCGCAGCCUCUGCCCAGAAACGUUGACCUAAACCACUUUCACUGAGCAUGCUUCGAACCUUGUUCAUAAUGCUCCUGUUUAACCUUUCAGCCACGCCGUUUUGUUGAGGCGUGUAAGUGCACGUACGAUGCCUCACUAUCCCCUCGUCUUUGCAGAAUUGACCAAAGGUUUGAUUACAAAACUCUAAACCAUUAUCUGUACAAAGCUUCUUAACCUUUCUUUCAGUUUGAGUCUCCACCAUCUUCUUCCAUUCAACAAAGCUUUUAAAUGCCUCAUCUUUGGAUUUUAGAAAAUAUAUCCAUGCCUUCCUUGUAUAGUCGUCUGUAAAGGAAAUGAAGUACUGGCGUCUACUUAAGCUCAUAGGGACGUUAGGAGAUCCCCAUAGGUCUGAGUGGAUGUAAUCCAACUUGUCUUUCGUCACAUGUUUAGCUGUGCCAAAACUCACUCUAUGUGAUUUUCCAAUGACACAGUCUUCACAGAACUUAACCUCUGUAACUUUGCAGUUUCCAAAACAGCCUUUCUUGGACAAAAUUUCAAAACCUUUCUGCCCAAUGUGACCCAUGCGACUGUGCCAAAGCUGUGCCUGAUUUUCAUCCUUGUCCGAACUGUCUGCAGACCCUGACAUGGCUUCUUGGGUCGAUGACACUCUCGCUUUUCCCUGCAGGAUGUACAGCGAAUGUCUCCUCACACCUUUCAUGAACACUACACAUCCCUUGACCACCUUUAGAACUCCAUUUUCUCCUUUGAACUGACAUCCUUUGGCUUCGAGAGAACCCAUGGACAUUAAGUUCCUUGAAAUACCAGGCAUAUACCGGACAUCAUGAAAUACAAAGGUCGUUCCAUCUGGAUUCUCAAAUCUAAUAGAACCUAUGCCUUUGACCUCUGAUAUUGUGUUGUUCGCCAUUCUAACUUUUCCAUCUCCGAGUUCCCUCAGCUCAAUGAACAAUUCCCUUCUCGGUGUCAUAUGAAACGAACAGCCUGUGUCCAUUAUCCAUUCCUCCCUGUCUGAUUCACUUGUACCCAGGUUUACUUCUGAGACCAACAAACCAACCAAAUCUUGAGCAUCGUCUCUCGCCAAUGCAGAUUCACCAGAGCCUUGAGACUUAUCCUUGUUUCGUUCUAGCCACUUGUAGCACUGCUUCUUAAAAUGUCCUUCUUUACCGCAGAUCCAACAUACCCUCUUUCCAUCCUUUGACUUGGAUCUUGAGCGACUUUGCCUACCUUUUCCCUGAUUGACCAUUAUUUCCAGUCCUAGUUUCUGAUCUACCUCUAACAUAAUGACCUUCUCCCACAUUCUUAGAACUAGGGGCAUCUUUAAAUUACAUUUCUUUAGACCUAGCCGCACUAGCAACUUCCUCUAAACCUAUAGCAUCUCUACUAUACUUGUUGAGAGUUUCUUUAAGAGAGUCAUACCUGUUUGGAAGGGCAUUGAGAAGCAGAAUCGCUUGAACUUCUUCUGGAAUCUCGAUACUGAGAUUGUUGAGAUCCAUUAUCAGCUUCAGGAAAUCGUCAACAUUCUGAUCAAUCGUUCUUGAAUCUUGCAUCUUGAAUGAAUACACCUUGAGCUGUGAGUGAACUCUAUUCGGCAGAGUCUUUGACAUAUACAACUUAUCCAGAGUUUCCCAGGCUUGAGCUGCCGUUGUACACUUGUCGAGCUUUCUCAGAACAUGAUCGCCUACACACAUGAAGAUCAGAUUUAACGCUUUCUCAUCGCGAGCCAACCAUUCGGCUUCGUCUUUUUCUUUCUUUUUCUUUGCGUCUUGAUCCAACUCUUUGUCAUCCUUAACAGUUGGAUCUGUUUUCUCCGUGAGGAAUCAAUCCCUGAACGGUAAGAUUCGCUAACAUCCUCUUCUUCCAGAUCCCGAAAUCUCCCGAACCAUCGAACAUACUAACUUCGAUUUUCUGAGUCGUCGUCAUCAUCUCCGAUUUGACUCCACACCAAGAACCUGUUGCUCUGAUACCAAUUUGUGAAGAUUGUCCCUUAAUCUUCUGCUUAGUUCUCGAUCUAAGAACUUACUUUGUAGAAUUGAUUAAGAAAGAAAAACGAUAUUGAUCGCGAAAAAGAAGAACACACGAAUUUAAGGAGUUCACGUCCUUAACCGGAACGCUACGUCUCCCCGGUGAUUACCCACCGGAAUCCACUAUUUAAUCGGCAAACUCGCCGGAGAACCUUUUACAGAUCGUCUUUCUCUCUCUCUCUCCUUUCUCUCUCUGUAACGGCUAGUCAACCUUCUAGCUCUAGUCAAACCCGAGAGGAGAAGAUGAGCUUUAUACUUAGCUCAAUUACAAGUGACUAAUAAGAGAAAGACUCCUGUCCUAGUGGACUUACUAAGACCCUCUCUUUUCACUAGAGUCUUUUACACACUUAGACUUAUUCUUAGCUAAAUGUCUCGGUUCAUCAUAAACUUGAGAACCAACUUCUAUGAUCGAGUCUACAUAAGCUUCUAAAGGAUUUCAACAAUACCGCUAUUACUUUGAUUCCAAAAAUGCAUGAGGCUUGCAAGAUUUCGGAUGUUGGGCCAAUUAGCCUAUGCAAUCUGGUCUAUAAGAUCAUCUUGAAGUUAAUCGCAAAUCGCCUAAAGUCUCUUCUAAAGUUGUGCCUAUCUCCUAAUCACGCUGCAUUUUUUAAAGGUAAACAUUUGGGAGAAAACGUCUUUCUGACCUCAGAGUUGAUCCAUCAAUACUAGAAACCUCUGAAUACCGCAAGUUCUCUCCUCAAAGUGGACAUAAGGAAGGCCUUCGAAACUGUCAAUUGAGAUUUUCUUUCAAGAUUCUUAAAGCCCAGGAGUGUCCGCCUUUAUUCAAGAAUUGGGUUAAGGAAUGUAUCUUUUCUACUCGCUUCUCAGUCUUGAUUAAUGGAGAGCUUGCAGGAUUUUAUUGAAGGGAAAAAUGGCUUAGACAGGGAGACCCCCUUUCUCCCUAUCUCUUCAUUCUUUUAAUGGAAGUUUUAUUCCCUUUGCUAGAUAAUGCUGCAUUGGCUGGCCAUUUUUUCUUUCACCAAAUGUGCUUACCCACUCCUCACUCAUCUGUUAUUCGACGAUGACCUGCUGGUAUCCUCAUAUAGUUCUCGGGACUCUAUUCUCUGCUUGGUAUCGCUCUUAUUAGAAUUCAAGGAAAUCUCUGGACUGUAAAUGAAUCCAGAUAAGUCUGAGCUAUUCUUAUCAGGUUACUCCACCGCUCUUGUAAAUGAAAUCAGUCUCCUGGCUUGAAUAAAUCUCAAGAAAUUCCCAACAAGGUAUCUUGGCCUGCCUCUUUCCCCCUCUAAGCUCAAUUUUUCAGCUCUGUAACCUUGAAUGGAUUACCAAUAAAUUGCAUUGCUGGACUGCAAAGUUUCUCUCCUACGCCAGGAAAAUCCGCCUUAUAUCUUCGAUUAUCUAUGGUAUGGUUAAUUUCUGGAGCCAAGGCUUUGUUUUGCCAAAGAAAUUAUUAUAGAAAAGUUGACUCUCUCUGCUCUGCUUUCCUCUGGAAAAAUUCUACUUCCUUGAUGAUGGGUGCUCGUGUUUCUUGGUUGGACAUAUGUAAACCUAAGGCUGAAGGAGGUCUGUGCAUCAGAAGGCUUGAGGAAUUUGAAGUUUUCUUUCAGUUUUCAGUUGAAGCUUAUUUGGAACUUUUUCUCUCGAGCAGGUUCCCUCUGGAUGUCCUGGAUGAAUGAAAAUAUGUUUGACAGGCAGAGUUUCUUGUCUUCCUCAGAGAGUUCUCGAUUAUCGUGUAGUUUGAGAUGUUUUCUGUGACUAAAAAUUGUCUUAUUGCAAUCGUGGUCGUCAUAUCGANNNNNNNNNNNNNNNNNNNNNNNNNNNNNNNNNNNNNNNNNNNNNNNNNNNNNNNNNNNNNNNNNNNNNNNNNNNNNNNNNNNNNNNNNNNNNNNNNNNNGAAUAAUCUAGCACCUUUAAAUGGCUCACCAGCUUACUUCUGGUUUGACUUUUGGACGUACUUAGACCCUCUCAUUGUGCAUUUGAGAGAAUCUGGUCCAUCUCAGCUUGGGCUGCAUAAAGAGGAUAGAGUUUGUCGAGCUGUUCAAAAUGGGGGUUAGUGCUUAAGAGGGGCUAGAUCAGAUGCUUCUCAACAGGUGUUGACCUGCUUAGCUUCCCUUCUGAUACCUUCUCCAUCCAGCGGUUCUGAUGUCUAUUUCUAAAGAUCUCUUUCUGGAAAUUACACUAAGCCCUUCUCUUCUAAGAGGACAUGAGAUCAACUAAGGGUUUCUUCUCCCAUUGUUGGAUGAAAAAAUGGUUUGGUUGAAACUAGCGGUCCCCAUAUUUUCCUUUCUUCUUUGGCAGAUCUUCUUAGCCAGACUCCCAACCCAUGACAGGCUCAUUAGUUGGGGAAUGCAGGUUCCUGACUCCUGCGUUCUCUGCACCUCUAUUGCUGACUCUCAUACUCACGUUUUCUCUGACUGUGGCUUUUCUCGACUGUUAAGGACCUAUCUUGCUUUAAGAAUCUGGCCUAACCCUCUGGUGGAGCUGCAUGCAAUUUCUCACUGGAUUGGGGAAAUUUCAACUUCUCCAAUGGCUUCCUUCUAGGCUAUUGCAAAGCUCCUUCUUCAGACUGUUGCUCACUGAAAGAACACAACGAGCGAAUUUUGACGUCAAGUUCUACCAUAACUUCAUCUCUUAAAGAUAGCACUGAUUGCAUCAUGCGUAAUUUCCUUAUCUCAUAUCCAUCGUCGAAUUCAAUCGGCUCUUAAUCUCUCCUUUAAUGUUUUUUGUUGUUGUUUCAUGCACCCUUUAUAGCUCUCUCUUCUUGUUCCAGUUCUGUGACCCUCCUUCAGAAACAUCUUCGGAUGUAAUAGGAUUUAGUUGUCAUUAACUUCUUACUUUUUUUGUUAGUAAAAUUAACAUUAAAACAAAAAAAAAGAAUAUGUUACAGUUAGAACCAGUUGUCGUGGAUUUUUAUACAUUGUGAAAUUGGAUAUGUUUUAAAGUAUGUUUGAGCUAGAGUUAUAACCUAUGGCAAAAUAUCUGCUUCUUUUUAGUGUCACAUUUGGAUAAAUUUUACGUCUCUACUAAUCUAUUUAGGGAAAAGAUAACCGAGAUAUCUAUGUGUGCAUAAAAAGCGCAUAUUUAUUAAAGCUAAAAAGAACGGUCAUUGGCAUAUGCAUUCGGCUAGAUUGGAGCAAAACUAGAAUUUGUUAAUCCCUCUCACUGCCUUAAAUCCUCUCAAUGUGACAUGAGGCAGUGACUGUUGGGGUCGGUUUCACCCCAAGCGGAUAAAACCAUUUCAAAAUGACUAAGUAUGGAAGAAAGACAAAUCAGCCGAGCCGCUCACCAAGACAAGUGGAAGAGCCGUGGAGAAAGACAAGUGGGAGAGCCGUGGAGAUAGACAAGUGGGAGAGCCGUGGAGAAAGGCAGAAUGGGCCGAGCCGUGAAUAAGGAAAGAUGGGCCACGCUGUGCAAAGAUGGGUCGAGCCGUGAAGAGGAACAAGUAAGCCGAGCCGCGGGAAGGAUGUCCAGUGGGCCGAGCUGUGCAAGAAAGCAGGUGGACCGAGCUGUAUCGUGAGGAAUGGGCCGAGCCGCAUUUCAACAUGCUUGGGCCGAGCCGCGCCUAUCACGUCGCGAUUCGAAUGGCAAGUGGGCCGAGCCAUGGAGAAGUUUUGAUGGGCCGAACCUAGGCCUUGAAAGACGAAGCCCAUAGAAACCCUAGGUGAAAUACAAAGGCGGUGAGCCGCACGAGGCGAUAAGGAAAUAUUCCGAAAAUCUCUCCCGAAAUUCUCGGCUAGGCGGUUCAGAGAAUUAGUAUAAAUAGACGAUGUAUGCAAUUCAUUUUGUAACUUUUGCAACCCUAAGCAAUAAGAACUAAACACUUUUACAGCAAGAAAAACUUUCUUUCGAUCUUACUGUUCUUGACGAUAAACCCUUGAAGUUUCCGAUCCCUUAGUUUUCCUUAAACAAAUUUCUGGUUGUGCGAGUUUUGGCUCACACAAUUUGGCACCGUCUGUGGGGACAUCGAAACUUUCUUACUCUAAAUCGACAAGACAUUAAGAUCCGAAGAACAUGGCGAGCAACACCCUCGACGAUAACAACAACAACAACAACGAUAACGGCGCGGAAAAUGACGCUCCAGCAUCAGGCACAACGACGACGACGACCGAAACCCAAGAGGAGAUGCGAAACAUAAUGGCUGCGUUGAUGAAGAAGAUCGACGAGCAGGACAAAAGAAACGAGGCGAUUACAGAGAGGAUCGACGUGAUGACGGCCGAGCGACGACACCCAACUUGGAGAGCCGGAAUCUCCGACCCGAUGGAUGGAAUCCGGAGACGCUUCGAUUUCUCAACGCCUGCAGAAGCCUCGGGGAGCGGCGCGAGAAACCCCUUGGCUCCACCAAUGUUUCGUCCCCUCGGCAAACAGACUACCGCGGCAACCCGAGUUAACAUGACCGAGCCGCCUCUACUCCAUCGGAACUCAAGGCGACGAGCCGGCGAAGAGGAGAAUGACGCGAUCGACGUGGACGCCCAACAGAACGAUGGAACCACGAACUCGCAACAAAACGGCUCGGCUCGGCGAAUAAGCCAAGAAGAGCUCGCCUCGGCACUAAACGGCGUCCGGACUGACGAAAUCACCGAUCCGGCUCGCAUCGACAACCCGACUGAAGAAGAAGAAAACCUCCAAUGGAUUGAGCAGACGGAACGCGAAGACGAGCCGAGGAGAGAAGAGCGGGAGCGACUCUCCCAAUCAAAGGGAAUGACUCACGCGCAAACCCUCGAAAUCAAAGAGUUGUGAGCCUCAAUGGCUCGGACAGUGGCAGAGAUAUGCGCCAUGAAAUCUCAAGUGCAUAAUGCGACAAGUGCCGCGCCGGAGAUUGAUCGAAUGCUCGAGGAAACCAAAAGAACCCCGUUCACGACGAGGAUCACAGAGGCUAGGAUCCCCGAGCCCGGAAAAGUCAGGAUCCCUUUCUAUGAAGGAACCACUGACCCGAAAGCUCAUAUCACGGCGUUCCGCAUAGCAAUGGGACGAGCCUUCAUGAGGAACUCUGCCAACCUGACUAAGCAAGAAAAAGACGCCGGUUAUUGUCUGCUGUUUGUAGAGCAUCUCAAAGGGGCCGCACUAGAAUGGUUCUCAAGGCAAGAACGUAAUUCGAUCAACAGCUUCCAGCAGCUCUACGCCUUGUUCUUGAAGCAGUACUCGAUGUUCA